rnacentral:lncRNA from 1 species
GAAUGGCCUCAUACAGCUUGGCCUGAUCGUUUCUGUCCUCAUCAGGUCCUAAACCAUCAGGGAUUGAAACCAACUUCAGCACUGAUUCUUGUUCAUCAAGGCUAGAACAAUCUUGUUGCUCCACCAUGGAACUAACCACUCUCCUGUGGUUAAAGUCUGUGUUCACAAAAAUGACUUUGCAUCCAUUCUCAAGCAGCUUCUGUGAGAAGGUCAUCAUGGGAUUCACAUGCCCUUGUGCUGGAAGUGGUAAAGCUAGCACAGUUGAAUCUCUCAUGUUCAGUGUUUUUAUUUGGUUUCUACUGAUUCUGAUUUGUGAGGCCAAUUAUGCAUUGAUCUGUUCAUGUAUGUAUAGGCACAGCCCCUCACAUUAAAAACGUUAAUCAAUGUAUAUACCUACGAAUUACAAUCUAGGUCACGAUCAGUCAAAAUCUUCGGCUAUCAUAAUAAAUUUUGUAAGAAGAAAUGUAGAAAGUUUGUGUGUUCACAACAAUAAUUUUGUCAUUCUAUACCUCUUUACAUUUGCUUGUACUUCUCUGAUUCGACUUUAGUGUUUUUAUCAUUAAACUUUUUUUUUAUUAAUAUUGAUUUAGCAUUAUGCUGUUAUUUAAUUACGAUAAUCAUGUAAUAAUAUCUCUUUUAAUUUGGAUAAAUUUAAAAGAAUUUUUUUUAUGAAACUAACACUCCUCUCUCCAACCACAACAAACCCCCAAACUACCAACAUUAAAAAAAAUAAUUAACACUACAAGAAAAUUAUGAAAUAGAAACCAAUUUCUAGAAACCAAAAUAAUUAGUUNNNNNNNNNNNNNNNNNNNNNNNNNNNNNNNNNNNNNNNNNNNNNNNNNNNNNNNNNNNNNNNNNNNNNNNNNNNNNNNNNNNNNNNNNNNNNNNNNNNNNNNNNNNNNNNNNNNNNNNNNNNNNNNNNNNNNNNNNNNNNNNNNNNNNNNNNNNNNNNNNNNNNNNNNNNNNNNNNNNNNNNNNNNNNNNNNNNNNNNNNNNNNNNNNNNNNNNNNNNNNNNNNNNNNNNNNNNNNNNNNNNNNNNNNNNNNNNNNNNNNNNNNNNNNNNNNNNNNNNNNNNNNNNNNNNNNNNNNNNNNNNNNNNNNNNNNNNNNNNNNNNNNNNNNNNNNNNNNNNNNNNNNNNNNNNNNNNNNNNNNNNNNNNNNNNNNNNNNNNNNNNNNNNNNNNNNNNNNNNNNNNNNNNNNNNNNNNNNNNNNNNNNNNNNNNNNNNNNNNNNNNNNNNNNNNNNNNNNNNNNNNNNNNNNNNNNNNNNNNNNNNNNNNNNNNNNNNNNNNNNNNNNNNNNNNNNNNNNNNNNNNNNNNNNNNNNNNNNNNNNNNNNNNNNNNNNNNNNNNNNNNNNNNNNNNNNNNNNNNNNNNNNNNNNNNNNNNNNNNNNNNNNNNNNNNNNNNNNNNNNNNNNNNNNNNNNNNNNNNNNNNNNNNNNNNNNNNNNNNNNNNNNNNNNNNNNNNNNNNNNNNNNNNNNNNNNNNNNNNNNNNNNNNNNNNNNNNNNNNNNNNNNNNNNNNNNNNNNNNNNNNNNNNNNNNNNNNNNNNNNNNNNNNNNNNNNNNNNNNNNNNNNNNNNNNNNNNNNNNNNNNNNNNNNNNNNNNNNNNNNNNNNNNNNNNNNNNNNNNNNNNNNNNNNNNNNNNNNNNNNNNNNNNNNNNNNNNNNNNNNNNNNNNNNNNNNNNNNNNNNNNNNNNNNNNNNNNNNNNNNNNNNNNNNNNNNNNNNNNNNNNNNNNNNNNNNNNNNNNNNNNNNNNNNNNNNNNNNNNNNNNNNNNNNNNNNNNNNNNNNNNNNNNNNNNNNNNNNNNNNNNNNNNNNNNNNNNNNNNNNNNNNNNNNNNNNNNNNNNNNNNNNNNNNNNNNNNNNNNNNNNNNNNNNNNNNNNNNNNNNNNNNNNNNNNNNNNNNNNNNNNNNNNNNNNNNNNNNNNNNNNNNNNNNNNNNNNNNNNNNNNNNNNNNNNNNNNNNNNNNNNNNNNNNNNNNNNNNNNNNNNNNNNNNNNNNNNNNNNNNNNNNNNNNNNNNNNNNNNNNNNNNNNNNNNNNNNNNNNNNNNNNNNNNNNNNNNNNNNNNNNNNNNNNNNNNNNNNNNNNNNNNNNNNNNNNNNNNNNNNNNNNNNNNNNNNNNNNNNNNNNNNNNNNNNNNNNNNNNNNNNNNNNNNNNNNNNNNNNNNNNNNNNNNNNNNNNNNNNNNNNNNNNNNNNNNNNNNNNNNNNNNNNNNNNNNNNNNNNNNNNNNNNNNNNNNNNNNNNNNNNNNNNNNNNNNNNNNNNNNNNNNNNNNNNNNNNNNNNNNNNNNNNNNNNNNNNNNNNNNNNNNNNNNNNNNNNNNNNNNNNNNNNNNNNNNNNNNNNNNNNNNNNNNNNNNNNNNNNNNNNNNNNNNNNNNNNNNNNNNNNNNNNNNNNNNNNNNNNNNNNNNNNNNNNNNNNNNNNNNNNNNNNNNNNNNNNNNNNNNNNNNNNNNNNNNNNNNNNNNNNNNNNNNNNNNNNNNNNNNNNNNNNNNNNNNNNNNNNNNNNNNNNNNNNNNNNNNNNNNNNNNNNNNNNNNNNNNNNNNNNNNNNNNNNNNNNNNNNNNNNNNNNNNNNNNNNNNNNNNNNNNNNNNNNNNNNNNNNNNNNNNNNNNNNNNNNNNNNNNNNNNNNNNNNNNNNNNNNNNNNNNNNNNNNNNNNNNNNNNNNNNNNNNNNNNNNNNNNNNNNNNNNNNNNNNNNNNNNNNNNNNNNNNNNNNNNNNNNNNNNNNNNNNNNNNNNNNNNNNNNNNNNNNNNNNNNNNNNNNNNNNNNNNNNNNNNNNNNNNNNNNNNNNNNNNNNNNNNNNNNNNNNNNNNNNNNNNNNNNNNNNNNNNNNNNNNNNNNNNNNNNNNNNNNNNNNNNNNNNNNNNNNNNNNNNNNNNNNNNNNNNNNNNNNNNNNNNNNNNNNNNNNNNNNNNNNNNNNNNNNNNNNNNNNNNNNNNNNNNNNNNNNNNNNNNNNNNNNNNNNNNNNNNNNNNNNNNNNNNNNNNNNNNNNNNNNNNNNNNNNNNNNNNNNNNNNNNNNNNNNNNNNNNNNNNNNNNNNNNNNNNNNNNNNNNNNNNNNNNNNNNNNNNNNNNNNNNNNNNNNNNNNNNNNNNNNNNNNNNNNNNNNNNNNNNNNNNNNNNNNNNNNNNNNNNNNNNNNNNNNNNNNNNNNNNNNNNNNNNNNNNNNNNNNNNNNNNNNNNNNNNNNNNNNNNNNNNNNNNNNNNNNNNNNNNNNNNNNNNNNNNNNNNNNNNNNNNNNNNNNNNNNNNNNNNNNNNNNNNNNNNNNNNNNNNNNNNNNNNNNNNNNNNNNNNNNNNNNNNNNNNNNNNNNNNNNNNNNNNNNNNNNNNNNNNNNNNNNNNNNNNNNNNNNNNNNNNNNNNNNNNNNNNNNNNNNNNNNNNNNNNNNNNNNNNNNNNNNNNNNNNNNNNNNNNNNNNNNNNNNNNNNNNNNNNNNNNNNNNNNNNNNNNNNNNNNNNNNNNNNNNNNNNNNNNNNNNNNNNNNNNNNNNNNNNNNNNNNNNNNNNNNNNNNNNNNNNNNNNNNNNNNNNNNNNNNNNNNNNNNNNNNNNNNNNNNNNNNNNNNNNNNNNNNNNNNNNNNNNNNNNNNNNNNNNNNNNNNNNNNNNNNNNNNNNNNNNNNNNNNNNNNNNNNNNNNNNNNNNNNNNNNNNNNNNNNNNNNNNNNNNNNNNNNNNNNNNNNNNNNNNNNNNNNNNNNNNNNNNNNNNNNNNNNNNNNNNNNNNNNNNNNNNNNNNNNNNNNNNNNNNNNNNNNNNNNNNNNNNNNNNNNNNNNNNNNNNNNNNNNNNNNNNNNNNNNNNNNNNNNNNNNNNNNNNNNNNNNNNNNNNNNNNNNNNNNNNNNNNNNNNNNNNNNNACUUUUCUCUGCUUCUAUUAUGUUCCAUCAAGACCCAUUUCUCUGCUUGUCUUGGGUUAUUUGCCUUCACAAUGGCUUUAUGAGCUUCUAUGUAAGGUACAACUUCAUCUGUGUUAUUCAAUAUGUACAAAUGUGCUUGCAAGACUUUUGAUCGAGAUUUGCUUACAAUAUUCACACCACGUAAACAUUUAGUUGUAGAACGCCUGUGGUGCCAUGAAUUAGCUGGAACACCUAUUGGAUUUGCUUUUGUCAUGUACUCUGAACAAAAUUCAAUACUUUCUUCAGCUAUGUACCUUUCAAUCAUUGAAGCUUCUGGACGAUAAUGAUUUUUCACAUAACCUUUCAAAAUUUUCAUAUACCGCUCAACAGGAUACAUCCAUCUUAAGUACACUGGUCCACACAAUCUAACCUCUCUUACCAGAUGCACCACUAGAUGAACCAUGAUGUCAAAAAAAGACGGAGGAAAAAACAUCUCCAAUUCACACAAGAUAACAACAAUUUCAUUUUGAAGUUCAUCUAGUUUUGAGGGAUCAAUGACUUUACAACAGAUGGAAGAGAAGAAUGAGCACAAAUGGGUUAUGGUGUGUCUAACAUUUUUUGGUAAGAUCCCACGGAUAGCUACCGGCAACAACUGUUGCAUCAAGAUGUGACAAUCAUGAGACUUCAACCCAAUUAACUUCAAAUCUUGCAUUGACACUAGGCUCUUCACAUUUGAGGAAUGUCCUUGUGGCACUUUCACACCCUUUAGACAUUGACAAAAACUAAUUUUUUCAUCUUGUGACAUUGUGUAACAGGCUGGGGGCAAAUAUGUACGCGUACCCAUUUCUAUGGGUGCCAACUCGCCGCGUAUGUUCAUCUCAAUCAAAUCUAAACGAGCAUUUAGACCAUCCUUCGUCUUCCCGUUAAUGUUAAGAAGUGUACCAAUUAAGCUAUCACACACAUUCUUCUCAACAUGCAUUACAUCUAUACAAUGUCUGACUUCUAACCUCGACCUGUACGAAAGAUCAAAGAAGAUUGAUUUCUUCUUCCAAAUAUUUGUCACAGAUGACUUUUUUUUGGACUUACCGAAGGUGUGGUCUAUGUUAUUUACCUUUUCGUAAACCUCAACACUGGUUAAUGGAGUUGGUGGACCACUACCCUCUUGGUGUCCAUUAAAGGCUUUUUUCAACCUCCGGUAAGGAUGAUGACUUCUAAGAAACCUCCGAUGCCGAAGAUAUACUGUUUUCCUUCCAUGUUUCAAUUGUUGAGAAGCAGUGUCUUCUUCGCAUAUUGGACACGCUUUUUGACCCUUAACACUAUAACCUGAUAAGUUACCAUAUGUCGGAAAGUCAUUGAUGGUGCAAAAUAACAUGGCAUGAAGCUUGAAAGUUUCAUUAGCAAAUCCGUCAAAUACUUCGACACCUUGGUCCCACAUUAACUUCAAAUCUUCAAUUAGGGGACUUAGAUAAACAUCAAUAUCAUUCCCUGGUUGUUUCGGACCGGAUAUCAUCAUAGACAACAUCAUGUAUUUUCGCUUCAUGCACAAUCCAGGAGGUAAGUUGUAAAUAACUAGUAAUACAGGCCAUGAACUGUGAUUUGUACUCAUAUUACCAAACGGAUUCAUUCCGNNNNNNNNNNNNNNNNNNNNNNNNNNNNNNNNNNNNNNNNNNNNNNNNNNNNNNNNNNNNNNNNNNNNNNNNNNNNNNNNNNNNNNNNNNNNNNNNNNNNNNNNNNNNNNNNNNNNNNNNNNNNNNNNNNNNNNNNNNNNNNNNNNNNNNNNNNNNNNNNNNNNNNNNNNNNNNNNNNNNNNNNNNNNNNNNNNNNNNNNNNNNNNNNNNNNNNNNNNNNNNNNNNNNNNNNNNNNNNNNNNNNNNNNNNNNNNNNNNNNNNNNNNNNNNNNNNNNNNNNNNNNNNNNNNNNNNNNNNNNNNNNNNNNNNNNNNNNNNNNNNNNNNNNNNNNNNNNNNNNNNNNNNNNNNNNNNNNNNNNNNNNNNNNNNNNNNNNNNNNNNNNNNNNNNNNNNNNNNNNNNNNNNNNNNNNNNNNNNNNNNNNNNNNNNNNNNNNNNNNNNNNNNNNNNNNNNNNNNNNNNNNNNNNNNNNNNNNNNNNNNNNNNNNNNNNNNNNNNNNNNNNNNNNNNNNNAUCUUAACACCGCCGACAACCGUGUGAAGUUAGUUGAUCCAGGAUACAAAGGAGUCUCUGCAUCUUUUGACAUACUUUCAUAUCCAAGCGCUUUUGCAAAACACUCAGCUCCCACAUCACGAAUCAUGUCCUCCAAUCGAUCAUCAUCUCCAUCAUCGUGUACUGCUUCAUCCAUGGUAGAACCCACAUAUUCUUCAGUUACGGAAACACAUGGUAAAUUUAAUAAUUCACCAUGCCAUGUCCAAGUUGUAUAAGAUCGAAGAAACCCAUCACAUAGCAGGUGUUCCCUCAUGAUAUUCACAUCCAGUAUCCUUCCAUUCAAACAGUUAACGCACGGACACCUAAUCUUUGCUCCAUCAUGACCACUAAUAAUCGCGUUACGCUGUGCAAAUUGUAUAAAUUCCUCUACUCCCCUUUUGUACUCAUCACUUAUACGAACAACAUUAAUCCAACUUCGUCCAUUAUAUAUUCUGGAAUAUAGUUAGGAUUUUCUAAUAAUUAGUAUUCUAUUCAAUCUCACACAUUUGCCGAGGGUCGAACACCCCCGGACUCAAUCCAAACACGAUAUUUUUAUUCUAAAAGUAACAAUAACUAACAUAAAGAGCUAAUAAUUCACUUCGAGAGUUUCCAACUAACUCAAUGUAGUAGCAAACAAAAUUUGGUCUGGAAAGGAAUUUGGGCAGCUGUAGUGUGGUGUAUAUGGGAGCACAGAAACUCAAUUGUGUUUAACCAAGGGGUUGCAGAUGUGGAAGAAAUCUUCUCAGAAGUCCAGCUCAAAUCGUGGCUUUGGAUGAAACACAAAGCACAUAACUUUAGUUAUUCAUUUGCAGAGUGGGUCCUGGACCCAAUUUCUUGUAUCAGGAGUUAUAAGUAAGUGAGGCUAGGCGGAGGCAAUCUGGUUGUGAGUGGAAAGGUAAAAUGCUGAUAAUGAUGGAUGUUGUAAACCCCCAAUAGGACCAUUCAACAUGUCUCGAUCGUAUAGACCAAUGGAUGAUUGCUGACACUAGAUAAGCUCUGUUUGGGGGUUAUACAAUGAUCUGGCAUAACGCUNNNNNNNNNNNNNNNNNNNNNNNNNNNNNNNNNNNNNNNNNNNNNNNNNNNNNNNNNNNNNNNNNNNNNNNNNNNNNNNNNNNNNNNNNNNNNNNNNNNNNNNNNNNNNNNNNNNNNNNNNNNNNNNNNNNNNNNNNNNNNNNNNNNNNNNNNNNNNNNNNNNNNNNNNNNNNNNNNNNNNNNNNNNNNNNNNNNNNNNNNNNNNNNNNNNNNNNNNNNNNNNNNNNNNNNNNNNNNNNNNNNNNNNNNNNNNNNNNNNNNNNNNNNNNNNNNNNNNNNNNNNNNNNNNNNNNNNNNNNNNNNNNNNNNNNNNNNNNNNNNNNNNNNNNNNNNNNNNNNNNNNNNNNNNNNNNNNNNNNNNNNNNNNNNNNNNNNNNNNNNNNNNNNNNNNNNNNNNNNNNNNNNNNNNNNNNNNNNNNNNNNNNNNNNNNNNNNNNNNNNNNNNNNNNNNNNNNUGGGAGAUAGCAUAACAUAGCUAUAUCGUGGUGCAACACCUGUAGCAUAUCAAAAUAGCUAGGAUGGGCACGGCGUGGCAGGUGUUUAAGCCAGCUGGAAAGGAAGUUUAAGGCCUAAACUUUUUGGUGGUGUUAAUUGGGUGGUAUAGGGUGAAGUUAAAGAUCAAUUUGAAGUAUCUGAAGAUGCUGCUGAAAGCUAAUGAGAUGGUGAAGGUAGCUGACUCCUCCGUUGCUAUGGGAGGUCGUUUGUUGCAGAUGUCUAGCAGCUUAAUAGAGGACGCAACAGUGCUACAUAUGUUGAUGGUAAAGAAUUAAUUGUAGAAUAAAGCUGAAGAUCUUGGCAGGCAGUAAUGUUGGAUGUUACUAUAGGUGGUUGAGAAAGGUAGCACCAGUUAUUAAGCUCUGGAUGUGGAGGUUGUGCUGCAAGUGGUUGUCAAGCAGGUGGAAGGAUUACGUUGGGUUUCUGGUGGUUGAAAUGCUGGUUAGGGUCUUUGCAGCAGUGCAGCAGAAUAAUAGAACCAGUAUGGGAGCUGGUGUAGGUUUUAUUUAUGCAGUAGUUUUAUGUAUGCAGUAGUGGUUACUCUCUUCCUGUUUUGGGGUGUUCCUUUUGGAGAUCCUAAAACAAGGUUUGGUGUUGUAAAGGGUUGGGAUACCCCUUUUGUAUCCCUCUUAAUUUAAUUUCAUUCUUUGCUGAUAAAAAAAAAAAACAAUAACUAACAUAACAUAAAACUUUUAUUAAAAUGUAAUUAACAACUAACUAAAUAUAUAAUAUAAAUUUAAGAAAAUAGAAAUUAUAUAAUACAAAAAUUCAAAAUACACACAAAUAUAUAAAUUAUUAGUUAUUAGUUAUAAAUUCCAAGUUGUAUUNNNNNNNNNNNNNNNNNNNNNNNNNNNNNNNNNNNNNNNNNNNNNNNNNNNNNNNNNNNNNNNNNNNNNNNNNNNNNNNNNNNNNNNNNNNNNNNNNNNNAUUAAAUAUAUAUUAUAAUACAGAAAAAUAAAAAUUCAAAAUAUUAAAUAUAAAUUCAAAAUAUUAAAUAAAUAUUAAAUACAACACCAACCUUUAAGUUGAUGGUGAUCGGAGUGGCAGAGGCACAAGACGAAGGCGAAGGCGGUGGCGGAAGCUAUGGCGGUGGCGGAGCAGAAAAAACCAGCGAAACCAAUAGAACAGUAACCUAUAUGCCACUAACGAGUUAGGAAACGAAAAUGACAAUGCCAAGGGAGUGAAUAAUGAAUGAUGCAAAAACGAAAACGAAAACGAAAACAAACGAGUGAAACGAAGAGCGGAGAGAGCUGAAACUUACAAUGCAGAGGGAACUGAAACUGAGAACGUUGAAACGAAGAGUGGAGAAGACGAAAGUGAAAGUGAAAACUAGUGGCGCGCUUCAAUUUUUAGGGUAAAAUUGAUUUACAAAUGCGGUUCUAGGGUAAGACCGCAUUUGUAAAUCAAUUUAAUUACAAAAAUGCCACCGCGUUUUUUACAAAUGCGUUUAAACGCAAAGCCGCACUAAAUAAAGGGUCGUUGUUUUCAUAUUUUGUACUAGUGAUAUCUUUGGUUUUAAGCACCAAUCUAAGAAGGAAAAACCUAUUGAAGGCAACUUUGAAGAGAUCUAAGACCAAACAUUUAGCUGUGCCAAAGAAUUUUUUUUGGAAUGGUCUAUUACUCCACUCUUAAACAAAUGGUUAUUCCUAUACAUCCAAAUCUCGUUUAGCAGUGCAAUCUAGAUAUUACCCAUUAUAAGAUUAACAGACAUAGGUACAUCAAGAAAAAUGAAUUGCAAGAAAUGAGAGACAAACAAAAAAGGGUCUACCGAACUCACUCCUAAUCACACAUAGCAGAGAUUCCAGACUAGUCAGGAAACCCUGCACCCAAAAAACAGAUGACUAGUCGACUCCUCUAAAACCUCACACAAACAACAAAGGUUGCUCUUGACCGCAACACAAUGUCUCUCCAAGUUGACCCUAGUAGCUAUCUUAUUUUCAAUCACCCUCCAGGUGGUGAUCUGGGCUGAAGGUAAGACCUUGAUCUUCCAAAAUGAUUCAUACAUCUGUUGGUUUCCCCCUUUUGCCUCUCCUAUUAGAAAACCAUAAGCAAAUUGAAUUGAAAACUCUUCAGAAUUGUUGUCCUUCCAAACCCAUCUAUCCACGGACUCCGAAGCAGAACUUACACCGAGUAACAACUCAUUGAGCUGACGGACUAGGGGCACCUCCCACACCAAAAGACCCCUUCUCCAAAAAAGCCUCCAGACCCAAACAUUAUUAACCCAGACCCCGCAAUCAGACAGAGACGCCUCUUUGUUCACAACUAAGGAGAAGAGCCUCAAGAAACUACUUUUCAAGGAACAGGAGCCCAACUAGUUGUCUUCCCAGAAAAGAAUGUUUCUUCCAUUCCCUAACUCCAAUUAAAGCGACCUUAAAACUACCCUCUCCAACCUUCCGACUUCCAGAUCUCCUUCAGGUCAUUCCAUCAAAGAGAAACUUUAUUGGUAGAGAUUCUCCGAUCUUUCAAGCAUCUCCAACCACCAUACUUGGACACAAUGAUCUACUGCCAUAAUCCACCCUUAUCAAAACUCAAACGUCAGAUCCAUUUCCCCAGCAAGACCACAUUAAAAAGCCUAAGAUUAAUAAUGCCAAAACCGCUUACUUCCCUAGACUUGCAUAAUUUAUCCCACACAACCAAACCAUCUUCCUCCUUUGAGACCCCCAACCCCACAGAAAGGUCCUUUGCAAACUCACUAAAUUUUUCAACACAUUAGGCGACUUCCUGAAGAAAGAGAGGUAGAACAAAGGGAUAGACGAAAAAACUGACUUAAGCAAGCAAAUCCUCCCGGCCAACGAGAUGAAUCUUCCCUUCCAUCUAGUUGAUUUGUUGUUGAUCCUAUUAAUCACUUCAUCCCAAAACGCACCCCUCUACUAGCAUUCCCAAAUAUUUGAACAGGAUUUUCAUCACUUCACAAUUGAGAAUUGCUGCAAACCGGAGAAUAAAUGUCUGGUCAACCCCCACCCCACUAAUUCUGCUUUUCAAGAAAUUCACCUUAAGACCAAAAGCUAGCUCAAAGAAAUUUAGAAUAACCUUAAUGUUAAAAACACUUUUGACACUAGCUUUACAGAAGAACAAAGUAUCAUCGACAUAUUGUAACAUGUUCACCUUAACCAUCUUUCUCCCAAUCUCCACACUCUCAACCAAUUUUUUUCAACCACAAUCCUAGAAAUCCUGGCUAAUCCUUCAGUUGCAAUAAGAAAUAAGAACGGGGCCAAAGAGUCACCUUGCCUCAGGUCCUUCUUCGAAAUAAAUUCCUUAGUUGAGCUCCCAUUUACUAGAACUGACACCGAAGCUGACUCUAGACAAUAUUUAAUCCAGGAGAUCCACUUUUCAUAGAACCGGAGCUUUCCUAGCAUGUAGUAAAUAAACUUCUACCUUACUGAGUUGUAAGCCUUCUCAUAAUCAACCUUGAAAAAUACAACUUUUAUCCAUCCUCUUCAUCUCAUUAAGAACUUCAUUAGCCACAAGAACACUAUCCAAAAGCCCCCUUCAUUCUAAAAGAGUAUAUUGUUUGAAAUUAAUGACUUUACCAAUUACCUUUUUCAACUUGAGGGAAAUUUUUGUUGAUACUAUCUUGUACACACACCCUACCAACCAAAUAGAUCAGAACUCGCUAAGCUGUUGUGGAUUCUCUGAUUUAGGAAUCAAACAUAGAAAGGAAGCGUUUGACCCCCUAGGUCAACUUCCUUUUUCCACAAAAUCCUUCACGUCCGACAAAUAAACCUCCUUUAAGUAAUCCCAACAAAAUAUAAUGAAUUUGAACUUAAAACCAUCAGGAUUGGGGCUUUUCGAGCUAUCGCAGCUCUAGAAAGCAUUCUUCACUUCCUCUUCAGUGACAUUAGCUACCUGUGCCACAUUAUCUUCGCCACAAAUAGAGUUAAAACGAACAUUGUCUAACUUGGCUUAAGGCCCGGAGACUCCUUCAAACUUGGCUUUGAAAAAAUACCUGACCUUCGUUUUAACCACCUCCUUAUCCUCAAUCCAAAGAUCAUUCUCUAAAACCCCGUUGAUCCCGAUCCUCACUCUCCUCCACUUCACGGAUGAAUGAAAGAAUUUUGUAUUUAAAUCACCAUGUUUAAACCAUUUAGAGCAGGCCUUUUAAUGUAAAACUUCUUCCUGCUUAAAAGAAUUCCUACUUUGUUAAGUUAAUAAGAGUUUUCUCUCCUCCCUCCCAGCCUCGGGUAGAAUGCCUUCAUCGUCUCUUACAUCCAGCUCUUGAAUCUUCUUAUGUAAGACUUAGGGGUGGCAUUGCGGGCUGGCCCGCCCCGCAUAGGCCCACCUUGCACUUGGCCCGCCCCGUAUAGAAUUUGCGGACUGAUUUUUCUAGCUCGCCCCGCAUAAGGAUUGGCCUGCGGGCCGGCGAGCAAGGCUGCAUAAGAAAUAUUUAUUAAAAAAAUAAAUUUUUUAUUUUUUAUUUAUUUAGAUGCAUUAGGUAAAUGGUCUCAUAAUAUUAUUUUCAUGAAACAUGCGUAGUAAGAUGUUAUUAAAAAUUUUGGAAUGUGGUGUAUAAAAAAAAUUAUACAUUUUAAAGUUAUGCGGGCCAACCAGCCCCACCCCGCACUUGGUCCAUGCGGGUUGUGGGUUAUGCGGGGCGGGCCAGCAGGUUGAAAUAAGCAACCUGCCCCGCAUUUAUUUCAGCGGGUCGGCCUGCACGACCCACCCCACUUUGUCACCCCUAGUAAGACUUCCCUUGCAUGGUUGACAUUCCUGAAGACCUCUCUAUUCCAAAUUUUCAGGUCAGACUUUAACUUUUUUUCAAAUUUUCUUUUAAAACAAAUAGCCCUUUACCAUGCACCUCAUAACUCUGCAAUGUAUUGCUAAUGAAAUCUAAAAACCUGCCAUCAUUUUGUCACACAUCCAAGCUUCUAAACAGUUUUGUCCCCUAGUCAAUGCUCGUAUCUUUUAGCACUAGCACAAAGUGAUCAAAGACCGGUCUACUAAACACAUUUUGUUUACAGUUCGGCCGAAACUCCAACCACUCCCUGGAAACUAAAAUCCUAUCAAUUCUGCUCUUUACAGUCCAAGUGAAUUUUUUCCCAACCAUCGAAAUGUCCACAAAUCUGUUUUUUCGAUUAAUUCAUUAAACCCUCUAAUUUCUCUACUAUAAUGAGAAAUUGAGAUAAAACUCCUUCUUUAUUCCUUAUGCCCGAUAGAAUUAAAAUCCCCAACAACACAUUUGAAAGGAAAGAUAAUAAAUGAAAAUUUCCAAAUAAUAAAGUACAUUUUCUAAAGUUUGACAUUUACACAUAUAAAGUUUAAAAAUGAAAAUAUACCAUUUUCUUUCAUUACAAGAAAUAUUAGUUAUGAUUAUUAUUUAUAAUUAUUAAUAUUUUAAUAACAUUAUUAUAAUCUUAAUAAAAAUAAUAAUAAUAGUAUUAAUGAAUAAUCUUAAUAUCAUUAAUAAUAAUAUUAAUAAUAUUAUUUCUAUUAUUAAGAUUAUUUAUAUGUGAGUUGCUUUUAUUGGUUUACGGAACACUUCAUAUAAAAAAUAUUUUUUUUAAAUUAAUGAAAAAUAAUUUUUUUAAAUACAAAUUUGGAAUACAUUUAUUUAUUUUUAUUAAUUUAAUUUUUCUUCUUGUUUAGAUGAAUUAGGUAAAUGGUCUCACAAUACCAUUCUCAAGACACAUGUGUAAUGAGAUAUGAGUAAAAAAAAUUAUAAUAAUGUUUUGAUUUUCAAUGAAAUUUGAAUUUAAAAUAUUGGUUUAAUUACCUUUUUCGUCCCUAUAUUUAUAGCCAAUAGUCAAUUUGGUACAGUGGUUUUAAAAAAUUCAAUUUGGUCCCUAAGUUUUUUAAAAUGUAUUCAAAAUGGUUUUUUCUGUUAAAUAUCACCAAACGAUGUUAACUGGUGCUUAUGUGGCAGACACGUGUAAGUUACGUGGAUGGUGCUUACAUUACUUUAGUGAAUAAUGAAUUAGGGUUUAGGUUAUUCAAAUUGGAGAUUUCGAAUUUCUGAUUUAGGGUUUCUAAUACGAGGAUUGCUCCCCUGGUUGGAUUCUGUGGUGCGCUUCCCUGCUUCGAUUCCAUUCGGAGGUGUGCUCCCCUCAUUCGAUUCUGUGGUGCGAGUGAAUUUGGAGGUGCGAUCUUGUGGCUUGUGAUUCGUUCGUGUGUGGUUCCGUUUGUGGUGGAAAUGUGAGCAUAUAGAUCUGCAUCUGUAUCAUCAUGUAGCUGUAACCGAAUGGAAGUGCAACAACAACGAUCGAAUUCUAGCCAUGGUGGUGGAAGUAGGACGACUUUUGUUGCUCCCAUUUGCGAUUGUGGGGAAUUUAUGGUUUUGAAAACCGCAACAACGGUCAAAAAUUGUGGGAGGCAAUUUUGGGGGUGUCCAAAGUAUAAGGUGAGAUGUAUUAAACUAUGACUUAUGAAAACAAAAAUGCAUUGGUAUUGAUUUUUUGCUUAUGGUUUUGUCUAAUACAGAGUAGGAGUGGCGUAAGCAUGGGAUGCAAUUUUUUUAGAUGGUGCAAGUGCAUUGAAGACAUUGAGGAUGACAGAGAUGGAACUAUUGCUAGACAAAGAAACAAGAUUUGUAGCUUGGAAAAGCGUUUGAAGAUGUCAAGAAAGUGGAUAAAGAUGUUGUUAGUAGGAUUGUGUGUUGUUGUAAUAAACCUUGCUAUGUUGAUUAUUUUCUUAAAAUUCCCUUGAGUGACGUCUGCAUGUAUGUUUUGGUUGGGAUUAUGAUUAUUAGUGUGUUGAGUUGAUUAUGUCUAGUAUGUAAUAUGUAUCCUGAGAUCUGUAUCAAUGAAAAAUGAAUUUUAGCAAGUGGUUGGCAUAGAAGUUAUGUACUAUUUUCUUGUUUUGUGGUGCUGCAUAAUUUUGGGGUUGAAUAAGUUGGCAUUGUGGGAAAUAAGAAUGGUGUAACCAAAUUAAGAUGCAAAUUCAUUCUUGAAAUCAGUAUCAGAAUAAACUAACAUGGGUUAGACUUGCUUAGCUUGAACAUUAAUGUUAAAUACUGCAUCUAGUAUACAUCUUAAGCUUUUACUUUUUUAUGAGACAAUAAAGUUCAGUUAUCCUGUGUCUGAAUAAGGUGAUAUGCAUCUCAUAAUGGUCUAAUGGACAAUUCCACAAUGGUUGUAGUGAGCGAAGUAAACUUCAUAAUUGAAACUAUGUUGGUUAACUGAUUUGCAAUUCCCAGGGCCAAGGCUGCAUUUUAAACUCAAAGUUUAUUAUAUGUAAAUGAAACCUGAUUGAAGAUUUCACAAAAGUGAUGUAAGGGUAUACGUUGGCUGUUUAGAAGAUAUUUAUAGAAAAGAUAAGCAGUGAUAUUUUCAGAAAAAUUUAAACAACAUUUAAAAAUGUGCAACCGCUAUAUAAGUUUUUUCUCAAAGGGCUUGAGAUUGAAAGGUAUUAUACAAUUGAAAUUAAGAAUCAAACAGAUUAGUAUCAUGAACAAUUAAGAACUCUGAUUUGGGCAACACAACAAGAAAAUUCAGAGCAAGCAGAGGCCAAUCUCAUCAAAGACUAAAUAAAUGAAGGAAAAUUGUGAUGUUAUAAUAAUAUAAAGGUAAAGUAUGUAAAAGUAAUACAAAAGAUAUGUAAUACCUUAGAAGAUAAAGCACAAGCAGAUUUUCUUCACUAAUGAAUCCAUAAGAGCUAACAUAGUUUGGUCCUAUAAUAAUUGUUUUUCAAAAUACAUAUGUUUAGAAAUAAGUGAGUUCCAAAAGCAUUCAUGGCUUCCAAAAGCAGCCUCUGAUGGACUGUAACUUAAGCCUCGUGUUGGGUCUUGAAAAUGUUGCAGUUGUAGUUUCCUGACUUGGAGCUUCCUGAGAUGGCCCUGAUGCCCUUGUAGCUGCCUGACUUGGAGCUUCUUGAGGUGGCCCUGGUGCACUUGUAGCUGCUUGACUUGGAGCUUGCUGAGAUGGCCUUGGGUGAGAUGGUCGUUUUGCACUUGGACCUUGUUCAGAUGACUUUUCAAUGCAAGACUUUCUAUUGUGGCCAAGCUUAUGACAGAUCCCACUUUUUUUCUUUAACCCAGUUUGGCCUAUCUGAGUCUUAUUCUUCAUUACCUCCCAUGGCUCUAACCUUCUCUUCUUUUUUGGUCUUCCAAGCAUCUUCUUUGUGGGAGGUGGCACAACAUCUGGCAUUUCAGUUCUUUCCCAUACUUGUUCACCAUUAACUGGAUAGAUAACUGUGUUGUACACCUCUGCAUAUGUUUCCUUCUUGUACCAAAAUGAAAUGAAGUUCACUGGAUCUACAUCCAUCUAUCACUGUCACAUGACCAUGUUGAUGUAUCACCACCAACAUAUCUCGCAUCACAAAAUAUCCCACUAUGGUGGACCACAAGUUGAAAAUAACCUUCUUUCAUGAUAUGAACUUUAUAAAAGGUAUUCCUGUGAAAUAUAAAUAUGCAUAUGACCACAAAUAACAAACAAAUUACAAACCAAAUCUUCACUUAAAUGUUGGACCACACAUCACAAUAUUAUGUCAGAGACCCAAUGUUGGACCACACAUAAAAAAAUGUUGCACAUGGUGGACCCUACAUCAUAAACAACUCUGUAUAUGUUCUCUAAAAGUAAUAAAAAACAGAACCACUCUGAAACUAAGUAAAAAAUUACUAACCUUAUAAAGGAGCAACCACAAAACGACACCACGGUCUGGAUCGCAAUCGCUGCCCCUUCACCACCUCUGGACCGCACCACAUAAUCGCUCCUCCAAAUCGACCAUGGGAACGCAACUUACCAUCGUAACUCACGAUCGCACCACAGAAUCGAAUGAGGGGAGCACACCUCCGAAUGGAAUCGAAGCAGGGAAGCGCACCACAGAAUCCAACCAGGGGAGCAAUCCUCGUAUCAGAAACCCUAAAUCAGAAAUUCGAAAUCCCCAAUUUGAAUAACCUAAACCUUAAUUUAGUAUUCACCAAAGUAAUGUAAGCAUAAUCCACGUAACUUACAUGUGUUUGCCACAUAAGCACCACUUAACGCCAUUUGGUGAUAUUUAACAGAAAGGACCAUUUUGAAUACAUUUUAAAAAACUUAGGGACCAAAUUGAAUUUUUUAAAAACCACUGUACCAAAUUGACUAUUGACUAUAAAUAUAGGGACGAAAAAGGUAAUUAAACCUAAAAUAUUACAUUAAAUAUAUACGCUUUUUUAAGGUAAUACAUUUAGACACAUGAUUACUAUUCCAAUUUAAAAAUAAUAUAUAUACAUAUAUACAUUCAUAUAUAUAUAUAUAUAUAUAAUACUAUACUUAACUUUUAUUACAAAAAAGACUAAGGUUUAACUACUGUAUUUAGCAUUUGAUGAGUAUUUAAACCUAAACAAUCUAUGCACUUUAGAAAGAUAAAAACACACUAUUAAAUAUUAAAAAAAUUAUUAUUGAAUUUCGUGAAGGUGUUAUGAAUUAGGAAUUGGAGGUAGUUUCUUCCUACACUUCUAUGCCUUUCUUCUUGCACCCCAUACUUAAAAAAAUACUCAAAUUACCCUUUGACAUUUUUCAUUGAAUAUUUUUUCUUUAAUUCCAGAGUGUGGAAUUCAAGAUACUUCCUAGGUUAUAGAAUUUGGAAUUUAAAAUUUGUGUUUUGGAAUGUAUAAUAUUUCAGAUUGUACAAUUAUAAUGUAUUUUAAAUUAUAGAAUUUGAAAUGAAUAAUAUUAGAAUUUUUUAGAAUAUGAAGUUACAAGAAGAAAUUAUGGGGAUACAUAAAGAAAUUUCUAAAUUUUUGAAAUAUGUGGGUUAUGCACGCCAACUCUCCCCGUUCAACACUUAACCCACGUGAGCUGCGAGUUGUGCAAAACGAGCUUAAGAAAACCAACAAAUUGAAAUAAACAGUCCACAUUGCAUUUUUUUCUAGCAGGUUGCGGACUGGUGUGUGGUUGAGCCUGCUUUACCAUCUCUUCUAUUCACAAAUAAUUGAAUAUCUUAUUAUUCACAUCAUCAUGUUCAAGGUAGGUUUAUGUACCCAAUUUCAAGUUAACUAAAAGAAAGUACACGUAACAAGAGUUAACCAAAUCUUUCAUUAUCGAAUUAGUGUUACUAGUUCUAUGCUUCAAAUGUAAAAACUUUCUAGUUAACAAGAUAAGAUAAGAAAUAUGAAUUCUUUUAAGGACAAAAUAUAAAGAAGAAACAUUAGUAGAGGAUACUAUUCCAUAAUAAGAAACUUAGUUUAACUAUUGGUUGUCAUUUACAACUUCUAGUUGUAUCAAUCAAUUAUUAUGAUAUUAUUGAUUGCUGGUAAAUAUUUAGACCACAAACUCUAAGAUUCAUAUACUUUCGAUUUUCUCCAAGAUAGAGACUUGUUUCUUGCCGUGCCGUAAAUGUGUUCCCUUGUCACCCAUGGAUGGUUUUCCUAUUCUUUGGAAUGCUUAGAAUCAUCUAAAAAGACACUUUCAACAACAACAAAAUAGCCACGAAAUUACAGGAAAAAAAAUGUUUCCUGAAUAUUUCUGCAAGAUUUUCAUAUUCAAUUAAUGUGGACCAUGUAAAAUAUACCCCAUGAAUUCAAGUUUCUUUUGUCUCUUUCUCCUCCACUGUCAGAACCAUGUGUGGAUCAGAAUUUGAGAUUGAGAUUGUUUGACAAACAUCUUUUCGAUUUUUUCAUCCUUUUCUUAUCUUAGUCUGCCUUGUGUAUAUUGGAAACUUUCUUGUGUAGCCUUUAAUUAGUUAUAACACAUUCUUUUAGUUUAUCUAUUUAAUUGGUUAUAGCAAAUAUUUUAAUUGUUUAUAUAAAAAAAUGUCAUUCAGAAUCAGUUCGAAAAAUAUAAAAGUUUAUUUCUUAUCUAUACUUGUUAUAGAAUAAGAAACGACCUAUUUUUAUAUUUCAAGAAUAUUUUAUGAAAUUGAAAUAAAUAUGAUUAAUAAAGAAAAUUUAUAAUAAAAUGAUAAAAUAUCUAUUUUUAUCAUAAUUUCUACCAUGACCGUAAGUUUCUAUUUUAUUUAAAAUUAUCGUGAAAUCAACAAAGAAUAAUUCGUAUUUAAAAUUAAUAACAUAAUGAAUUGGGUAUUGCACGUACACAUUUAUUGCCAAUUGUAACUGCAUGGGUUAUCGAAAUGAUUGCAUCCAUUAUUGAGGGACUAUCAUCAUAUAUAAUACAAGCUUUUUUUGUAAUUAGUAUCACGUUAGUUUGGACUGGGAAUAAAGUUUUUUAACUUUUUUUAUAUAUUUGUUUUUUACUGUUUUAUAAAAGACAAUACCAAAUUAAGUAAGGUUUCCUUUUUUUGCUACUGGCUAUUAUUGGAAAGUUCGUCUUGGUAUGAACUGUUUUUCGAGAGUUCUGAUGUAACAUUCUGUGUAUUUUGGAGAGCUACUUAAAAUAGUUUUUUUUUAUAGAUUGGAAUAUGCCUUAAACAUUCCUAUUUGUUUAAUUUAUUUCUGAUAAAAAAAUGGUAAAAAAAAACACUAAUCCAAACCUAGAAUUAACGCAAGCACGAAAUGUGAAGUCUUAUUCCUUUAUCUCCUUCACAAAGCUCUUAAAGUUCUCAUAAGAUGUACCUCCUUUUGCUAUGUUGUUCAUCACUUUCUCCUUCAACACCACACACCUAAAUUUUAUGCUCUCAUCAUUAAAUAAUUGUUCUACCUUGGUUUUCAACUCCCUCCGUGACACAACUCCAUUUUGAUCUUUGUCAAUCCCCACCCCAACCUUUAACUCAUCACAAAUAUGUGUUUUGUUGUAAACUUGGUCUCCAAAGUAUGGCCAACACAAUAAAGGUACCCCAUUGGACAAACCUUCCAUGGUAGAAUUCCAACCACAAUGAGUCACAAAACAUGCUAUGGCAGGGUGGCUUAAAACCUUUUGUUGAGGAGCCCAAUUAACUAUCUUACCCUUAUGUCCUUGGAAUUCAUGAGGGUAUGCCAUUUUAUUGUCUUCUCUUAUAACCCAAAGAAAAGGUCUGUUGGUGAGGUGUAGUCCAAGGGCAAGUUCAUUGAAUUGGUUUUGGUCAAAAAGAGUGAAACUACCAAAGGCAACAUACAACACAGAACCAUCAGCUUGUUCAUCUAGCCAACUCAUGCAGGAGUGGUCUUCUUUCCAGAAUUGUCCCAUUGAUUUUGUAGCUGCACUUUUGUUAUGAUCAUUAUCAUUGCUUCUCAACAAUGGCCCAAUUGGGAUGAUGUUCGGAAGAAAUAAUAAUGUCUCAGGUUCAAGUUCAUGUGUGGUGUUGCAUAGCCACCACUGUGUCAAAUGUAAACUUCGUGCGCAAUACAGCAAAUACUUAAGCACUUUCUUACCAGUUGUUAGGUCACCGAUAUUCAACCAAAAAAAGUCUUUUGGAUCCAUCUCAGGCAUACUUGGCGAAAUCUGAAUUCUCUUUUCUGUAGUUAAUGUUAAACCUUCAGCGAAAAACCAACAAAAAAACAUUAGCUUAUACAAUAGACGUAUAAAUUAAGUUAUAAAUUAUGUUCAAACAUAAGAAUACGAUAAUAUUCUUACCUAAAUCAGAGUCUAUAAUUCCCUCAUCAAUAAGCACAGGGAUGUUGUACAGCAAGGUGAAAAAAGUUGCUGAUGCAGGACACAACACAGCUCCUUUGAUUCCCAGUUUAGUCCCAACAUCCAAAGCCCAAGCCAUGCACAAAUCAGCAACAAUGAAGUUGAUUCUGUUCUCACCUUUCAAAUGAAUAUCCUCUAUGAGCUUCUCAAGUGCUUCUGGCAUGGUGUUUGGAAUGGCAUCACACAUCUUGGCCAGAUCGUUUCUGUCAUCAUCAGGUCCUAAACCAUCAGAGAUUGAAACCAACUUCAGCACUGAUUCUUCAUCAUCAAGGGUAGAACUAUCUUGUUGCUCCACCAUGGAACUCACCACUCUCCUGUGGAUAAAGUCUGUGUUCACAAAAAUGACUUUGCAUCCAUUCUGAACCAACUUCUGCGAGAAGGUCAUCAUGGGAUUCACAUGCCCUUGUGCUGGAUAUGGUAAAGCUAGCACAGUUGGAGUUCUCAUGUUAACACUCUUUUUAUUUGGUUUCUAUUGAUUCUGAUUUUCUGAGACCAAUUAGCAUGCAUCUAUUCAUCUAUAUAUAGGCACAGCCCCUCACUAUAUCAUAAUCGUGUAUAUACGUACCAAUUACAAUCUAGGUCACGAUCAGUCAAAAUCUUCGGCUAUCAUAAAUUUCAUGUAAGAAGAAAUGUAGAAAGUUUGUGUGUUCACAACAAUAAUUUUGUCAUUCUAUACCUCUUUACAUUUCCUUGUACUUCUCUGAUUCGACUUUAGUGUUUUUAUCAUUAAACUUUUGUUUUUUAGUUUAUUAAUUGAUUUAGCAUUAUGGUGUUAUUUAAUUACGAGAAUCAUGUAAUUAGUGUAAGAAAUUAGACGUGAAGGGUAGGGAAAAAACGGAUGGUGGGUCUUUGAUCUGGGAUGUGGUGGAAGGGGGUCACUAUGAGAUUAUGUGUGCAGAGAGUAGGAUGAGGCAGUGCAGAAUUGUGUAGGUGCUGGUCUAGAUUUGCUCUGUCAUGCAUUGCAUAUUUGUUGCUUUAGUUUUAUCAAUCUAUGUCUUAGCCAAAGGCUAGGAGCUGUUUGGAUAGGAAUGUCUUCUUAACAGCAAAACAGCAAAACUAAUUUGUCCUGCAUAAUUUUGCAUACUAGAUAGGAACUUUGGGAAUGGUUUUGCUAGAUCUAAUUUUUAUAUAAGGGUUCAAACAUUCCUAAAAUAUCCCUUCUAAUUUUAUUUACUUUUUGCUUAUAAAAAAAUUGUAAAAAAUAUUUCUUUUAAUUUAGAUGAAUUUGAAAGGAAAGGUUAAUAAAUGAAAAUUUUCAAAUAAUAAAAAGAUUGGUAGAAGGAUAGUUGAGAAGUGCAACAGAUUGCCUCUAACUUUGAAAACAAUUGGAUGUCUUUUACGCACAAAGUCAUCCAUUUCAGAUUGAAAAAACAUAUUGGAAAGUGACAUAUGGGAGCUACUAAAAGAGCACAAUGAAAUAAUCUCUUUGCUAUUUCUAAGCUAUUGCCACCUUCCUUCUCAGGGUAUUUGAUCAUGAUGGGGUUAUUUUUUUUUGUUUUUACCAAAAUGGAGUCCGUUUAAAAAAAAUUACAAAUUUAGGCAAGUCGUGCCAAUUUGGCACGACUUCAUAUGGACAAAUCGUUCCAAUUUGACACGACUCUGCCAUGUCAUACUAAAAUCGUGCCAACUUGGCACGACUUCUGCCCUGUCAUACCGAAGUCGUGCCAACUUGACACAAAUCUGCCACAUCUUAAUUUUUAAUUUUUUUUAAAAAUUUUAUUGUUUAUAUAUUGGAUAGUAAGUUAUGUAAUGCUAAAAAUUAAUUUGAUACAUAAUUUUUUAAGAGGGUUAGUUUCAAGGAACAAAAAAUUGGAUAUAUAUAAUUAUUUUUAAAUUAUUUAAUUAUUUCAAAAUAAUUACAAAUUAUUUAUAUUAUUUGUUUUAUUUAAAAUUUAUAUAAUUAUUUCAAAAUAAUUACCGUACUUAUACCUUUUUAUAUUUUAAUAUAAAUGACAUUAAAAAAAAUAAACAGGUCAAAAAAUGUAUUAUUUGAAUUGUGAUAAAAAAAAUUAUUACUUUAGAAAAAAAUAAAUAAUUGUAAUACACGAUUAUCCAAUUUUUUGUUCCUUAAAACUAACACUCUUAGAAAAUUAUGUAUCAAAUUAAUUUUUUACAUUACAUAACUUACAACCCAAUAUAUAAACAAUAAUAUUUAAAAUAAAAAUAAAAAUUAUGACAUAACAUAAGUCGUGGCAAGUUGGCAUGACUUCAGUAUGACAGAGGCACGACUUGCCUAAAUUUGUAAUUUUUUUUAAACGGACACCAUUUUGGUAAAAACAAAAAAAAAAUAACCCCAUCAUGGUCAAAAACCCUCAUUCUCAUCUUAAAAGGUGCUUUGCUUAUUGUGUCUUAUUUUCCAAAGAUUAUGAGUUUGUGAAGGAGAAGUUAAUAAUUUUCUUGUGAGUCCACAACAUAUUAGACGUCAAGAAGAAGUUGGUGAACAUUACUUGAAUGAUCUAUUGUCAAGGUCUUUCUUUCAACAAUUAGGGGUCAAAAAGUGUUUUGAACAAUCAUGUCUUAGGAGGUGUUUCGUCAUGCAUGACCUUUUCAAUCAUUUGACAAAUUCAAUAAUUUGACAAAAUAUGUCUGUGUGGAUUUUUGUUCCAGAUUGAAAUUUGAUAAAGGUUUUAAUGGUUUUGGGAGUUUAAGUGAAACUAAAAGCUUCGUUAAUUACGUGUUUAAUAUGUGAAGCUUCUGUCUUGUUCUAAGACAUCUUUGUAGUACUUUUUUCUUCCUGCCCUUACAAGCCAGUGGAUGUAUGUAUCAUAAACUAAUAACUAAUUCCAACUAACUAUAUAAAGAUAACCUUUGCAACACUUAUACCAAAUCAAGUCCCUAUAAAUUUAACCAAAUUCUCUGUUUUUUUAAUUUGGUUCUCUUGAAUGUUUAUUCAGAAAUGUUGUCCCAAUACUGGAUUAUGCUAAAUCAUGGAGAAAUUGAAUUAUUCAUAAUAAACCAUGUCAUUAUGUAACAUGCUUGUCUCAAGUCUUAAUGUGAAAUGCUUUUAAGCUGAAAUCUAAUAUGGUAUAAGAUUCUAUAGCUCAUUUGUGUUUAAUUACAAUAAACUGAGACAAUUUGGGCAUUGAAAUUGUCUUAAAACAGGGUCCAAUGUGCAAGGCCAUACAUCCAUCCAUUUUAUUUUCCUUAAUGUUCAGAACUUUAGACUACUAAAUAUUUUAUUUUUCCUUUUUCUCAUACUUUUGACCCUUCAUGUAUCAUAAUCCAGCAUUCUAUACUUAUAUAAACCAAGAAAAAUGAACUUUUCUAUUUGGACUGAGGAGUGGAUUUGUGAGGAUUAGAGAGUAUGUGUGAGAGGAUAUGUGAGGUUGUUUGGAUUGAGGGAUGAUAGAGUGGAUUUGUGAGGAUGAUUUAUUGUAAGUUUACAAAUUUACCCUUGUUAUUAAAAAAUAUUUAAAUAAUGAAUUAUGAUUUUUUUUAGGUUUGAAUUAAUUAAAUAUUUUUAACAUAUAAUAUCUAUAAUUGUUUAUAUUUUUUAAUAAAAGAUUAAAUAUUUUUUUGUGUUAAAUUGAAAUAAAUUUAUUAAAUACAUUAAAAUUUAUGAAAAUAAUAUUUAUUAUUAUAUUCAUUUGUUACUUUAUAUAACUAUAUAUGGUUGAUAUUAUAAAUUUUUUUGUAUUUUUUAUUUUAUUAUUUAUAAUUAUAUGUUGUUAUUAAUAGUAUAAUUAAAUAUUUUUGAAAUUAUAAAUAAUAAAUAAAUUUAUAUAAUAUUUAAUUUUGUAUAUUGUAAAUAAAAUGGAUGGACAAGAAUAUUUUGGUAAAAUACAAUAAUCCUACAUUAAUCGCCACAAAUCUCUUCAUCAGCAGGGAGAAGGUUUGUCUUCUUUGGGGGACUAACGAAGUAGAUUGGGUCGAAAACAAAGCUACAAACAACGCAGGGGGGUUCUUACGAUGUGGAGUAAUAAGUCGUUUCAGAUGUUUAGUUUUGUAAACGGAAGGAACUAUACUGUGAUUGAAGGUUUUUGGAAGGUUAUUAAUGAGGUUUUUGUAACUAUAGUGAAUGUAUAUUGUUGUGGCUCUUUACGGGAAAAGAAAGAGAUGUGGAAAAAGAUCAAUGGAGUCAGGUUGAAUCAACUAUCAAAGGCGUGGUGUAUUAUUGGAGAUUUUAAUUCUAUUAGACGUAAAAGAAGAGAGGAAGAGUUUGAUUUCGACGUCAGAUUAUUCUAGAGAAAUAAAAGGGUUUAAUGAUUUUAUCAAAAAAUCAGAAUUGGUUGAUAUCCCAUUGGUUGGAAGGAAGUUUACUUCGUAUAAACCCAAUGGUUUGGUGAAGAGCAGAAUCGACAGGGUUCUAGUUUCAAAGGAGUGGCUGGAAUCUUGGCCUCACUGCCAACAAUUCGUUUUAAACAAAUCAAUCUCUGACCAUUGUGCGGUUAUACUUAAAGAGGUGUCAGUGGACUGGGGCCCGAAACCUUUUAGGUGUUUGGAUGUUUGGCAAAAAGAUAGCAGAUUUAAAGAGUUUGUGAGUUCGAGUUGGUCUUCUUAUAGGUUAUAGGAGGUGGGAUUUUUAUUUUCAAAGAAAAAUUGAAAAAACUAAAAGCAUAUUUAAAAGUAUGGAACAAAGAAGUCUUUGGAGGUGUAAAUCUUGCCAGUAAGGAAGUGCAAAAGAAGAUCGAUGAAUUAGAUGUACGAGACAAUGAUGGUGGUUUAGUUGAGUCAGAAAGGGAAGAAAGAAAGUUCCUCUUUGCAAAACUUAAUAAAUUCAAAUUUAAGCAAGAGGCUAUUAUGUUUCAGAAAGCAAGACAAAAGUAGUUAAAACAGGGGGAUCUUAAUACAAAGUUUUUUCACUCUGUAAACUGGAGAAGGGCAAGGAAUCAGUUGCAUGGGGUUUUCGUUAACGGUAAAUGGUGUGAAGAUAAGGAGGUGAUCAAGGACAAGGUUCGUGUUUCCUUUGAAGAUAGGUUUGCCAUGAACGAUGCUUGUCAAGUUAGAUUGGACAAUGUCAGGUUCAGUUCCAUUUCGGAGUCCGAUAAUGAGUUGUUGAUUGGAGAUUUUCUGAAGAUGAGGUUAGGGCUGUAGUUUGGAGUUGUGACAGUUCAAAGAGCCCUGGCUCUGAUGGUUUCAAUGAAAUUUUGCUGGGAUAUCAUUAAAAAGGAUGUGGUGUCGGCAGUGAAGAAUUUUGCGGUUAAUGGUCAUUGACCCAGAGAUUCAAACGCUUUGUUUCUUUGUUUAAUACCAAAAGUAGAAAAUCCUCAGCAGCUCGGUGAGUUUAGACCUAUUUCAUUAGUUGGGUGCUUGUAUAAAAUCAUAUCUAAAGUGCUAUCUCUACGAUUGAAAAAGGUAACUAGUAAAGUUAUUGACGUUAGAUAGUCGACUUUCCUUGAAGGAAGGGGUUUUUCUGGACAGUGUGUUAGUCGCCAAUGAGGUUUUGGAAGAAUAUAAAAGAAAGAGGAAGAGUUGUGUUUUCUUCAAAGUUGACAAUGAGAAGGCGUAUGACUCGGUCAGUUGGGAGUUUAUUUAUUAUAUGCUAAGGAGGUUGGGUUUCUGUGAUCUUUGGAUCUAUUGGAUAAAGGGUUGUUUAGAAUCAGCCUCGGUUUCAGUUCUAGUUAACGGUAGUCCACCUAGGGAGUUCUUUCCUAGGAAGGGACUUCGUUAAGGUCAUCCGCUAGCACCGUUUCUCUUCCUUAUUGUGGCAAAAGGGUUGGCUGGGGUAUCAAGGGUGGCUGAAGAAAAGAUUUGAUUGACAGUUUGGAGGUUGGCAAGGAUAAAGUGAAGGUAAAUAUGUUACAAUAUGCAAAUGAUAUUUUGUUCUUCUGUGAAGCUAACACCAAAAGCGUUUUCAAUAUUAAGGCGAUUUUGCAAUGCUUCGAGCUUUCUUCUGGGCUUAGGGUGAAUUUUUUGAAAAGUAGAAUUGGUGGGACGGGGCUGGAUCAGCUUUCGCUUCAGCGUUUGGCAGCUAUUCUCAACUGCGACGUGAUGGUUUCUCCUUUUGUUUACUUGGGAUUGCCAGUUGGAGGGAAUCACAAGCGUGGUGCCUUUUGGAAUGGGGUGAUAGAGAAAGUUCAGGCUAGGUUGAGCAGGUGGAAAGGGAGGUGCCUUUCGAUGGCUGGGAGGAUCUGUUUGUCAAGUCAGUUCUUUCCUCUAUCCCGUUAUUUUUUAUGUCCUUAUUCAAAUUGCCUUUAGGGGUGGCAAAUAAAUUAGUUAGGAUUCAAAGGAAUUUUCUCUGGGGGUGGGGAUCUGAAGGAAGGAAGAUCGUUUGGGCUUCUUGGCAAAAGGUAUGUAAGCCUCGCGAUUUUUGGGGGGGCUUGGUAUUAUUGAUUUAAAAAAUUUUAACUUGGCUUUGUUAGGAAAAUGGAUUUGGAGGUUGGGUACGGAUAAGGGUGGUCAUUGGAAGGAGAUUCUGGUUUCAAAAUAUGGUGGUUGGAAGUGCUUGAGAAAGGAAGGAAAAAGUCGUAGAAGCUCUCUUUGGUGGAAAGAUUUGAAAGAGGUGUGAGCCUCAGAGGGUUGGGGAAGAAGUUUUGAAGAUGGGUUCAACUGGAAAGUUGGUGAUGGAAAGGAUAUUUCCUUCUGGGAGGAUAAUUGGUUGGGUUGCGAUGCGUUGAAGAGAGCCUUUCCGAGACUGUUCUCUUUGUGUUUGGCCAAAGAGACAAAGGUGGCAGAGCUUGGAUCUUGGUCUAAUUGUGUUUGAGUUUGACAUUUAGUCCGGCGAAGACCUUUUUUCGAAUGGGAGAAGCCUUUGGUGGAUCAAUUUUGGCAGGUAUUGCAAGGUGUUAGGUUGAUUUUGGGAGAGGCGGAUAGUUGUGUUUGGAAGGUCGGGGAUCUUCAGAAGUUUUCAGUUAACUCUGCUUAUAUGCAUGUUAGGAGGGAUAGUGAGGUGGAAGGUUCUCCGGUAUUCAAUAAGUUGUGGAGAUGUAAAGCCGUACCUUUUGCUUUAUUUACUGUUUGGAGGGUUCUGGAGAAUAAGACUGCUACUAGGGUCAAUCUGGAAAGGCGAGGGGUGAUGGUUGAAAAUGCUUUGUGUUGUCUGUGUGGGAAGGAGGAAGAGUCUUCCGCCAUUUGUUUUUUAUUGCAAUUUUACUUGGCGUGUUUGGUGUUUUUGCUAUAAGUGGCUUGGAGUUUCGUUUGUGUCUCACAUUGAUCCUAAGUCCAACUUUGCUCAUUUCUGGAUGAGUCAGUCUUCAAACUCGGUUAACAUUGUGUGGAGUACAAUUUGGGUGGGGGUUGUGAGUGAAAUCUGGAAUCACAGGAACCUUAUCAUUUUCAAAAGGGGUGUGACUGAUGUGUCAGAAAUGCUUGCAAUGGUGCAAGUAAAGGUUUGGUCUUGGAUUUCCACAAAAUCUCGUUCUGCUUCGUUUUCCUAUUCUGAUUGGUGUUUAGAACCUUCGGCAUGCAUGAUGAUUGUUCCUUGAAGUUUUUACGUGUUAGUUUGGUUAGUGCUUUCAUCAGUUAGGUAGGCGGUUCUAGUUAAAAGUUGGUUCUCAUUUAUUUAUUGUUUAUUGCUGAUAAAAAUAAAAUAAAAUAAAAAGAACCAUCCACCCUCUCUCCAUCCACUCUCCCACCCUCAAAAUCUUUGAAACAAACAAAAAAAAAAUAUUCCCUCCCUCCUGAAAACAAACAUGUGGACCACCAUGAAUUAAGUUUCUUUUGACUCUUUCUCCUCCACUGUCAGAAUCAUGUGGUGGAUCAGAAGUUGAGAUUGAAAUUGUUUAACAAUCAUCUUUUCGAAUUUUUAAUCCUUUUCUUAUCUUAGUCUGCCUUGUGUAUUUGUAUGUGUAUUAUUUGUGUGGUUAUUGGAAACUUUCUUGUGUCUUUUUAUAGUUAUAACACAUUCUUUUAGUUUAUCUAUUUAAUUGUUUAUAUAAAAAAAUGUCAGUUUAUUAUCAUGUAACUUGAACUAUAUUCAGGAUCAGUUCGAAAAAUAUACAAGUUUAUUUCUUACCUAUUAUAGAAUAAGAAAUGACCCAUUUUUACAUUUCAAAAAUAUUUUAUGAAAUUGAAAUAAAUAUGAUUAAUAAAGAAAAUUUAUAAUAAAAUGAUAAAAAUAUCUAUUUUUAUCAUAAUUUCUACCAUGACCGUCUAUUUUAUUUAAUAAUAUGGUGAAAUCAACAAAGAAUAACAUAAUGAAUUGGGUAUUGCACAUACACAUUCAUUGCCAAUUGUAACUGCAUGGGUUAUCGAAAUGAUUGCAUCCAUUAUUGAGGGACUAUCAUCAUAUAUAAUACAAGUUUUUUUUGUAAUUAAUAUCAAGUUAGUUUGGACUGGGAAUAAAGUUGUUUAACUUUUUUUGAUUUAUUUGUUUUUGACGGUUUUAAAAAAGACAAUACCAAAUUAUGUAAGGUUUACUUUUUUGCUAUGGCUAUUAUGAACUGUUUUUUUGAGAGUUCUGAUGUAACAUUCUUUUACUGAUGUAAUUUUAGAGGACUAUUUAAAAUAGUUUUUUUUUAUAGAUUGGAAUAUGCCUUAAACAUUCCUAUUUGUUUAAUUUAUUUCUGAUAAAAAAACGGUAAAAUAAAACACUAAUCCAAAACUAUAAUUAACCUAAGCACAAAUCUGAACUCUUAUUCCUUUAUCUCCUUCACAAAGCUCUUAAAGUUCUCAUAAGAUGUUCCUCCUUUUGCUAUGUUCUUCAUCACUUUCUCCUUCAACACCACACACCUACAUUUUAUGUUCUCAUCAUUAAAUAAUUGUUCCACUUUGGUUUUCAACUCUCCACGUGAAACAAUCCCAUUUUGAUCCUUGUCAAUCCCCAACCCAACCUUUAACUCAUCACAAAUAUGUGCUUUGUUGUAAAGUUGCUCUCCAAAGUAUGGCCAACACAAGAAAGGUACUCCAUUGGACAAACUUUCCAUGGUAGAAUUCCAACCACAAUGAGUGAGAAAACAUGCUAUGGCAGGGUGACUUAAAACCUUUUGUUGAGGAGCCCAAUUCACUAUCUUACCCUUAUGCCCUUGGAAUUCAUGAGGGUAUGCCAUUUUAUUGUCUUCUCUUAUAACCCAAAGAAAAGGUCUAUUGGUGAGGUCUAGUCCAAGGGCAAGUUCAUUGAAUUGGUUUUGGUCAAAAAGAGUGAAACUACCAAAGGCAGCAUACAACACAGAACCAUCAGCUUGUUCAUCUAGCCAACUCAUGCAAGAGUGGUCUUCUUUCCAGAAUUGUCCCAUUGGUUUUGUAAUUGCACUUUUGUUGCCAUCAUUACCAUUGCUUCUCAACACUGGCCCAAUUGGGAUGAUCUUGGGAAGAAAUAAUAAUGUCCCAGGUUCAAGUUCAUGUGAGGUGUUGCAAAGCCACCACUGUGUCAAAUGUAAACUUCGUGUGCAAUGCAGCAGAUACUGAAGCAUUUUCUUACCAGUUAGGCCACCCAUAUUCAACCAAAAAAAGUCUUCUGUAUCCAUCUCAGGCAUACUUGGCGAAAUCUGAAUUCUCUUUUUCGUGGUUAAUGUUAAAUCUUCAGUGAAAAACCAACAAAAGAAUAUAUUAGUUUAUACAACGUAUAAAUUAAAUUAUAAAUUAUGUUCAAACUUAACUAUACAUAAUAUUCUCACCUAAAUCAGAGACUAUAAUUCCCUCAUCAAUAAGCACAGGGAUGUUGUACAGCAAGGUGAAAAAAGUUGCUGAUGCAGGACACAACACAGCUCCUUUGAUUCCCAAUUUACUCCCAACAUCCAAAGCCCAAGCCAUGCACAAAUCAACAACAAUGAAGUUGAUUCUGUUCUCACCUUUCAAAUGAAUAUCCUCUAUGAGCUUCUCAAGUGCUUCUGGCAUGGUGUUUGGAAUGGCAUCACACAUCUUGGCCAGAUCGUUUCUGUCAUCAUCAGGUCCUAAACCAUCAGGGAUUGAAACCAACUUCAGCACUGAUUCUUGUUCAUCAGGGCUAGAACUAUCUUGUUGCUCCACCAUGGAACUCACCACUCUCCUGUGGUUAAAGUCUGUGUUCACAAAAAUGACUUUGCAUCCAUUCUCAAGCAGCUUCUGUGAGAAGGUCAUCAUGGGAUUCACAUGCCCUUGUGCUGGAUAUGGUAAAGCUAUCACAGUUGGAGUUCUCAUGUUAACACUGUUUUUAUUUGGUUUCUAUUGAUUCUGAUUUCUGAGGCCAAUUAUGCAUUCAUCUGUUCAUGUAUAUAUAGGCACAGCCCCUCACAUUAAAAACGUUAAUCAAUGCCUUAACUAUAUCAUAAUCACAGUAAGAAAUAUCUUUGGAUGAAUUUGAAAGGAAAGGUAAUAAAUGAAAAUUUUCAAAUAAUAAAAUACAUUUUCUAAAGUUCAGGUAUACAUAUAAAUGUUAAAAAUGGAAAUAUACCAUUUUCUUUCAUUAUAAAAAAUAUUGCAUAUAGUCACUAGUGUGGGCCAAAGACAGGACAUAAAGAGGUAAACACUGAUCCUAGAUGCUUGUUAGUGUCGGCAACUGAGCUCAAAAGCAAAUGCAGAUUGAAUCAGCUAAAUCGAUGCAAGCUUGAUCACAACCCAUAUUUGUAGUACUUUUUUGUUCUAAGGCAUCUUUGUAGUACUUUUUUCUUCCUGCCCUUACAAGCCUGUGGAUGAAUGUAUCAUAAACUAAUAACUAUAUAAAGAUAACCUUUGCAACACUUAUACCAAAUCAAGUCCCUAUAAAUUUAACCAAAUUCUCUGUUUUUUGAAUUUGGUUCUCUUGAAUGUUUAUUCAGAAAUGUUGUCCCAAUACUGGAUUAUGCUAAAUCAUGGAGAAAUUGAAUUAUUCAUAACAAACCAUGUUAUUAUGAAACAUGCUUGUCUCAAGUCUUAAUGUGAAAUUCUUUUAAGCUGAAAUCUAAUAUGGUAUAAGAUUCUAUAGCUCAUUUGUGUUGAAUUACAAUAAACUGAGACAAUUUGGGCAUUGAAAUUUUCUUAAAACAGGGUCCAAUGUGCAAGGCCAUACAUCCAUCCAUUUUAUUUUCCUUAAUGUUCAGAACUUUAGACUGCUAAAUAUUCUAUUUUUCCUUUUUCUCAUACUUCUUGACCCUUCAUGUAUCAUAAUCCAGCAUUCUAUACUUAUAUAAACCAAGAAAAAUGGACUUUUCCCUGAGCACUCAUUAAGCCAUUAACCCUCUUGCAGAAACAAAACUGGAUGAAAUUAAAGAUAAAAGAUUGCAAGCCAUUUGUUAAAACGUCAUCAAGUAUCCAUUCUCAAACAAUUCUGAUUCUUCCAAUAAAAACUCAUUUCUCUCCUGUUUUAUUUCACAUCCUUCUAAUCACUCUUCCCAUUCAAAAAUAACAGUUAAUUAUAUUUUACUAUUUUAUUACCUCUCCUCUACAAUCUCGAGAUCCUGCUGCAGCAGAAAAGCUCUUGCUCUGCACUAAAAGUUUAAAGACUCUGAACAGCAACAACAAAGUUACACAAGUGUAAAGUUUCUUGUUGACCAAGUAUUGUCUUGUAUAGAUGGAGAUAAAAAGUGAUUAUUUGGAGCCAACACCUCUCUACAAAUCUUGUAUAUUCAAAGAGUGGAUUAAGAGUCUUUUACCGAUGAAGAUUUACUUCUACUCCCUCUCACUUUGCUAAAUGCAAGUGAUUCAAAAUAUAAGUUAAGUAAGAGUUAGAUAAAUUCAACAGUUAGAUUUAUUCAUUAAAUACGACUGCCAUAUCAGAAAAUUCAACCUUUUCUAGAUGCAGAUUUUCUACACUAUGGAUUUAUACACUCACAAGUCCAACUCAUCAAAACCCUUGAAUAAAAGUCAAACUGCUAUAGUUUGAACCAUCCACUACUAGUCCAACUAUCGCUUUUUCUUAUUGGUGGCUAGAUCAGGGAAUUCAUCAAGUUUGAACCAUUCACUUCUAAUUAAUCCAACUAUCACUCUUUCUUAUUCGUGGCUGCAUCAGUGAGAAUAUUCUAGUUUUCAACAAGACUCAAACAAAAGAUGUUCCACCAUCUUAAAGUCAAGUCAUCCUCUGUAGAACAUCGUAUACUCAUCUCAUCAAUAAUUGUUACGAACUGAAACUGAUUUCUAUUAACCCUAUCCCUCACCAAUUUCUACCAUGGCAGCAGAACUUGUUGGUGGUGCUCUUCUUUCGGCUUUCCUUCAGUUUGCAUUCGAUAGGCUGGCCUCUCCUCAGGUUAUAGACUUCUUUCGGAGAAGAAAACUUGAUGAGAAACUGCUCGGCAAUUUGAACAUCAUGCUACACUCCAUCAAUGCUCUCGCUGAUGAUGCUGAACUAAAGCAGUUCACAGAUCCACAUGUCAAAGCAUGGCUUUUUGCGGUCAAAGAGGCUGUCUUUGAUGCAGAGGAUCUUUUGGACGAAAUAGAUUAUGAACUCACCAGAUGUCAAGUGGAAGCUGAACUUGAACCUCAAACCAUCGCUUACAAGGUAUCAAACUUCAUCAACUCUACUUUCAGUUCAUUUAACAAGAGAAUUGACUUAGGGUUGAAAGAAGUCUUAGAAAAAUUAGAAUAUCUUGCAAGGCAAAAGGGUGCUCUUGGUUUGAAAGAGUGUACUCAUUCUGGUGCUGGAUCAGGUAGUAAAGUGCCAUCAUCUUCUUUGGUGGUUGAAAGUGUUAUUUAUGGCAGAGAUGCUGACAAAGAUUUAAUCAUUAAUUGGCUCACAUCGGAAACCAAUAAUCAAAACCAGCCAUCAAUUCUUUCUAUUGUGGGUAUGGGUGGGUUGGGUAAAACCACACUCGCUCAACAUGUAUACAAUGACCCAAAGAUUAACAAUGCUAAAUUUGAUACCAAAGCUUGGGUCUGUGUUUCAGAUCAUUUUCAUGUUUUGACCGUGACAAAAACUAUUCUUGAGGCAAUCACUGAUAGAAAAGAUGACAGUGGAAACCUAGAAAUGGUUCACAAAAAACUGAAACAAAAUUUGUUAGGAAAGAAAUUUCUUCUUGUAUUGGAUGAUGUUUGGAACCAAAGACGAGACGAAUGGGAAGCUGUGCAAACUCCUCUUACCUACGGCGCUACUGGAAGUAGAAUUCUUGUGACAACACGUGAUGAGAAAGUUGCUUCUAACAUGCAAUCUAAAGUGCAUCGCCUAAAACAAUUACGAGAGGAUGAAUGCUGGAACGUUUUUGCAAAACACGCAUCAAUAGAUGAUAAUCUUGAAUUGAACAAUGAGCUAAAGGAGAUUGGUAGAAGGAUAGUUGAGAAGUGCAAAGGAUUACCUUUAGCUUUGAAAACAAUUGGAUGUCUUUUACGCACAAAGUCAUCCAUUUCAGAUUGGAAAAGCAUAUUGGAAAGCGACAUAUGGGACUUACCAAAGGAAGAGAGUGAAAUUAUUCCUGCGCUAUUUCUGAGCUAUCACUACCUUCCUUCUCAUCUUAAACGGUGCUUUGCUUAUUGUGCCUUAUUCCCUAAAGAUUAUGAGUUUGUGAAGGAGAAGUUAAUUUUGUUGUGGAUGGCCCAAAACUUUCUAGGAUGCCCUCAACAGGUUAGACAUCCUGAAGAAGUUGGUGAACAAUAUUUCAAUGAUCUUUUGUCAAGGUCUUUCUUUCAACAAUCAAUCACCAAAAGGGGUUUUGUCAUGCAUGACCUUCUGAAUGAUCUAGCAAAAUAUAUUUGUGGGGACAUCUGUUUCAGGUUGAGAUUUGAUAAAGGAAAAUGUAUACCAAAAACAACCCGUCAUUUUUCAUUUGCAUUAGAUGAUGUCAAAUGUUUUGAUGGUUUCGGGAGUUUAACUGAUGCUAAAAGACUGCGUUCAUUUAUUUCAAUUACAGAAAUUGGGAGAACAUGCAUUGGCUAUUAUCCUUGGGAGUUCAAGAUUUCAAUACAUGAUGUGUUCUCCAAGUUUAAUUUUUUACGUGUUAUAUCUCUCUAUUCUUGUUUGGACCUUGUAGAGGUCCCAAAUUCUAUAGGUAAUCUUAAACAUCUCCAAUCGUUAGACCUUUCGAAAACUGGGAUACAAAAGCUACCCGACUCAACAUGUUUGCUCUAUAACUUGCUAAUACUAAAGUUGAACUUUUGUGGAUAUCUGAAGGAGCUGCCAUCAAAUUUGCAUAAACUCACCAAAUUACGUUGCCUGGAGUUUAAAAAUACAAAAGUGACAAAGUUGCCAAUGGAUUUGGGAGAAUUAAAGAAUCUUCGAGUACUGAGUACCUUUUUUGUCCAUAAAAAUAGUGAAUUCAGUAAUAAACAGCUAGGAGGACUCAAUCUUUAUGGAGACCUAUCAAUUAAGGAGCUGCAAAAUAUUAUGAAUUCAUCGGGAGCAUUAGCAAUGGACUUGAAAAACAAAACACACCUUAUGAGGUUAAAGUUAAAAUGGAAUAAAAAUCACACCCCUGAUGAUCCAAGGAAAGAAAAGGAACUACUUGAGAUUCUGCAGCCCUCCAAACACUUGGAGCGUUUGUCAAUCAGAAACUACAAAGGUAUAGAAUUCCCAAGUUGGAUAUUUGAUAAUUCGUUAUCAAAUUUGGUGUUCUUACGGUUGGAGGACUGUAAAUAUUGUCUAUGUUUGCCUCCCCUUGGGCUUUUGUCAUCUCUGAAGAUCCUCAAAAUUAGACGGCUUGAUGGAAUAGUGAGCAUUGGUGCUGAAUUUUAUGGGACCAACUCUUCAUUUACGUCCUUGGAAAGGUUGGAAUUCUACAACAUGAAGGAAUGGGAAGAAUGGGAAUGUAAAACUACUUCUUUUCCACGUCUUCAACAUCUUUCUGUGGAUCAAUGUCCCAAGCUGAAAGGUUUGUCAGAGCAACUUAUUCAUUUAAAGAAAUUAUUUAUUUCUCACUGUGAUAAGCUCAUCAUUAGCGGCAUGGACACAUCAUCGCUUGAACUCUUGGAAAUUGUUUCAUGCCCACUUGUGAAUGUUCCCAUGAUCCAUUACAAUUUCCUUGAACAAUUGACGAUUGAUGCUGCCUGCAACUCUCUUACAAUUUUUCUGCUAGAUUUCUUUCCAAAGAUCCGUUUAAUUCACCUGAGAAGGUGCCAAAAUCUGAGAAGAAUUUCACAGGAGCACACUCAUAAUCAUCUCAAGGAAUUAACAAUUGAUGAUUGCCCUCAAUUUGAAUCAUUUCCUAGUGAAGGAUUAUCUGCACCGUUGCUACAAAAUAAUUGUAAGUCGAGGAGCUGAGAAUUUGAAGCUGUUGCCAAAACGCAUUCAAAUACUGGUGGGAUCCCAGAGGAUGGUCCAGCCAAGCUUACAAGAAGAUGGUCUGCCCAAAUCUGUCUCUUCUCUUACAACUUGGGAAUGUUCAUUGCUCAAACAGAGUUGUCAGAAUCCAGAAGGCGAAGACUGGGGAAAGAUUAAUCACUUUCAGAAACUGAGUGUUAGGUAAUAAGAUGAAGCUAAAGUUCAGAAAAAGAUGUGGAGCAAAUCCCAUUUUUCUGCCUCUUCUACAGGUGCUAAUUAAUUUUCCACAAUAUCCCUCUCCCUUUUCAAUUACAUUUUUCUUAAGUUGCAAAUAUUUCACUCUGUAAUCAGCAUUUACUAAACCUUCAAAAGUAAUGGUAACGUUAUGCAUGUGUUUCAACCCAAAUUUGCAUAGGCAUGAUUGUGUAGCCUGUCACCUGACAUGUAGAUUAGGUAUGUAAAGCUUGUGUAAUUAUUGAACUGUAAAAGGUAUACAUGUGUGUUAAUGGAAGCAACAUUACAAUAUAUUUUAGAUAUAUGAUCUGCAUAUAAAGUCAUCCAGUUUUCCCCAUGGAUGUGUAUAUAUAUAUAUACAUGACAGCAUAAAACAAAACCACUGUCUCCUCAUCAAGUUUCUGCACUGCAGGGAUUUACUUUAUGUCAGGAUAACAAGUGGCAAAUAGAAAUUAUAUUUCACUUUAUUCAUAUUUAUCUUCCAAUAUAUAUAUAUAUGAACGGUUUUGUCAUCUGUUUUAGGAGAAAACUAUAAUCUGUUUCUACCAAUGUGUCAAGAUAUAAUGAAGAGAAAACAAGUAGAGGGGUUUGAAAUUGGAUCAUCAGAGGAUGAGUAACUAAAUAAGUCCAGGCAAACUACUACAUCUGAGAGAGAGAUUGAAGGAAUAGGAAUUGUGACAUGUAAAGGCUUCUAAGCAUCCAUUCUUAGAACUUGAAAUUAUACAUGCUUUUCUUACUGAAUUGUGAAAUAGCAUUCCAGUUGUUUUCUAGCAAUGUACCAUGAUAAUAUAAAGAGAAAAUAAGUACAAGUGAUUGAAAUUCUGUUAUCUGAGGAUGAGUUUUCCAAUACAAUUCCCAGGCAAACUCCUACAUCUAAGAGGGAAAUUGAAAUAAAGGAGGAGUGAAAGGAAAAUACUUUUAAACAUUACUUCAUAGAACAUGUACUGGUUUUCUAGCUGAUUGGGAAAGUGGAAUUGAAAUAGUGAGCAUUGUAACAGCUUAUACUUUUUGCUUUUCCACCUUGGAUUUUCAUUUGUUCAUAAAAUUAGAAGAGGAGAGAUUCAAGUAAGUAACCUGAUUAGUAAAGCUUGAGUACUUGAACCAAACAAAGUACAUGUAUUUGUUAAUGGAAGAAGCUUUAGAUAUUUUACAAUAUAUUUCACUUGAUACUUCAUUUUUCUAACUAAACUGUUUUUCUGAACCUCUUCGUGGGUCUAUUUUCAAGAAAUCUUGUAUAUAUUGAAACUGUCACCUCUUUGACUCUUACAUUAGAGAAAUGAACUCAUGCAAUUCACAAUUUCAACUCAUUGUUGAACUGUCAGAACUUUGUGUAGUUAUUCUCUUCCACCAUGGAUCCUCAAAUUUCCAAUAACUCUUCCACCAAUGAGUCUUUUAUUAUGAUUGAUGUACAACUAAACAUUGAUUUGUGUUAAAAGUCUGUAAUAUACAUUGUUAAAAAAAUUGUAUUCCUACUAAUUAAUAGAAAAUGACUUGGCUUACUGCAACUAAAAAAUUUAAGUCAAUAUGAUAAAUACAUUUUUAUAAAUUAAUUAAAGAUUAGAUGAGAAGUAAACAUACAAGCUUUAAAAAGUAAUUAAACAUUUUUUUGAAUUUUGAAAACAAUAUACAAGUGAAAUUAUAAGUAUUUAAAAAAUCUAGCAAUUAAGAAAACAGUGCAGACGUGAUUGUUUGAAAUUCAGCACAGUAGAUAUUAAAGAAGUAAGACGUUUUCCUUCUUCAUACAUUGUUUCCUAAAUAUAUAUAAAAGCAAAAUUAUUCUCGAAAAACAUGAUUAUUCUCUGAACAUGAUUUUGGAGAGGUCCUUUCUGAGCAUGUUGUAAACUAUAUUAAUAUUAAUAAUAUAAGGUAAUAGUCUAUGCUUAUAAAAGGAAAAAAAUGAAGCAGAACAUGGUGAGAAGAUGUAAUGCAGAAGCUUAAUAGAAAGAAAUGACUUCUGUCUUGUGACCUUAAUUAACUCAAACAAUUACUUAAAGAAUUGAGAUUUGGGAAAGUUACAGAGAUCACUCUUGCUUCUCAUAACCAAAUGCUCUUAAUAUAUAUUGCCUCAGUAUUUCACACAGAAGCUGAGACCUAUCACAGAAGAAUUUCAUUAGUUUUUUAUUCAUACACGCUAAACAUAGCAUAAUAAUAUAAUAUAAAGUCAUACAUCAGCAUUAUUUUAAUUUUAAAAUGAAGAUUUUAUAUUCAAACGAUAAGAUUUUUCUUUUCUUUUCUUGAAGUAAUAUUUUAAAACUUGAAAUACAUAAAAAAAAACUGUUAACAAAUUAUAUAAUUGAUCAAUAUUUAAGGGUAUCUUCUUUCCACAAGUUGAAGCUACAGAGACAGAACAAGAAAAUAAAGACGUAUAAGACACCACUAUUGUCCGACUUUUAUUCAUUAAAUACGUUUGUGAUAUCAUAUCAGAAAAUAAACAAUUAUUUCAUGACUUUGGGGCUAUCGACCUUAUUUGGAUACUCAUUUCCUAGACUCAGGAUUUUAUACAUUCAACAUUGAAUAUAGAACUAAUCGAACAUAAAAUAUGUAUCCAAUGUUUGAAAACCAAACUUCAAUCACUCUUUAUGAUUGGCUGAAUCUUUGAAUGCAACAAAGAAUAGUGGUAUUAAUCUUUUAAGAAAGACUAUAUUGGUUGAGUAGCCAUCAAAGAAAACUAUGUUCUAAAAUACUUUACUACUCAUCCUAUCAACACAUACUGCAGUUCAACACAUCCUUAGUCUCAUUUUCCAAUUCCUACCAUGGCAGCAGAAGUUGUUGGUGGUGCUCUUCUUUCGGCUUUUCUUCAGGUUGCAUUCGAUAGGCUCGCUUCUCCUCAAUUUCUACACUUCUUUCGUGGAAGAAAACUUGAUGAGAAACUGCUAGCCAAUUUGAACAUCAUGCUGCACUCCAUCAAUGCUCUCGCUGAUAAUGCUGAACUAAGGCAGUUCAAAGAUCCACACGUCAAAGCAUGGCUUUUUGCAGUCAAAGAAGUUGUCUUUGAUGCAGAGGAUCUUUUGGAUGAAAUAGACUAUGAACUCACCAGAUGCCAAGUGGAAGCUGAAUCUGAACCACAAACCAUCACUCACAAGGUAUCAAACUUCUUCAAUGCUACUUUCAGUUCUUUUAACAAGAAAAUUGACUCAGGGUUGAAAGAAGUGCUAGAAAAAUUAGAAUAUCUUGCAAGGCAAAAGGGUGCUCUUGGUUUGAAAGAGUGUACGUAUUCUGGUGAUGGAUCAGGUAGUAAAGUGCCACAGAAAUUGCCAUCAUCUUCUUUGGUGAUUGAAGGUGUUAUUUAUGGCAGAGAUGCUGAUAAAGAUAUAAUCAUUAAUUGGCUCACAUCUGAAACCGACAAUCCUAACCAGCCAUCAAUACUUUCCAUUGUGGGAAUGGGUGGGUUAGGCAAGACCACACUUGCCCAACAUGUGUACAAUGACCCAAAGAUUGAAGAUGCUACAUUUGAUAGCAAAGCUUGGGUCUGUAUUUCAGAUCAUUUUAAUGUUUUGACUGUGACAAGAACAAUUCUUGAGUCAGUCACUCAUAAAAAACAUGAUAGUGAAAAUCUAGAAAUGAUUCACAAAAACCUUAAGGAAAAAUUGUCAGGAAAGAAAUUUUUUCUUGUUUUGGAUGAUGUUUGGAACGAAAGACUAGAAGAAUGGGAAGUUGUGCAAACUCCUCUUAGUUAUGGAGCUCCAGGAAGUAGAAUUCUUGUCACAACUCGUGGUGAGAAAGUUGCUUCUAUCAUGAGGUCUAAAGUGCAUCACCUAAAGCAAUUAGAAGAGAAUGAAAGCUGGAAAGUUUUUGAAAAUCAUGCAUUAAAAGAUGGUGAUCUUGAAUUUAGCGAUGAGCUAGAGCAUAUUGGUAGAAGGGUAGUUAAGAAGUGCAAGGGAUUACCUUUAGCUUUGAAAACAAUUGGAUGUCUUUUACGCACAAAGUCAUCCAUUUCAAAUUGGAAAAGCAUAUUGGAAAGUGACAUAUGGGAAUUACCAAAAGAAGACAGUGAAAUCAUCCCGGCGCUAUUUCUAAGUUAUCACUACCUUCCUUCUCAUCUUAAAAGGUGCUUUGCUUAUUGUUCCUUAUUCCCCAAAGAUUAUGAGUUUGUGAAGGAGGAGUUAAUUUUGUUGUGGAUGGCCCAAAAUUUUCUACAGUGUCCACAACAGAUUAGACAUCCAGAAGAAGUUGGUGAACAGUACUUCAAUGAUCUAUUGUCAAGGUCUUUCUUUCAACCAUCAAACGUCAAAAGGCAUUUCAUCAUGCAUGACCUUCUGAAUGAGUUGGCAAAAUAUAUUUGUGCAGAUUUCUGUUUCAGGUUGAAAUUUGAUAAAGGUCAAUGCAUACCGAAAAUAACCCGUCAUUUUUCAUUUAAAUUCUAUGACAUAGAAAAAUUUGAUGGUUUAGAGAGUUUAACUUAUGCUAAAAGACUGCGGUCAUUUCUUCCACUUACAAAAUAUAGGACUCUUGAGCUUGGCCAUUCUCCACGAAUAUCCAAGAUUGUGAUUACAACUAUUAUAAGAGCUUUCAAUCAGUAUCCAUGGCAGUUCAAGAUAUCAAUACAUGAUUUGUUCUCCAAAAUUAAGUUCAUACGCGUCUUAUCUUUUAAUGGUUGUUUGGACCUUAAAGAGGUCCCAAAUUCUGUAGGUGAUCUUAAAUAUCUCUAUUCGUUAGAUCUUUCGUAUACUGAAAUAAAAAAACUACCUGACUCAGUAUGUUUGCUCUAUAACUUGCUAAUAUUGAAGUUGAACAAUUGUUCAAAGUUGGAAGAGUUACCCUUAAAUUUGCAUAAACUUACCAAAUUGCGUUGCCUGGAAUUUGAAGAUACAAAAGUGAGAAAAAUGCCAAUGCAUUUUGAGGAAUUGAAGAAUCUUCAAGUACUUAGUACAUUUUUCAUGGAUAGAAAUAGUGAGCUAUGUACUAUGCAACUGGGAGGACUCAAUCUUCAUGGAAUGCUAUCAAUGAAAGAGUUGCAGAAUAUUUUGAAUCCUUUGUAUGCAUUAGAAGCAAAUUUGAAAAAUAAACACCUUGUGAAACUAAAGUUAGAAUGGAAGUCCGACUACAUCCCUGAUGAUCCAAGGAAAGAAAAGGAAGUACUUGAGAAUCUACAACCUUCCAAACAAUUGGAGGGUUUGUCAAUCAGAAGCUACGGUGGUACACAAUUCCCAAGUUGGUUAUUCAAUAAUUCGUUAUCAAAUUUGGUGUUUUUAGUGUUGGAGGAUUGUAAAUAUUGCCUAUGUUUGCCUCCUCUUGGACUUUUGUCAUCUCUGAAAACCCUCAAAAUUAGAGGGCUUAAUGGAAUAGUGAGCAUUGGUGCUGAAUUUUAUGGGAGCAACUCUUCAUUUGCAUCCUUGGAGAGAUUGGAAUUCUACAGCAUGAAGGAAUGGGAAGAAUGGGAAUGUAAAACCACUUCUUUCCCACGUCUUCAACAUCUUGAUGUGGUUGAAUGUCCAAAGCUGAAAGGUCUGUCAGAGCAACUCCUACAUUUGAAGACACUGGAUAUUAAUCACUGUGAUAAGGUCGUCAUUAGCGGAAACAACAUGUACACAUUGUCGCUUGAACUCAUGAGGCUUUAUUCAUGUCCACUUGUGAAUAUUCCCAUGACAACCCAUUACUAUUUCCUUAAAGAAAUGCAUAUUGGUGGUUGGGACUCUCUUGCAAUCUUUCCACUAGAUUUCUUUCCAAAGCUCUGUUCACUUGAAAUGAAAGGGUGCCAAAACCUAAGAAAAAUCUCACACAAGGACACUCAUAAUCAUCUCAAGGAACUAGAAAUUGUUGAUUGCCCUCAAUUUAAAUCAUUCCUGGUUGAAGGAUUAUCUGCACUAGGAGCUGAGAAUUUGACGUUUUUGCCAAAACCCAUGCAAGUCUUGUUUCCAUCCCUUACUAUGCUGUGGAUAAUUAACUGUCCAGAAGUGGAGAUGUUCACAGGUGGAGGUUUUCCAUUAAAUGUAAAAUAUGUUUGUCUUUCAAGUUUAAAACUUAUCGCCUCCCUGAGAGAGGCUUUGGAUGCAAACACAUGUCUUGAAACCUUGAUUAUUAGACACUUGGACGUGGAGUGUUUUCCUGAUGAAGUUUUGCUGCCACACUCUCUAUCCUAUUUAGAAAUCUAUGGUUGCCGAAAUCUUAAAAAGAUGGAGUACAAAGGUCUCCGCCACCUCACCUCUCUCGUACUUUUUGAUUGUCCCAGCCUUGAAUGCUUACCGGAGGAGGGUCUGCCCAAAUCCAUCUCUUCUCUUUCAAUCAUUGGUUGUCCACUGCUGAAGAAGCGUUGUCAGAAUCCAGAUGGCAAAGACUGGGGAAAGAUUGCUCACAUCCCAAAACUGUUUGUUGAGUAAUAAGAUGAGGCACAAGUUCAAAAUUAGAGUUGCAGCUAUUUCCAUUUGUUUGCCACUUCAACAGGUGCCAAUUCUCCACAAUAUCUCUUUACCUUUUCAAUUACAAUUUUCUUAGUUGCAAACAGUAACCCUAUAAUUAUUGCCAUUUUCCAAACAAUAGCAGCAUACAUUAUACUUCAACUUGAUUUUUAAAUUAAUAAUAUAAUUGGAAGCCAAGAUCCUUACUUCUUUACCUGACUUCUCAGCUUUCUGAACAGAGUUCUUAGUGAUAUUCUUCAUGACCCCUCAUUCUGUCUUGAAUAAGAGAUGAUGACAUAAUGUUUAAUAGAGUACUUCAGCUUCUAUUUUCAACAAAGUUUGGUCUGGCUUCUCACUCAAACAAAAUUACAGUAUGAGUUUCAAUCUUUUGGUUUCUCCUUCCUUUCACCUCUCUAUCUGUCCAUUCAACUAAUUUUAUCUUAUGUAAAGAAAAAAAUUAAAUUACGGCUUUGUUGUAGUUUCUGGGAUGAUACGAAUUGUAUUUAUGGGGAUGUUUUCCUUUUGCAGAAUAAUAUGUAAAUGGAAAGACUCUGAUAUAUGUAAAGGGAUGCUGUUGGAGUGAGUUUUCUUGGUAUGGUUAUUGCUGCAUAGCAAUUCUGAUGGCUUAGGUGCUUAAAAAGUGCUAUGGUGAAGGUCUGGAUGGUGACGGCAAUGAUGUUGAAGUGUGCUGUUUGGCAAGUAAUUUGCUGCAUAAUAUGUUUGCUGCCACAUACACUUUUUAAUGCUUUUCUGUGCUGCUGGUGCGUCCUUUGCAUGCUGCUCCUAGUGGCUUUUAGACAAAUGCAUUGUUCCUUUUCAGGCUUUUUCAUUGCAGGAUGGGUGUAGGUUUUUUUGUAAGAGCUGAUGCAGACUUGUUUAUCUAGUUUUGGCUCUGGAAAUAUGUAUAUUAAGCCAUAGAAUGUUUGUUUUUGUUCUAAGCCAUAAGGGGAGUAACCUUGUGGUUAUAUAUAUGGGUUGGGAUACCCCUAAAGUAUUCUGUUAAUUUAGAUAAAAAAAAAUAUAUAUAUGUAAAGGGAAGCCUUCAGCUUUUGGACUCACCCAGUUGUGAAAAUUCCCAUGAUCCAUUAUGACUUCCUUCAUGAAAUAGUGAUUGAUGGUUGUGACUUGAAUAUUCAGAAAGUGGAUGUUGACACUAAAAAUUGUGAAGUGAAGAAUUUCUAGCAAGUGCCAUUUAUUCUCGAAAGAUUACUCUGUAGUUGGAAGGUAUAGUUCCAUCCAUCACCAUCCUUUAGCUUGGUAUUCCAGAAAAUUUAUUUUCUUGUCCACACUUAUCCAUCUUUCUUCUUAAUCCAUGCUUGCUUGGUGCGUUAAAUUAAUAAAGUUUCUGACAAAAAAAAACAAACUUAACAGAAUGCAGUUAUUCACACCAGUUCUCAUGUUCUUGGUUCUUUUUUAAAGAAAAUACAGAUUCAUGAUAUAUUGAAAAUCCUGUCCAUGAUAAAAUGAAGCUAGGGGUAUUGACUGGAGACAAGAUGAAAGAAACAGCUGAGAACAUUGGGUACAUUAACAAUGGCUUGUUCUGAAUAAUCUUUCUCUUUUAUUUUCUUCUUUUCUUUGAUAAAACCUUUUUCUGGAAUAAAAGUUUAAAGAUUCUCAGCAGCAACAAGGUCCAUAAUAUGCUUAUCCAAUCUCCAAUCCAAUGCUAAUGUAUCGAUGAUGUGUUGACUUAUCUUUUGUUAGGUUUUGAUUUUAAAUUCAUGAUUUAAUUGGAAGACAAGAAGCUUUACUAAUCAAUCAUUCAUACUAUUUUUUUUACAGUAUCCUUUUUUAUAUCUGGAGGGAGUAGAAGAGACCCUCUUUAGAGAUCUUACUCUUGAUCACUAUUUCUGUCUUGAAUCAAGCCUUCACAAGAGAUGGUAAAGUGUUGUGUGGACUGUGAUGUUAUAAGGCUUUCCAAAGUCUGUUUCUACCAAUGUGCCAAGAUAUGAUAAAGAGAAAACAAGUAAAAGGAUUUGAAAUUGGAUUAUCAGAGGAUGAGUUACCUAAACAAAUUCAGGGCAAACUACAAUAUCUGAUAGAGAGAUAGAAGCAAUGGGAGUUGUGAAAUGUAAAUGCUUUUAAGCAUCCAUUCUUAGAACUUGAAACUAUACAUGCUUUUCUUACUGAGUUAUGAAAUAGCAUUCCAGUUGUUUUAUAGCAAUGUACCAUGAUAUUAUAAAGAGAAAAUAAGUACAAGUGAUUGAAAUUCUGUUAUCUGAGGAUGAGUUUUCCAAUACAAUUCCCAGGCAAACUCCUACAUCUAAGAGGGAAAUUGAAAUAAAGGAGUGAAAGGAAAAUACUUUUAAACAUUAAUUCAUAGAACAUGUAUUGGUUUUCUAGCUGAUUGGGAAAGUGGAAUUGAAAUAGUGAGCAUUGCUAACAGCUUUUACGUUUUGCUUUUCCACCUUGGAUUUCCAUUUGUUCAUAAAAUUAGCAGAGGAGAGAUUUCAGUAAGUAACCUGAUUAGUAAAGCUUGAGUACUUGGACCAAACAAGGCACAUGUAUUUGUUAAUGGAAGAAGCUUUAGAUAUUUUACAAUAUAGUUUACCUGUGGCAGCAUAAAACAAAACCAAUUUAUCCUCGUCCACAGUGAACUAUUAUUGAUUAGUUCAGUGAACUAGUUAUGUACUAAAAAAUUGAAGACUUCUAAACUUCAUUUUUCUGAACCUCUUCGUGGGUCUAUUUGCUUCUGAACCUCUAGCAGAAACAAAAGGUAGAUGAAAUUAAAAAAUAAAGAUUUGAAGCCAUAUAUAAAAUGUGAAUGAAAGAAAUUCAAGAUCACCAUCCAUUCCACUUCUUAAGCUUAGAUAUCAAUCCCUUCCUCACACAGAGGAUCAAAAGGAAACUGGUGCCAAGAUGGUUGGACAAAGUGCAACUGUUAAUUGAAUCUAUGGGUGGUUCUGAGUGCUGCGUGUGGUUUGAGACUGAAUGGUUGUAUUGUGAUCAUUGACACAUUUACACAUUUAACUGUUCAAAAUUUCAUCCACAUGAUUCAUGACUGUUAUAUUAAAAAGUUGAAUAAAUGAUUUCUUUCGUAAGGCUUCCAUUAGAGAGAAGAAAUUGAACACAUAUUAACCGUUCGAUCCAUACAUAAUAUAAUAUAGUUCACCACGUUUUCAAGUUCCAAGAAUGGAUGCUUAGAAGCAUUUACAUUUCAAAACUCCCAUUGCUUCAAUCUCUCUAUCAGAUGUACUAGUUUUCCCUGGACUUGUUUAGGUAACUCAUCUCUUAUAAUCCAAUUUCAAACCCUUCUACUUUCUCUUCAUCAUAUCUUGACACAUUAGUAGAAACAGACUUUGGAAAGACUUAUAAUAUCACAGGCCACACAACACACUGUGACCAUAAGUAUUUCAAAAACAGCCACCUUACCCUCUCUUCUGAAGGCUUCAUUCAAGACAGAAAUAGUGGUAAAGAGUAAGAUCUCUAAAGAGGGUCUCCUCUCUUCUACUGAUACUGUAAAAAAAAGAUAGUAUGAUUGAUUAAAAUAAACUUCCAAUAAACUCUUCAAAAUACUUCCUUGGUUAGAAUUAAAAUCCUCAAUUCCUUCAUUUGUUAUGAAUAACGUUAAGCUUUUUAAAGGCAGAUAAAAUCAUAGAUCACGUAGGUAAAAUCUUUAGGAUUUCCAAUUCAAUCCUGGGAGAUCAAGUAGAGAAAAUAAUUCAAAUAUCCAACACCAUUCAGUCCAACAAUAGAGACAAAACUCAUCGAGAAAUAAGGAUAUCCUGAUUUGCAGCCGUUUUAAACUCUUUUUAGGAUUUAAGUCCAGAAACUCGAAUUGCUGAACCGUGGUCACAACCCUUCUCAUCCGUGUGAUUAUAGGCACUGAUUCCGCGAAAAUAGCCACGACAAUCCAAUAAAAAACAGAAAAUCUAAAGUGUAGCCGAUAACGAAUAAAUGCAUAACAAAAUUCAAAACACAAAGCUUCACUGUAUCACGUGUGCUAGAAUGCCUACGUUCUACCCGUGAAAGUUGGGAAAAUUGUUUAUUUUUAAACAAAAAUAACCCAUUUCAUUAUUAAAAAAAUUUAAUAACAAAGAUGUAUUUGGAAAGUAAAAUUUAACAAUUUAAAAAAAAAAAAUUAAAACUCUUUCACAACCAUCAUAUCACUCACAAAUUCUCAUAAAUUUUUCUCACAUAUUCACUCUAAAAUACUCCAAUUCAAACAAUCUCACUUUUUCCACACUUUAUUCUCACAUCCUCACACAUCCACUUCCUCAAAUUUUCACACAUCCACUCUCUCAAAUUUUCACACAUCCAAGUAAGUCAUUUUAAGCGAUUUGAUACGUUGAGAGCCAAGAGUUGUUACUAUAAGAAAGUGAAGCAUCCAAUCACACUUUGUAUUCUCAACCAUGGCGGAUAUCAUCAGCAAUUUUCCAGAUUCAAUCCUUUGUUACAUUCUCUCUUUUCUCCCAACCAAACAAGUUGUUACAACCAGUAUUCUCUCCAUGCACUGGAACCUUCUAUGGCGUUCAGUUCCUUCUUUGGAUUUCGACGUGGAUACAAUGAGUAUAGAUUAUGACAAAGAAAAAGAGGGCAUCUCUCGCCUUCUUCUCUCAGUGAACUCUUUUCUACGUGGACGCGAUAUGGACCAACUCCUUCAUAGAUUUCGUCUUAGAUGUCCCUGUUUAUAUAAUCAAAAUAGUAUCGAGACAUGCAUUGAGGAUGUUUUGAGAAAAAGUGCUAGACUUCAACACCUCGACCUCGACCUGGGUUUUGUCACUGCGGUGCCCUCUGUGGUGUUUAUAUGCAAAACUCUUGUAGUUCUCAAAUUGGCAUUCGUAUCACCGAAAAAUGUUUCUUUUGUAGAUUUGCCCUUGCUUAAAAUCUUGCAUUUGAAUUCUGUUAGCUUCUUAGACUGUGAAUAUCUUCUUCAACAGUUUCUUUCUGGGAGUCCUAAUAUAGAGGACUUGGAAGUCGAGACUUUUAAUAAUUUUACUAUAAAAGAAUUCCACAGUUUGCCCAAGUUGGUCAGAGCUAAAAUCGAUGCACCAGCUGUACUUCCAUUGGAAAUUAUUAAGAACGUUGAAGUUUUUGUGACAAAUAGGGUAUGCCUGUAAAAUUUGUUUCUUAUUUACUUUCUAUUUGUAUGGGAAAAAAAUGUGAUUUCUGAUGUUUUUUACAUUAUUUUGUAUCUCUUGCAGAUAUAUAAUCAAGACCUGGUUUUUGAUUUUCAAAAUUUAGUUCAACUUGAGUUUGUUACUUGGGAGGAUAGUGAGGGAUGGCUUGAUGUCUUGAAGGUGUUCAGGCAUUGUCCAAAGCUUCAAACUCUUUUCAUUCGCAUUAAAGACGAUGAAGAAGAUCCAGUUUUGCCAUACCCACUUACUGUUCCUACCUGCAUUUCAUUACACCUUAAAACCUGUUGUCUUCAAUACUACAGGGGUUCUGAAUUUGAGUUUCAAUUUGCGGAAUAUAUUAUGCUGAAUGCAAAUUAUUUACGCACCAUGAAAUUCCUCAUUCGCAGUGAUGAUUAUAGUAAUCUUUUGAGAAGACAUGAUAUGAUAAGAGAUUUAUCAUCAUGCAGUAAGAGUUCAGAUGCUUGUACACUUUCAUUUGAAAAGUAUGUUUGACUUUUAUAUUUGUGAAUGUUUAUCAAAUUAAUCUACUUUUCUUCUUCGCAUGUUUCUAAAUUUAGUUUAGUUUCUGUUUCAUAUUUUUCUUACCGAUUAGAGGAUGAUAUCAUGGUUUUGUGCUUUUAAUUCUUGAAUAGUUUAAAUUUUAUGAAAAAAUGUAAAAGAAAAUCAUUGCAAAGACUCGUAAUUCAGUAUUGGUAUGAAAGUAUUUACCUACCAUCACUCAAUUAUAAAGAUAUAAAUUUUACUAAUAUUCUCAAGUUAGAAUUAGAAUAUAUCUUAAUACAAUUGCUGCGAUGGAUCUGUGAUGAAGAGCCAUGUGUGAAGAAUGAUGAAAACACCUCAGCAAUCGAAAAGAAAAGCACACAACACUGUGAAACGAUCUCCAUAAACAGAGAAAGAAAAAGAGCACGAACAGAAGAACCUACAGAAAAGGGAAAGUGAAGAACGAAGAUGAUGCAAGUUUUUUGUUAAAGAGGCACCAAACAAAGAACUUUGCAAAACACCUCAUAUCUUAGAGUAACUUCCCUCCCAUACAAGGACGUUAGGUGAAUACAAGGAAGGGUAUUCUGGUGCUUUAUCCGGGUGUGCUCCUGCAUGGAAUCCAUGAUCCUUCUUCCGCUUUCCUGCUGCAUUCCCAAACUGCUGGUACAUGUUGUAUUCUUUUGCAGGUUUUACGCUCUAGAGUUGCUACACAUUUUUUAGAAGGAAGUACUGUUAUCAUAUGGUUCUGUUUUGGUUUGUAGAGGAAAAUAGGGUCUGUUAGUUUUAGUUUGGUGGUGCGCUUUUGUCAGCAGCUGUUUAAGCGAGCGUUAGUCCUGUGCCUAAGGUUUUAGUUGUAUUCUGCUUGUAACCUUGGGUGUUUGCGUGGUAAACCCUGCAUUGUGCCUUUAUGUGUACGCUGUGCUAGUUGGUAUAAGGGUUGGGACACCGGUAUAAGGGUUGGGACACCCUAAAGUGUCCCGUUCUAAUUUACUUUAUUCUUUGCUGAUAAAAAAAAAUAAAAUUCCUCCCAUAUUUCUAACAACCUGUAUUCUAUAAUUUCAUAAUCAAAUUUGACAAUAAAACCAUAAUCUUCAGAUCUGCACCACUUCCACUUAUCAUCCUUCAAGUCUUCCUUCACAAGGGUGUAUCCUUGUGAUUGUGUUUAUGGGUUGGGUUACCUUGAAGUAACCCUUAAUUUAAUUUAUUCAUUGCUGAUAAAAAAAAAAUCUUUCAAGUUUUCCUUCAAAUAUUAUAAAGUGGACUUUAAGUAUAACUUAACCCCAUAAAACCGACUAAUGAGUUGAGGUUGAGGUGAAGUUUGCACCCACUUAUAUACAAUGAAAUAUUAUCAUCUCUUGUCAAUGGGCACAAUUGUCUCAUUUUUUACAUCAAUUGAAACAAACUUACCUGGUUGAGGAUAGAGGUCCAACUCAUAAUGUACAGUUGAUGCACGCGUGGACACAUGACACUCAAGUCAAAGGUUGACCUGGUUAGCAAGACUAACCCAUAGUUAAGGGAUGACCUAAUCCAACCCUAAUCACAAACCAACUCCUUAAUCUGGUCCAACAGCAAGGGCCCAUCAAGGUAAUAUAAAUAUCACGCACUCCAAGGAAAAGGUACGUCAUUAUGAAUAGUAUUCUGACAGCCGAAUACGACACCACACUGACUUGAGCGUUGGAGUGUCAUCUGUAGGUACCCACCCGUCUGAGAAACCACUCGACGAGAAAGACCGAAGAAGGAGCGUUGAACACGUGAAGACCGACCGAAUAGCAUCUGGAGUCAAUAGUUUUCCCAGUCUCCAAACUAGUUCCAGAACAGAAUCAGUUCUUAAAAACCUCUUAGAUGGAUAACAAUUAGAAUACUACAACACAUAAACAAUUAGUAUACACAAUAGGUAAUGAGCAAUAACAAAUUUUACACCUAAAUAAAAGAUAUUAAUCUAACUUAAUUCUUGACCAGAAACAAUCAGAAUCUGGAUUCUUUUGUAUAACAAUUGAAAAUCUGUUCACAAGUUAAUUAACCAUUUAAAAUUGCAUGAGCUGUAACUAAGAUCAUAUAAUUAAAACCUAAAUCUUACAAGUCUUUGCUAAUAGAACAUAAAAUUUAAGAUCAUGAAUCUUAAAAAAAAAUAUCUUUUUCAAUUUUAAAAACUUCAACAACCAAAUAAUAUAUUAAUUAGAGUUUAAGUCUUAUUAAUUUUUUUUCAAUUGAAGAAAAAUGACAAAGAUGCUUUAAAAAGUAAUGUAGUAUAAUAAGACCAAAAAGUAGUGUAAAUGAAACCUAAACAAAAAUAUUUUAAGGACCAAAACAGAAAAAAAAAACUAUUAAGGAACAUAAACAACCUCAACUUCAAUAUAAUAGAAAUCAUAUUUAAUACAAGCAUUAAGACUGCAUUGAGAAGAAGUGGUAGACUUGAAACCUUGAUAUCAAUCUGGAAUGGUUUGUUGAGCUGCCCUCUGCGGUGUUUAGCUGCAAAACUCUUGUAGUUCUCAAGUUGUCCACCAUAUCACUGAAAAAUAUUUCUUUAGUUGAUUUGCCCUUGCUUAAAAUCUUGCAUUUGAAAUCUACUUCAUUUAAAUGUGAAGAUCUUCAACGUUUUCUUUCUGGGUGUCCAAAUGUAGAGGACUUGGAAGUCGGGUCUGGUUUAACCCAGAGAUCGGCUGCUAAUACUGCAGAAAAGUUCAAGAAACUUCCUAAAUUGAUAAGGGCUAACAUCCAUACACAUUUAGUUUCAUUGGAAUUUGUUAAGAAUGUUGAAGUUUUGGUCACAGAUAGGGUAAUGCGUGUAAACUUUCUUUCUUAGUUACUUUUCAUUUCUAUGGAAAUUCUAAUGUUUUGAUAUUAUUUUGUAUUUCUUGCAGAUAUAUAAAGAAGACCUUGUAUUUGAUUUUCAGAAUUUACUUCAACUUGAGUUGACCAGUUUCAUGCAUAGUAUGAAAUGGUUUGAGUUCUUUGAAUUGCUCAAGCAUUGUCCAAAACUCAAAGCUCUUUUCAUUGACUUUGAUGAGGUUUAAUAAUUUAAGUUUUUCGAGUAUGAUUCUUCUUGUUAUCUUUUCUUAAAACAUUAGGAUUAAUGUAGUUUUAUAAUUGUUUUUAACAGGAGAAGGAUGUAGUUGCGGAAGGCGAUAAAGAAGCACUUUUUCCAUGCCCCGAUACUGUUCCCACAUGCAUUUCAUUACACCUUAAAACCUGUCGUCUUAACAAUUUCAGGGGUUCCGUAGUUGAUCUUCAGUUUGCAGAAUAUAUUAUGAAGAAAGCAAAUUAUUUACAGACCAUGAAAUUCAGCUUUCACCUUUAUGAUUGUAAUUCUUCUUUGAGAAGACAAGAAUUGACGACAUAUAUCUCCUCAUGCAUGAAGAAGAGUUCUGAUACUUGUACGCUUUCAUUUGAGUAUUUAAUGCCUGAGCCUGACCUCUCUUUCUUUUGAGUAUUUAAGGUCUGUAAUAGUGAUGGUUUAUUUUUGUUUGUAUUUCAUGUAGUAACUGCAAGAAUGUAGUUUUCUUUAUCAAAUGAAUCUACUUUUUUUUCAUUUAAUCAAAGUUUGCUGCACGUUACCGGUUUUGUGUUGUUUUAGUAUAAUUUGUUUAAGAUAUGUUCCUAGGUAUGUAAAUUAUAAAAAAUUAGAUGGUACUAAAAUUAGAGGAAGACAUAAUAAAAAGUAUAUUUAUGAACUACUUGUCUAACUGAAUCAAGUUAUAUAUUUAAAUUAUUAUUGUUCUUUUUCACAUAUUUUUGCUAUUAUUUUUCUCACGACAAACAUUCUUAGUUUAUUUCUGUUGUGACAUUAAAUAUCCAAGUCCACUAAAAAGAAGAUGCAGUGGUAGCUUCCAGAAGUGGCGAUAUUAAUAUAAGGGGAACCACCUGCCCUAGUUGCAAGUGCAAACAUCUUGAUAGGUGUUGCAUAAGGGUGGCAGAAUCUUUAACCAGAAAUGGUCUAUAUUUCAGUGAUCAAGGCUUUAGUCUCAAUUAGAAGUAUUAGUCUUAAAAUGUACUGAUAUUUACUGAUAGAUUGACUAGGUUGGUUUGGUUGCCAUAGAAUUCCAAUGUGAUCCUACUUUUCUGUCAUUGUAAACAGUGAAAUCUUUUAACUAUGAUGCAUUUGUAACUAAUAAUUGGUAUGCCAAUUGGUAAUUAGCAAUAACAAAUAUGGGGUUUAAUGCAACAUUUUUGGCUAAAUGGAUUUGGAGAAAGGGAUCGGAAAGCAGAGUGAUAUUUUGGAGUCUAAAUAUGGAGUUUGAAGAAAUUUAUAGAAAAUUUAUCUGUUACAAAAGGAGUCUUAUUAUAUGAAAAGUUUUCGCACGUGUUAACACAUGAUAAAUUCAUAAAAAAUAAAUUAACAAAAAAUGGAAACUUUACAUGGCAUGAAAACAUGGAGUGUUUACAUGGAAGGUGUGCAAACGAAGAGAAGGGAAGUAUGCAUGGCAUGAAAAGUCAUGACUGUCACGUUUUCAUGGAGUGUUUACUCCCAAUAUGUUUUCGGUCAUUGCCAGAGUUUGUGUGGAGUGCCCUUGCUGAAUUAAGUCGAUUCUUUAAAGAUCUAUGUUCUAAUACAUUGAGGAUGAAUGAUCUUGUCAGAAUGAAAGAAAACAUACCAAUCAUCUUAUGUAAGUUAGAACGAAUAUUUCCACCAGCUUUCUUUGAUUCAAUGGAACACCUUGUCGUUCAUCUUCCUAUGGAAGCAAUACUUGGUGGUCCUGUUCAGUAUCGUUGGAUGUAUCCCUUUGAAAGGUAAAGAUUAUGUUAAUUAUUUUAAUGUUUAAGAACAUGUGCAACUUAUAAUAAUUACUACUUUGCUUUAGGAUGAUGGGAGAUGCAAAGAAAUCGGUGGGUAAUUUGGCACGAGUAGAAGGAUCAAUAUGUGCAUUCUACCUACAUCGUGAGAUAACAUAUUNNNNNNNNNNNNNNNNNNNNNNNNNNNNNNNNNNNNNNNNNNNNNNNNNNNNNNNNNNNNNNNNNNNNNNNNNNNNNNNNNNNNNNNNNNNNNNNNNNNNUAGACCUGGGAAACAUCCAUUAUUCUGGUAUUUUACCAUCAUCUGAUCCUGGUAGUCCAUAUAUUUCAUCCCAUUCCUCGACACCAUCUUCUAGCCCGUCUUCCUCCAUCCCCUCGUCCUCUGGGCAUGGAGAAUUUCGGCAUGCUUAUCCACACCCCACUAUAUCACCUCGUCCUCUUAGUAUUCCAGUACCACCACGACCAUCAUCCUCUGCUCCGACUUACCAUCAGAGUGUCCCUGAACCACUCCACCAGACUCAGAGUUUUCCACUCCACCCUACCUCUGGUACAUUUGUGCAGCCCACCCCUGGUACAUUUGUGCAGACUACUCCUUAUCCCAUUGUCCACACCACAUCUUCUUCAGCUGUCCCGACUACUACUGGCUCUGUGCAAGGCCUCUCUAACCAUGUUGACCAUGGUGCCACUGCUGCUUCAGNNNNNNNNNNNNNNNNNNNNNNNNNNNNNNNNNNNNNNNNNNNNNNNNNNNNNNNNNNNNNNNNNNNNNNNNNNNNNNNNNNNNNNNNNNNNNNNNNNNNUUUAUAAAUGAGGAAGACCCGCACACAUUGUCGAUUUUGAAUAAAUGUGGACGCCCUAGUGGUUCUAGCAAGGACUAUUGGUUAAGUGAUAAAGAACAUCGUUUUGCCCAUGUUCAUGUCCUCAUCAAUUGCGAUGAGGUCAAACCAUUUCUUGAGUAAGUUUAAUUGUACAUGAUUUGAAUUAAAUUAUUGUAGGUUGUGUAAUUCGCUAACUAAUUGUAAUCAAUAUUUAAAGAUUGUUCUUACAAGUGUACUCAAUCAAUGAUGAAGAUGCUUCGACAGUUAUACAUGCUAAUUUUCCCGAAUGGUUCAAGAGCUACGUAAGUGUAACCUAAACCCAUAUGUGUUUCUUAUUAAAUCACACUUUCAUAAAUAAAUGUCAUGUUUUCUUAUGACUAAAACAUAGGUUCACGAUGAAAGGAAUGUAAUAAACCCAAACUUGAAGGGACUUUCUUGGGGACCUAAUUCAAAGACAACAUCAUGGAACAUCUACUUCGUUAAUGGAUAUAAAUUUCAUACAAAGGCAUGGGCUGAUGGUAAGAAAACAACAAAUAGUGGGUUGUAUGUUAAAGGUGUCACUGGUGGAGGAGAAGAUGACUUUUAUGGUACAAUUCAUCAUAUAUAUGAAUUGGAGUAUGUUGCUCUCAAUAAGAAGGUCCCGCUUUUCUAUUGUGAAUGGUUUGAUCCUACAAUUAAUGUUGGGACUAGAUUUCAUUCACAAUAUAAUUUAGUUGAAAUCAAGUUAAGUGGCAGAUAUGGACCGUAUGAUCCAUUCAUUCUUCCGCAAAAGGUCAAACAAGUUUAUUAUCUCACUUUUUCAAACAUAUGUAAAAACCUUNNNNNNNNNNNNNNNNNNNNNNNNNNNNNNNNNNNNNNNNNNNNNNNNNNNNNNNNNNNNNNNNNNNNNNNNNNNNNNNNNNNNNNNNNNNNNNNNNNNNCUCCCCCCUAAGGUCGCCUUCAAUUUGGAAGCACGGUAGGGUCAUCAUCCGACUUCUUGGAAGAGGGUAAGUCAUCCUAAAUGUACAUUUAAUUUUAUCUUUAUAUUACUAUGUUUGUAAUUUUAUUUGUUUGUAUUUGUAGUUGGACACCAAAUCAUUUUGCUAGUGAGGCCAUUGGACAUUGCAUUCGAUCUCAAUUUAGAGGUCCAUAUCAUCAUUAUGAUGUCAUGCCUGAGGAGGACAAACUAAAAUGGUGGACUGACUUUCAGGUAAUUUUAAUUUUUGACAAACUACAGUCACUUGUUUUCUUGUUUUUCUUGUGGACUCAAAGUAACUAUUUUCUUCUUUUUAACAGACUAGAGUCACUUGGGCACCCCAUGAUGAAUGCCAAAUUAAAAAGGUCUACGAGUCUAAAGUCAAAAAAAGACUUUGUGAUAUGUUGACUAAGGCUAGGAGAAAGGCUGUCCGCCCUAUUUGGAUAGGUCAGCAAGCAUGGGUUGAACUUCUAAACUAUUGGGAUUCACAAAAAUUCAAAGAUAAAUCAACUCAAAAUAAAGCCAAUAGGAGUUCAGCUCGUGGUGGAGCACUGCACUCCACAGGUAGAAAAUCACAUUCAGAUAUUGCAGUUACCUUGGUAAGUACUUGUCAAUGCCUUACAUGAAAAUCAUUUUACAUUUGCAACCUAUAAUGCUUUUAAUUGUACAACAUUAUUAGGAACGUCAAUAUGGCCGUCCUCCAGAACCUGAUGAACNNNNNNNNNNNNNNNNNNNNNNNNNNNNNNNNNNNNNNNNNNNNNNNNNNNNNNNNNNNNNNNNNNNNNNNNNNNNNNNNNNNNNNNNNNNNNNNNNNNNCCACCCACACAAAUAAGAAGGGUGAAUGGGUUGAUUCUCGUGCUCGAGAAACUUAUGUAAGUUAUUCUUUUAAAUUGUUUUAUAUUUAUAUUUUAAUUUUCUAACAUUUUCAUUUUGUAAUGAUCUGUGUAGGAAAAGUAUCAUGAGCGCUUGAAGGUCCUUCAAGCAAAUAGUUCUCAGGACUCUAACACUGAUGUCCACCAACUUGAUCCUGCAACUAAGCUUCAAACAUGGAAGGAAGCUGCCGGAGGAAAGAGUAGAGGUCGGGUAUAUGGUACGGCAGACUUGGCUGCUAACAUCCGCCAAGGAGUCUCUUCUCUCACCCAAGCCUCUGCGUCCGACACUUCACAAUCUGGACAAGUGACUGAAAAUCAAAUGCUUCGUGCUGAACUUAGUAUGUGGAGUCAGAAGUAUGCACACCUGGAGGAUGAGCUGAAGGUUAUAAAAGAUAAACUUAUCUCUAUGGAUCAAGAAAAAACUACUUCCAAUAGCACAACACAAUUCCAUCAUGAGUAUGAUCCAGAACAGGAUGAUCAACCUAUUUCUUAAAGUACAUCCUAUAAUGUAAGUUUAACUAUUUGAUAUUUUUAUUAUAUACUAAAUAUUUUAAUUANNNNNNNNNNNNNNNNNNNNNNNNNNNNNNNNNNNNNNNNNNNNNNNNNNNNNNNNNNNNNNNNNNNNNNNNNNNNNNNNNNNNNNNNNNNNNNNNNNNNNNNNNNNNNNNNNNNNNNNNNNNNNNNNNNNNNNNNNNNNNNNNNNNNNNNNNGCUUUUCUACUUUGGAUGUGUUUCUGGAUUUUGAUUUCAUACUUUGGAUGUGUUUGUGGAUUUGGGUGUUUAUAGAUGUAUUGUGAAUGAUAGUAAUUUGUUUCAAUGUGAUUUGGUUUGGUUGGUAUUUAAUUUUUACAGGUAAUCUGGUUAGAAAGCAAAAUAAAAUGUUUUUUUUUUCUUCAUCACAUGCGUCGGCCAUAGGCCCACGCAAGUUUUUUUUAAAGAUGCGUCCGCUUUUGCGUGGGCCAAGCCCACGCAAGUUUUUUUAAACAUGCGUCCGCUUUUGCGUGGGCCAAGCCCACGCAAAUUCUGAUAUUUUUUAAAUAUAUAUUUUUAUCAUUUUCGUCGGCUAGACCGACGCACACGCGAAAUAAAAAUUCUACGUCGGACCGCCCACGCAAAAGCCGCCGCAUAUGCGUCCAACCUAUCUUCUGCAUGUUGCGUCCGUUUUGCGUGGGCUUGGCCCACGCAAGAUGCACCCAAUUUUCUGGCCCACGCUAAUUUUCAUUUGCUUCCAGGCUUUUUUCGUGGGAGGUGUAACGGACGCGAAUCGGACGCAUAAGCGUCCGUUUUCUAGCUUUUGCGUCCGUUUUUGGCCCACGCAAAUUGGCUUUUUUCUUGUAGUGAGUCUUAUUAUAUGAAAAGUUUUCGCACGUGUUAACACAUGAUAAAUUCAUAAAAAAUAAAUUAACAAAAAAUGGAAACUUUACGUGAUUCAUUGUAGGGAGAAUACGUGUCUUUUUUUACAUAUUGUGUCACUGGUUUCUCAUUUAUUCUCUCACUUGCCCUCUCUCAUUGUCUUGUUCUUUUUAUUUUCUUUAUUUUCGUAUUUUUUUGUCAUAACCUCCUCUAUUCCUUCUCUCGUUUUGUCUCUCAUAGUUUUAUUUUUGUGCAUUUCCUUCUUUGUGGUUUCUUCUGUCACAACCACCUGUUUCCUCUCUAAUAUAAUCUUGCUCUGUGCAUUUUCUUUUUUUUGGAAAUGAAUGUAGGUAUCUUCAACCAUUGUAUCUCCAAUCACGGUAUCCUCAACACGCUGAGGAAAGAUUUUUGCCUUUUUUUUUACGACUAGGAAAGCAAAAUUGCAUAGUUUGUUGAGUCUUAACCCCAAAUUGUGUUACAUCUCUCUAGGCUUUUCUUCGUGAUAAGACCUUUUUGUUCGUUUUUUGAGUUUUUUUUUUGUUAUGGACAUGUUUUGUAGUAAAUAAAUAGGUUGUUUGUCUAUAUUUCAAUUGUUUUUAUUAGUAAAGAACUGAAUAAAUAAAAUGGAGCAUUUAAGGAAUACUCCAACCUUUAUAUAAAACCUAGACAGUGUCCCUACUUUACUAGAUACAAAUAUCCCGUGCUAAAGCUUAAGCUUUUUAGCUAAACUUUUACAACAAUAGACACCCAAUGGAACUUGAUAAGAAGUUCUUAAAACCCAACUUAAACCAGAACUCUAGACAAAAAAAACCUACAAAAUAACACUCAUGGACAAAACAAAAAUGAAAUCAAACCUACAAAAACAACUUUAUAGACAACCACCAAGCAUGCUGUCAAGUUAUGCAUCUUAAGCUCUAUUUCCUCUCCUAACAUCUCGCUUAAAUUAGAGAUUAUUUUAUAAACUAAAAUAUAUUUAUCUAAACUAGUUUAUACUAUUAAUAAAAGUUAAUAAAAUAAUUUUAAAUUGAUAUCUAACCAUUGUUUACCAAGAUUUUAGCUAUUUACUACUUUAUAUUCUAAAUUAAUGUCUAUUAGUUUUUUAAAGAUUAAUUUAUAAUAUAAAAUAUGAAUAACUAAAACUUGAGUAACUAAUUUAGAUAACAAUUUAUAAACUAUUUUAUAAUUUUUUUAUUAAUAAAAAAACCAUUUUAGAUGAAAAUAAUUGUUUAGAAAUUAGUACCUUUUUUUAUUAGCAAAGAAUUAAGUAAAUUAAAUGGAAUGCUUUAGGGACAUUCCAACCCUUAUAUAGAGACCCACAUUUAAUCUAAAACUAAAAAGAGAUAUUACAAACCAAUCCUAUGCUACGUCCAUUUCCUCCAAUCGUGAAAAUCAGCUCCACGAACACAACUCCAAACCAACUUGCUGAUAACUAUGUCUACACCUAUCUCAUAUAAGCCAACCAAGACCAUCCAGAUCUGUUCAACAUAGAAAACCCAGCAUCAUAGAAAUUAGUAUCUAAUUUAGUUGAUAUAGUGACAAUUUUUUUUUAAAUUUAAUUUUUAUUUAAUAAUCUUUUUUAGUGUAUAUAAAUAUAUGAAUAAAAAAGAAAAUAAUAAAAUUAUAUCUUACAUAAAAAAUUUAAAAAUAUUUUAUAACAAAUGAAAAUAGAAACUUAAAAAACAUAAUAAACUACUAGAAAAAACCUAUUUAGCGAACAUUUACAUUAGUAAUAAUAAAUAAUACAAUCAUAUCAUAAGUUUUUCAAUGUAGAAUAUGGGGAAUAUAGCCCUACACUUUUCCUUUCAGUUCCCAAGGUGUAGGUUUCCCAUGGCAUGCACAUCAAUUUAAUUUCCAAUGCAAAACUAAAAAUAAAAAGAAACAUCCUUUAUAAUGUUUUUUCAUGAUUGAAGUUUAAUACUUAACCAGUUUUUCACGCAAGUCAACAUUAAAAACAUACAAAAUCAAUUUGAUUUUUAUUUAUCAUUUAAAUAAAGAAUAUUGAAAGGUAAACAGGGAUGCGAAAUGUAACUGAAGGAAAAUUAAGUUAGGUUGGAUCAUAUUGAUUAUUUUUUAAAAUAACAUCUUAAUCCUAUUUAUUCUUAAUAUAUGAAUAGUUUAUCACUUAAAUAUGCCAACACUGGAAUAAAACAAAUUAUAAGGAAACUUGAAAAAUUUAUUUAGGACCAAAACCAACACAUACAAAUUUAUUAAAAGAAAAUAUAAGUAUUAAUUUCACAUGCAAAGUGAAAUAAGAUUUAUCACUUAAUUUCAUUGUAAAAGUCAUAAAGUUUAAAAUCUAUAUCUUAAAAAACUUGAAAUAUAUUAACAUAAUAUAAAAUUUAAGACUCUCGAUAAUAGGACACUGAAUCAUAAUAAAAAAAUAUUUUUCUAUUUUAAAUUUAGCAAUACCAAUCACCAAAUAAGAAACUAAUUAUAGUAUAUGAAUAUUAUAAAAAUAAAUAAUACAUUGUAAAAUCACUAUUACUAUAUAGAUAAGCUACACUUAAAGAAUAUUAAGAAUAUAUUUUUUAUUAAGAUCAAAUCAGAAAAAAAUUAUUAAGCAACAUAAAGAACCAAAAAUUUAAAAUAUUUUUUUUCACAACAUUAAAAUACUAUUUAAUUAAUCUAUUAUUUUCAAUUGUUAUAUAUUUUUAUACUGUAUAUUUGUUAUUAAUCUUAUGUUAUAUCUUACAAUAUUUCUGUUCAAGCUUUAAAUAAAAUAAAAUAAGACAUUUCUAAUAUAUAUAUAUAUAUUUAUAUUUGAUAUUAAAAAAUAAAAAUAGAGUUAAAAUAUAUUAUGUAAUACAAUUUUUUUUAAAUAAUUAAAUGAAACAAAUUUACGAUCUAUCUUAAUUAAAGUAUAGUUCAAAAAUAGUAAAAUUAAUAAAUAUUGUGAAUAAUAUAAUAGUUAAAUAAAUUAUAUAAUAUAAAAGUACGAAAGUAUAAAGAAAAAUAAUAGUAAACUUAUUCUCAAAUCUCUUACCUAUUAAAAGAUACAAAAUAUCACUUUCGGUACAAAAAUUAAAAUUCUAAAAUCAUAGUAUAAAUGAAUAACAAGAUAAAUUAAUAAAAUUGUAUUUUAUAUAAAAAAAAACCUGAUAAAUAUUUUUAAAUAAAUAAAAAACUACAAAUGAAAAAUUUAAAAACAUUACAAACUAUUAAAAAAUUAUUUACCAAACAUUAGUAACAAAUAAUAAAUAAACUUUAAGAAUAAUUUUAUUCCAAAAAUAAUAAUAUUGACCUCUGAAUUUUAUAAGAUUUCUCUCACUGAAAUAUCUUAACAUAAAAAUAAAUAAAUAAAACUUUCGAUUAUAAGAUAUCUUCACAUAAUAUAAAAGAAACGAAAAAAAUCUUGAAUGGUAAAAUUAUAAAAAUCAUUAUAUUGAAAAUAUUUUUGUUAGUUAUGAAACAAAACAUUAUAAUAAAAAUUUGAAUUUACCUGUUUGAGUAAAAGUUGUGAAAAAAUAUAUUAAAAGAAAUAUAACCCAAUAUAAAAAAUAAGACAAAAAAAAUCUUGAAUUAUAAAAAAUCAUUACAUUAUAAAGAUAUUAAAAGAAAUCUAACUGAGCAUAAUAAUACUGAAGAAAAUGUAUACUAAUUAAUACACUGUAGUAUGACUCCUAUUGAUAUUCUCAAAGCUUGUCCUUUCACUUCCCAAGGUUUAGAUUUGCCAUGGCAUGCACAUCAAUUCCAAUGCAAACAUAAAGUCUCUUUAAGCGAUUUGAUACAUUGAGAGAGAUGAGUUAUUCCUAUAAGAAACUGAAGCAUCCAUGCACACUUUGCAUUCUCAACCAUGGCUGAUAUCGUAAGUGGUUUUCCAGACUCAAUCCUUUGCUACAUUCUCUCAUUUCUCCCAACCAAACAAGUUGUUGCAACCAGUGUUCUCUCCAAACGCUGGAACCUUCUGUGGCGUUCCGUUCCCUCUUUUGAUUAUGAACAUCAUGACCCAACUGGUGAUUAUGAGGAUGACCUAGAUGCCUGCUCUGACUUUCUUUACUCAAUGUUCUCCCAUCUGCUUUUGCGUGAUAUGGACAAACCUCUCCAUAGAUUACGCCUUACAUGCUGUUCUGGGUAUAACCAUUAUAGCAUUGAAAUAUGGAUUGAGGCUGCACUGAGAAGAAGUAGUAGACUUGAACACCUCGACCUCAAUGUGUAUAAGGAUUUUGUGGUGCCCUCUGUUGUGUUUAGCUGCAUAACUCUUGUAGUUCUCAAGCUGGCGAACUUAGUGCUGAAAGAUGUUUCCUUUGCUGAUUUUCCCUUUCUUAAAAUCUUGCAUUUGAAUUCUAUUUCUUUCUCAGGAUGUCAAGAUCUUUUUAAACAGUUUCUGUCUGGGAGUCCUAAUCUUGAGGAUUUGGAAGCCAAGAAUUUGGAUUCUAAUCCUGCAGAAAAGGUCAACAGAUUGCCCAAGUUGGUCAGAGCUAACAUCGAUGCACAUAUAGUUCCAUUGGAAAAUGUUAAGAACGUUCAAGUUUUGGUCACAAAUGGGGUAAUGUGUGUAAAUUUGUUUCUCAUUUCUUUUCAUUUUAAAGGGAAAAAAUGAGAUUUCUGAUGUUUUGAUAUAUUUUGUAUCUUUUGCAGAUACAUCCACCAGACCUGGUUUUUUAUUUUUGGAAUUUAGUUAGACUUGAGUUGAACCGUUUGAAGUCUAGUAAGCAAUGUUUUCAGGUUUUGGAAGUGCUCAAGCAUUGUCCAAAGCUUCAAACUCUUUUCAUUAACAUUUGUCAGGUUUAAUGAUUUAAGCUUUCGAAGUUUGUAUCUUCUUGUUAUCUUUGCAUCAAACAUUAGGUUUAAUAUAGUUUUAUAAUUGUUAUUAACAGAAACAAAAUUUAGUUGCUGAAGACGAUGAAGAAGCAAUUUUGCCAUGCCCAGAUCCUGUUCCUGCAUGCAUUUUAUUGCACUUAACAUGCUGUUGUCUUACGAAUUACAGCGGUUCUGCAUUUGAGUUUAAAUUUGCGGAAUAUAUUAUGCAGAAUGCAAAUUAUCUACAGUUCUUUGCAUUCCGCAUUUACAGGAACAAUCCUUCGAGAAGAGAUGAUAUGAUAAGAGAUUUAUCUUCAUGUAAGAAGAUUUCAGAUACUUGUAAACUUGAAUUUGUGUAGUUAAGGUCUGAGCGGUAACUGUGAUGUUUUCUUUUUUUUUUGUAUUUCCAGUAUUAACUUCAAGAAUGUGGAUGUUUAAUAUACUAAUCUAUUUUUCUUCAUCUAAUGGAAGUUUACCGCACAAUUAUCUUUUUUGUCCAGAAAUCUUAUGAAAGUUUUUUUUAGUUUUAAAAUUUUCUUCUUGCUUUAGGAAUUUUCUCAUAUCUAAUUUGCAAUUAUCUUUGUUUGACAUAUAUUAUAUAUACACACGUACAUAUAUGGUUUGCUUUUAUAGUUUUUUGUACUUUUCAUUCUUGAACAGUAUGAAAGGAAAAUGUAAAGAAAUUUAUUGCAAAAAAUCAUAAUUCUGAAUUGGUAUCUGUUGCAAAAAAAACUCAUAAUCUCUCUCUAUAAAUAUAUAUAUAUAUAUAUAUAUAUAUAUAUAUAUAUAUAUGCAAAAUUUGUAUAAAUGAAUGAUGGAGGAUGUGUGUGCAUAUAAGCAGCAUUUCUGAAAUGGCUUUUUUAAUUUUUUUUUUUUUUGAAAAAACAAAAUUAUUAAAAUAAUUGUAUUGCUACUCGAACUACAAAAUUGAAGUCAAUAUUAUAAAUAAAUUUAUAUAAAUUAAUUAAAUAAUAGAUGAAAAGUAAAGAUACAAGCUAUAAAAAGUAAUUUUUUUUUUAAUUUUGAAAAUAAUAUAUAAGUGAAAUUAUAAAUGUUUAAAAUAUCUAGCAAUUAAGAAAACAGAGAGCAUCAGUUCAGACGUGAUUGUUUCAAAUUGAUCAGCACUAAAAAGUAUCCUAUGUACUAAUUCAUGUAUUAGAAGAAGAAAAAAAUUGUCAUAUGACAAUACAUGAAAGAACACCCAAGAAUAAACAACGAUAAUGAAAAAAAUAACAAUGUGUAUGAUGUAAACUAUAUUAAUAUUAAUAAUAUAAAAUAAAGUCAUACAUAAGCAUUAUUUUUAAGUUUAAAAUGAAGAUUUUAUAUCUAAAUGAUAAGAUUUUUUUUCUUUUAAAUUCAAAUACAUAAAAAAAGAAUUAUUAAAAAAAUAUUUAAGUGAUCGAUAUUUAAGGAUAUCUUCUUUCCACUAAUUGAAGGUAAUAAAAUAACGACGUAUAACACACCAUUGCUGUCAGACUUUUAUGCAUUAAAUACGUUUGUGAUCUCAUAUUAGAAAAUAAACAAUUAUUGCUUCACUUUGGGUCUAUCGACCAUAUUCAACUCACCAAAACCAUUGAAUAUAAAACUAAUCAAACAUAAAAUAUGUAUCCAAUGUUGAAAACCCAACCAUCAAUUACUCUUUAUGAUUGGCUGAAUCUGUGAAUGGGACGAAUAAUUGUGGAAUUAAGCUUUUAACAAAGACUCAAAGAAAACCUUAAAGUCAAGUAAUCCUUUAAUUUCUGCAGAGGCAAAAAACUUCACUUCUAAGCUUUAUAUAAAAGUAUCUGUAUUGCCUUAUCAAUGAUGGUAAAACCAUGCAUUCAUCUAUUUCUCUCGGUCUAUAAGAUUUAAAACAAGAAGUUUUAGUUGCUUCUUACAUAGAAGUCUUUUAUUAUUAUUUUUUUUCCAUUUUUUCUCAAUUUUUUUACCCUCUCCAUGAUUUGAUUGGUUUAGUCUAGAUGAAAAAGGUCAUGAUUUAAAGGUACUAUGUUUCAUAUUUUUUCUGCAAAACUAUUUACACUCAAUUUCAAUUGGUUUUAAGAUGAAAUCUAACAUGCCAUUAGAGCCUAUAUACCAUCUUUGAGAGUUGAAUAUUUUGUUAAGCAUUGCCUUUUCUUGCAUGAAUAUAAUAUAUUUGUUGCACUGGGACCCACAACCCUCUUCCCAUUUCAGCAUUUCAUACUUUCAUUGGUUGAGUUGCCAUUAAAGAAAAAGAAAAAUAUGUUCUUAAAGUCAAAUCAUCCUUUCUAACUACUCUUUCCAUCACUCUACCAUUCAUUACUGCACUGAAUCCAUUUCACUUCAUUUCCAACUCCUACCAUGGCAGCAGAAGUUAUUGGUGGUGCUCUUCUUUCGGCCUUUCUUCAGGUUGCAUUCGACAAGCUCGCUUCUCCUCAAUUUCUAGACUUCUUUCGUCAAAGAAAACUUGAUGAGAAACUGCUCACCAAUUUGAACAUCAUGCUGCACUCCAUCAAUUCUCUCGCUGAUGAUGCUGAACUAAAGCAGUUCACAGAUCCACACGUCAAAGCAUGGCUUUUCGCUGCCAAAGAGGCUGUCUUUGAUGCAGAGGAUCUGUUGGGUGAAAUAGACUAUGAACUCACCAGAUCCCAAGUUGAAGCUCAAUCCGAACCUCAAACCUUUACUUAUAAGGUAUCGAAUUUCUUCAACUCUACUUUCACUUCAUUUAACAAGAAAAUUGAAUCAAGGAUGAAAGAAGUCUUGGAGAAACUAGAAUAUCUUGCAAAGCAGAAGGGUGCUCUUGGUUUGAAAGAGUGUACUUAUUCUGAUAAUAGAUUAGGUAGUAAAGUGCUACAGAAAUUGCCAUCAUCUUCUUUGGUGGUUGAAAGUGUUAUUUAUGGCAGAGAUGCUGAUAAAGAUAUAAUCAUUAAUUGGCUGACAUCUGAAAUUGAUAAUUCUAACCAGCCAUCAAUACUUUCCAUUGUGGGCAUGGGUGGGUUGGGUAAGACCACACUUGCCCAGCAUGUAUACAAUGACCCAAAGAUCGACGAUGUAAAAUUUGAUAUGAAAGCUUGGGUUUAUGUUUCUGAUCAUUUUCAUGUUUUGACCGUGACAAGAACAAUUCUUGAGGCAGUGACUGGUAAAACAGAUGAUAGUAGGAACCUGGAAAUGGUUCACAAAAAACUAAAAGAAAAAUUGUCUGGGAAGAAAUUUCUGCUUGUUUUGGAUGAUGUUUGGAACGAAAGACGGGAAGAAUGGGAACUUGUGCAAACUCCUCUUAGUUAUGGAGCUCCAGGAAGUAGAAUUCUUGUCACAACUCGUGGCGAGAAUGUUGCUUCUAACAUGAAGUCUAAAGUGCAUCGCCUAAUGCAAUUAGGAGAGGAUGAAUGCUGGAAUGUUUUUGAAAAUCACGCAUUAAAAGAUGGUGAUCUUGAAUUGAAUGAUGAGCUAAAGGACAUUGGUAGAAGGAUAGUUAAGAGGUGCAAGGGAUUACCUUUAGCUUUGAAAACAAUUGGAUGUCUUUUACGCACAAAGUCAUCCAUUUCAGAUUGGAAGAACAUAUUGGAAAGUGAGAUAUGGGAGUUACCAAAAGAAAACAAUGAAAUUAUUCCAGCGCUAUUUAUGAGCUAUUGUUAUCUUCCUUCUCAUCUUAAAAAGUGCUUUGCUUAUUGUGCCUUAUUCCCCAAAGAUUAUGGGUUUGUGAAAGAGGAGUUAGUUUUGUUGUGGAUGGCCCAAAAUUUUCUGCAGUGUCCCCAACAGAUUAGACAUCCACAACAUAUUAGACAUCUAGAAGAAGUUGGUGAACAAUACUUCAAUGAUCUAGUGUCAAGGUCUUUUUUUCAUCAAUCAAGCGUCGUAGGACGUUUCGUCAUGCAUGACCUUCUGAAUGAUUUAGCAAAAUAUGUUUGUGUGGAUUUUUGUUUCAGGUUGAAAUUUGAUAAAGGCGAAUGUAUACCGAAAACAACCUGUCAUUUUUCAUUUGAAUUCCGUGAUGUCAAAAGUUUUGAUGGUUUUGGGAGUUUAACUAAUGCUAAAAGACUUCGUUCAUUCCUUCCUAUCUCGCAAUAUUGGGGUUCUCAAUGGAAUUUCAAGAUUUCCAUACAUGAUUUGUUUUCCAAGAUUAAGUUUAUACGCAUGUUAUCCUUCCGUGAUUGUUCAUGUCUUAGAGAGGUCCCAGAUUGUGUAGGUGAUCUUAAACAUCUCCAUUCGUUAGAUCUUUCGUGGUGUGAUGCGAUACAAAAGCUACCUGACUCGAUGUGUUUGCUCUAUAACUUACUAAUACUGAAGUUGAACUAUUGUUCAGAGUUGCAAGAAUUGCCCUUAAAUUUGCACAAACUUACCAAAUUGCGUUGCCUGGAGUUGAACUAUUGUUCAAAGUUGGAGGAAUUGCCCUUAAAUUUGCAUAAACUUACCAAAUUGCGUUGCCUAGAAUUUGAAGGUACAGAAGUGUCAAAGAUGCCAAUGCAUUUUGGAGAAUUGGAGAAUCUUCAAGUACUGAGUACAUUUUUCGUGGAUAGAAAUAGUGAGCUAAGUACUAAGCAACUGGGAGGAUUGGGAGGACUCAAUCUUCAUGGAAAGCUAUCAAUCAAUGACGUGCAGAAUAUUAUGAAUCCUUUGGAUGCAUUAGAAGCAAAUGUGAAAGAUAAACACCUUGUGGAGCUAGAAUUAAAAUGGAAGUCGGACCACAUCCCUGAUGAUCCAAGGAAAGAAAAGGAGGUACUUCAGAAUCUACAACCCUCCAAACACUUGGAGGAUUUAAAAAUCUCGAACUACAAUGGUACAGAAUUCCCAAGUUGGGUAUUCGAUAAUUCGUUAUCAAAUCUGGUGUUCUUACAGUUGCAGGACUGUAAACACUGCCUAUGUUUGCCUCCCCUUGGAAUUUUGUCAAGUCUGAAGGACCUUGAGAUUAUGGGGCUUGAUGGAAUAGUGAGCAUUGGUGUUGAAUUUUAUGGGAGCAACUCUUCAUUUGCAUCCUUGGAGAGGUUGGAAUUCCACAAUAUGAAGGAAUGGGAAGAAUGGGAGUGUAAAACUACUUCUUUUCCACGUCUUCAUGAGCUUUAUAUGAAUGAAUGUCCCAAACUGAAAGGUACUCAAGUAGUUGUUAGUGAUGAGCUCACAAUUAGCGGAAAGAGUAUCGACACAUGGCUGCUUGAAACCCUGCAUAUUGAUGGAGGUUGCGACUCUCUUACAAUGUUUCGGCUAGAUUUCUUUCCAAAGCUUCGUUCUCUUGAACUGAAAAGAUGCCACAACAUAAGAAGAAUUUCACAGGACUACGCUCAUAAUCAUCUCCAGCACCUAAAUAUUUUUGAUUGCCCUCAAUUUAAAUCAUUCCUGUUUCCCAAACCCAUGCAAAUCCUGUUUCCGUUCCUUAUGAGUCUGGAGAUAACUGUUAGUCCACAAGUGGAGUUUCAUGGUUUGCCAUUAAAUGUAAAAUAUAUGUCUCUUUCAUGUUUAAAACUUAUUGCCUCCUUGAGAGAGACCUUGGAUCCCAACACAUGUCUUGAAACCUUGCUUAUUCAAAAUUCAGACAUGAAGUGUUUUCCCGAUGAUGUUUUGCUGCCACGGUCUCUCACCUCUCUACUAAUCAAUUCUUGCCUAAAUCUUAAAAAGAUGCACUACAAGGGUCUCUGCCACCUCUCCUCUCUCACACUUCUUGAUUGUCCCAGCCUUCAAUGCUUACCAGCGGAGGGUCUCCCCAAAUCCAUCUCUUCUCUCUCAAUCGGGCGUUGUCCAUUGCUGAAAGAGCGUUGUCAGAAUCCAAAUGGCGAAGACUGGCCAAAGAUUGCUCACAUCCGAGAACUGAAUGUUUGGUCAUAAGAUGAGUCACAAGUUCAAAAUUAGACGUGCACCUAUUUCAAUUUGUCUGCCACUUCAACAGGUUAUAAUUCUCCACAAUAUCUUUGUAUCUUUUUUCUAACAAUUUUCUUAGUUGCAAACGGUAACUCUAUAAUUGCCAUUUUCCAAACAAGAGCAGCACAUGUUAUACUUAAACUGAUGAUAUUUAUUAAAGGAGGCUCUGCUACGAUUUUCAUGAAUCAAUUACUUUUAUUUUAUUCUUAUUUUCGUGCAAGAUUAUUUCAAUUGUUCUGUUGAAAUUAAAUUCCAACCAAAUGUGUUUCCUAUUUUUAGAAUACUACGAAAAUCGUGAAGGUGGUCUGGCAUUUGGCAUCCAUUCCGAACAGAGUAUUCUGUAGUUGGAAGUUAUGGUGGCAUCAUCUUCCUUUUUCUAGCUAUCUAAGUAUAUUUGUUUUCAUAGCCACAUUUUUUCUUCUGACAAAAAAGAUGAACUUAAACUUAAUAAUAGAUCACUGAAGCUAAAUGAUCCCAAAAUAGAAGUCAUGGGUUUUGAGUGGAGGAAAGAUGAAUGGAAACUACUGUGGACAUAAGGGACCUUAUGUAUCUAAGGAACUUGUAAUUGGAAUUUAAAAGUAUUUUUAUACGACUUUUUACUUUAUUAAAAAGCUCUUGUGACAUUCCAUCAAUGAAGACUGAGUUUUACAGAAAACAUAGUAAUAGAAAUAGCUUGAAUAUUGUUCAGAAUAUGAGUGUUAAGCUGCCAAACCCUCAUGAAGUUCUUUGGUGACAACCAAACUGCUAUGCAUAAUGAACCUAAACUGAGAAAAUUUCAGUAAUAUUUUGAAAACAGGGUCUAAUGUGUAAGGCCAUGCAUCCAUCCAUUUUAGUGUUCACCCAUACAAUCUCUUACAAUGAUUGGUAUAUGUCAUUUUACAAUGUCUUCACUUCACUUCUAGUAAUUGCUCUAGGUGUUUUUGAUUACUACACAUUUUUUAUAAUUGCUAUAUGAUCAACACCAAAGUUUAUAUUUAUUAUUUCCUUUUGUAAAAGUCUUGGUUCUGCCUUAAGGCAAUGGAAAAAUGAUUUUGCUAGCAGUGAGGUUCCUACAUUCACUUAAAAUAUACUAUUACUUAUUUGAUAUUUUUAAAGGUCUGUUUCUCUAGUUUCUUUGUGCCUAAAUACAUCUGCUUUGAAUGUAGAGUUCUUCACAAAGCAUUAUCAACUUUGAUGUAAAAUUCACCUAAACACUCUGAAGGCCUUGUUUUUUCUCUUACCCAGGUGUUUUAACUACUACACUUUUUCAACUAUUUAACAAAACUAGCUUGUACCUUUUCCCCCUCCCUCUCGUUACAAAUAGUUUUUCUAUUUUGUGGAAGAAAACUAUUCACACUCAAUGUCAAUUGGUUUUAAGAUGAAAUCUAACAUGCCAUUAGAGCCUAUAUACCAUCUAUGUGAGUUGCCUAUUUUUUUAAGCAUUACUUUUUUUUUUCUAACAUUCCCACUACAAGAAAAUAAUUAAAUAGAAACUAAUUUUAGACACUAAAAAUAAUUAGUUGUUGUAUUAACUAAAUUAGAUACUAGUUUAGAGACUAAAAAAGUUAUUGAUUUCUAAAUUAGUUUCUAUUAUGGAUAAAUAGUUUCUAAAUUGGUAUCUAAUUAACUAACAAGGUUUUAACUACCAAUUAUUUAGAUUCUAAAUUUAGUAGCAAAAUCCAAAUUAUUUAUCUACUGAUUUCUUCUGUGGCUCUUGAUUUUAGAUAAUGAUUUGUUAAGAGCCAAGAUGCUGUGCUAAUCAAUAACCAUAUUGUCUGUUUUACAGUAUCCUGUUCUAUAUCUAGAGGGAGUAGAAGACACCCUCUUCAGCUGGCCCAGGAUUCUUGGGUAGAUGUUGAAUGGAGUCCUUAGUUCUUUAGUGAUCUUCUUCUUAACCACUAAUUCUGUGUUGAAUCAAGCCUUCAGAAGAGAUGGUAAGGUGGUUGAUUUUGAAAUACUUGGGGUCACAAUGUAUACAUGUGUGGUGUGGACUGUGAAUUGCCAAAUGGCACUAUCCAUCAAUUACUUUACUUGGAUACAACAUUUUUUUAUAUGGGGCAGCAUUGUCUUCUGGUAUGUGUUUGUGUUGGUCUGUGGUUACCUCUCUCCAGCAAUAUCCACAACAGCUUACAGGGUUUUUGUGGAAGCAUGUGCUCCUAGUGCUCUAUAUUGGCUAGUAACCCUUUUGGUUGUUGUGUGUGUUCUGCUACCCUAUUUCUCCUAUAGCUCUUUGCAAAGUCGGUUUCUACCAAUGUACCAUGAUAUUAUACAGAGAGAACAAGUAGAAGAGAUUUAAAUUGGGUUAUCAGAUGAUGAGUUACCUAAACAGGUCCAGGGAAAACUAAUACACCUCAGAGAGAAAGAUUGAAGCAAAGGGAGUUGUGAAAUGUAAAUGCUUCUAAACAUACAUUCUUAGACCUUGGAAUUUUAUUUGAUUUCUUUCUGAGUUGGGAAGUGGCAUUGAAGUAGUGAGCAUUGCAAAUAGCUUUUAGUUUUUUAUUUCUUUUCCUCCUGAUUUCCAUUUGUUUAGAAAAUUAGGAGAGGAGAAUUUUUGUAGCAGUCACCUGAUGUAGAUUAGCUGUGUAAAGCUUGAGUAUUUGUUGUAUUUGUUAAGGGAAGAAGCAAUAGAUAUUUUACAUGUUCUAAGAUUAAGAGGGUUUGAUUUUCAAACUGGUGUAUAGUAAAUACAUAUUGGAAGAAAGAAAGUUUAGUAUUUUGGUUAGAUGAGAUAGGACCAUGCUUGUGCUGACUUUAAGAUGAAAGGAAAUCUAAGAAGUAUGAAUAAAAACUCAACAAUAUAAUGAACACUUUUUUCUUUCUUUAUCAUCAAAGAAUUAAAGGAAUUAAAAGAAGGGGUGUUCCAACCAUAUAAAAAAAAUUCAACAAUAUAAUGAACACUUAAAUAAGAGUGACAUAAACAAAAGGCUAAGGUACAUAAACAUGCAUUAAUCCAAAUUGAAUCCAGUUACUAAUUUUGUCCACUUUGGCCAUCUGCAAAGAUUGAACUAAGUAGAUAACUGACACUCCUAAAAAAGAGAAUAAGAAUUUUUAUAGAGAGAGGACAUUGUUGCAACAUGUUAUUAAAAAAGACUUAAAGCUUAAAGAGAUAAUUGUUUUCUGUCUUCACUGUAAUAUAACUGCAGGGUAUGAGGCUAUAAAAUUCUACAACUUGUCAUAGAUAAAUCAAAAUAUCAUGAAAAUCAUCAAUACCACUUAUUUAAAUGGAUUGCUUAACAAUCUCAGGAAGUAAGAUGAAAUUCAAUUAGGAAAUGUUUUUGUAAGAUUGUGACUUCAACUCUCUAAAUUUUAUACACUCGUAAUGUCUUUACAACAGGCACCAUUUCAGAAAAACAACAUUGAAAAUAUUUGCUUAAUAUAUUUUUAGGAAAUCUUUAAGUUUUUUAAAAAUAUCUCUUACAUAAAGAUAAAAAUAUAUUCAUUUAUUAUUUAGAUUUAGGAAAUUCAAAUUGAGAUAUUGUUAAUACUUGAUAUUUUGUUAUAUUUUACUAUAAAUCAAACUCCUCCAUAUCAUAGAUCUUUUAUAUUUUCAAACUAUAUUAAGUGAUUAAUAAAGAGACAAAGAAAGACGAUAAACCAAAUUAAGUGAAUAACGAAAGGAUGCGAAUUAGUACAUCAACUAAAUUUGCACGAGUAUAAUAUAAAUGUUGCAUAAAAGAUAUUAUUUGAAGUCAGAUAUUAUCCAAGCAAUUAAAAUUUUGGUUUCGAACUACUGUCAGAUUUGACUCAUCAUUUAUUAUUUCACCUAAUGAUCAGACAUACAUUCAUGGAUUACAGUUGUGAACAAAUAUUGCAUUGUACUUUCAUUCAUCACAACCCUUGAAUGAAUAUCCAACUGCUCACAUUUUAUAUUGGUUGAGUUGCCAUUAAAGAAAAAGAUGUUCUUAAAGUCAAGUCAUCCUUUCUAACUGAUCAUUAACAUCACUAUAGCAUUCAUCCCUGCACUGAAUCCAUUCACUUCAUUUCCAACUUCUACCAUGGGAGCAGAACUUGUUGGUGGUGCUCUUCUUUCUGCCUUUCUUCAGGUUGCAUUCGACAGGCUCGCUUCUCCUCAAUUUCUAGACUUCUUUCAUGGAAGAAAACUUGAUGAGAAGCUCCUCGGCAAAUUGAACAUCAUGCUGCACUCCAUCAAUGCUCUUGCUGAUGAUGCAGAACUAAGGCAGUUCACAGAUCCAAACGUCAAAGCAUGGCUUUUCGCUGUCAAAGAGGCUGUCUUUGAUGCAGAGGAUCUUUUGGAUGAAAUAGACUAUGAACUCACCAGAUGCCAAGUCGAAGCUCAAUUCGAACCUCAAACCUUUACUUACAAGGUAUCAAAUUUCUUCAACUCUACUUUCAGUUCAUUUAACAAGAAAAUUGAAUCAGGGAUGAAAGAAGUCUUGGAGAAACUAGAAUAUCUUGCAAACCAAAAGGGUGCUCUUGGUUUGAAGGAGGGUACUUAUUUUGGUGGUGAUGGAUCUGGUAGUAAAGUGUCACACAAAUUGCAAUCAACUUUUUUGGUGGUUGAAAGUGUUAUUUAUGGCAGAGAUGCUGACAAAGAUAUAAUCAUUACUUGGCUUACAUCGGAAACCGACAAUCCUAACCAGCCAUCAAUACUUUCCAUUCUGGGCAUGGGUGGCUUGGGUAAGACCACACUCGCCCAACAUAUGUAUAACGACCCAAAGAUCGACGAUGCAAAAUUUGAUAUCAAAGCUUGGGUCUGUGUUUCUGAUCAUUUUCAUUUUUUGACUGUGACAAGAACAAUUCUAGAGGCAAUCACAAAUCAAAAAAAUGAUAGUGGGAACCUAGAAAUGAUUCACAAAAAGCUGAAAGAAAAAUUGUCAGGAAGAAAAUUUCUUCUUGUUUUGGAUGAUGUUUGGAACGAAAAACCAGCAGAAUGGGAAGCUGUGCGAACUCCUCUUAGCUAUGGGGUUCAAGGAAGUAGAAUUCUUGUCACAACUCGUGGUGAGAAGGUUGCUUCUAACAUGAAGUCUAAAGUGCAUCGCCUAAAGCUAUUAGGAGAGGAUGAAUGCUGGAAUGUUUUUGCAAAUCACGCAUUAAAAGAUGGUGAUCAUGAAUUGAAUGAUGAGCUAAAGGAGAUUGGUAGAAGGAUAGUUGAGAAGUGCAAUGGACUGCCUCUAGCUUUGAAAACAAUUGGAUGUCUUUUACGCACAAUGUCAUCCAUUUCAGAUUGGAAAAACAUAUUGGAAAGUGACAUAUGGGAGUUACCAAACGAGAACAAUGAAAUUAUUCCUGCAUUAUUUUUGAGCUAUCGCUAUCUUCCUUCUCAUCUUAAAAGGUGUUUUACUUAUUGUGCCUUAUUUCCCAAAGAUUAUGAAUUUGUGAAGGAGGAGUUAAUUUUGUUGUGGAUGGCCCAAAAUUUUCUACAAAGUCCACAACAUAUUAGACAUCAAGAAGAAGUUGGUGAACAGUACUUCAAUGAUCUAUUGUCAAAGUCUUUCUUUCAACACUCAGGUGUCAAGAAGUGUUUUGAGCAAUCACAUGCUAGGAGGUGUUUCGUCAUGCAUGACCUUCUGAAUGAUUUGGCAAAAUAUGUUUGUGCGGAUUUCUGUUUCAGGUUGAAAUUCGAUAAAGGCUGAUAUAUACCGAAAACAACUCGUCAUUUUUCAUUUGAAUUAUGUGACGUCAAAAGUUUUGAUGGUUUUGAGAGUUUAAUUGAGUCUAAAAGACUUCGUUCAUUUCUUUCUAUCUCACCAUAUUGGGAACCUCAAUGGCAAUUCAAGAUUUCAAUACAUGAUUUAUUCUCUAAGAUUAAGUUCGUACGUGUCUUAUCUUUUAAUGGUUGUAAGAAACUUAAAGAGAUCCCGAAUUCUAUAAGUGAUCUUAAACAUCUUUAUUCGUUAGAUCUUUCGUGUGCUGAGAUACAAAAGCUACCUGACUCGAUAUGUUUUCUCUAUAACUUAUUAAUACUGAAGUUGAACUAUUGUUCAAAGUUGGAGGAGUUGCCCUUCAAUUUGCAUAAACUUACCAAAUUGCGUUGUUUGGAAUUUGUACAUACAAAAGUAACAAAGAUGCCAAAGCAUUUUGGAGAAUUGAAGAAUCUUCAAGUACUGAGUACAUUUUUCGUGGAUAGAAAUAGUGAGCUAAUUACUAAGCAACUAGGCGGAUUAGGAGGACUCAAUCUUCAUGGAAGGCUAUCAAUCAAUGACGUGCAAAAUAUUUUGAAUCCUUUGGAUGCAUUAGAAGCAAAUGUGAAAGAUAAACACCUUGUGGAGUUAGAAUUAGAAUGGAAGUCGGACCAUAUCUCUGAUGAUCCAAGGAAAGAAAAGGAAGUACUUCAGAAUCUACAACCCUCCAAACACUUGGAGCAUUUGUCAAUCUGGAACUAUAAUGGUACAGAAUUCCCAAGUUGGGUAUUCGAUAAUUCGUUAUCAAAUCUGGUGUUCUUAAAGUUGGAGGACUGUAAAUACUGCCUAUGUUUGCCUUUCCUUGGAAAUUUGUCGUCACUGAAAACCCUACGAAUUAUAGGGCUUCAUGGAAUAGUGACCAUUGGUACUGAAUUUUAUGGGAGCAACUCUUCAUUUGCAUGCUUGGAGAGUCUGUCAUUCUACAAUAUGAAGGAAUGGGAAGAAUGGGAGUGUAAAACUACUUCUUUUCCACGUCUUCAAGAGCUUUGUGUGGAUAAAUGUCCCAAACUGAAAGGUACUUAUUUAAAGAAAGUAGUUGUUAGUGAUGAGCUCACAAUUAGCGGAAACAGUAUAAACACAUCGUCGCCAGAAACCAUGCAUAUUGAUGGAGGCUACGACUCUCUUACAAUCUUUCGACUAGAUUUCUUUCCAAAGCUCCGUUCUCUUGAACUGAGAGACUGCCAAAACCUAAGAAGAAUUUCACAGGAGUACGCUCAUAAUCAUCUCAUGGAUCUAUGUAUUUAUGAUUGUCCUCAAUUUAAGUCAUUCUUGUUUCCCAAACCCAUGCAAAUCCUGUUUCCGUCCCUUACCACGCUUCAGAUAACUUUUUGUCCACAAGUGGAAUUGUUCCCAGAUGGAAGUUUGCCAUUGAAUUUAAAAGAGAUGUCUCUUUCACGUUUAAACCUUAUCGCCUCCUUGAGAGAGACCUUGGAUCCCAACACAUGUCUUGAACGCUUGUCUAUUGAAGAUUUGGACGUGGAGUGUUUUCCUGAUGAAGUUUUACUGCCACGCUCUCUCACCUCUCUACUAAUCCAAUAUUGCCCAAAUCUUAAAAAGAUGCACUACAAGGGUCUCUGCCACCUCUCCUCUCUCACACUUCUUGAUUGUCCCAACCUUCAAGCCUUACCAGCGGAGGGUCUCCCCAAAUCCAUCUCUUCUCUUACAAUCUGGGGUUGUCCAUUGUUGAAGGAACGUUGUCAGAAUCCAGAUUGCGAAGACUGGGGAAAGAUUGCUCACAUCCAAGGACGGCAUGUUUGAUCAUAAGAUGAGUCCCAAGUUCAAAAUUAGACGUGCACCUAUUUCAAUUUGUCUGCCACUUCAACAGGUUCUAAUUCUCCACAAUAUCUUUCUACCUUUUCGAUUACAAUUUUCUUAGUUGCAAACGGUAACCCUAUAAUUGCCAUUUUCCAAACACGAGCAGCACAUGUUAUACUUAAACUGAUGAUAUUUAUUAAAGGAGGCUCUGCUACGAUUUUCAUGAAUCAAUUACUUUUAUUUUAUUCUUAUUUUCGUGCAAAAUUAUUUCAAUUUUCUGUUGAAAUUAAAUUCCAACCAAAUGGGUUUCCUAUUUUUAGAAUACCACGAAAAUCGUGAAGGUGGUCUGGCAUUUGGCAUCCAUUCCGAACAGAGUAUUCUGUAGUUGGAAGUUAUGGUGGCAUCAUCUUCAUUUAUCUACCUAUCUAAGUAUAUUUGUUUUCAUAGCUACAUUUUUUCCUUCUAUCUUCUUAUAUCAUGCUACUACAGUUUCUGACAGAAAAAAUGAACUUAAACUUAAUAAUAGAUCACUGAAACUGGACAAAAAAUUAUCCCAAGAAUGAAGUUAUGGGUUUUGAGUGAGGAAAGAUGAAUGGAAACUGCAGUGGACAUAAGGUACAUGCUGUAUCUAAGGAACUUGUAAUUGGAAUUUGAAAGUAUUUUUAAACCAAUUUUUUCUUUAUUAAAAAGCUCUUGUGAUAUUCCAUCAAGAUUUUUAAACAUUAAAAGAAGUCUUGUGGUGUUCAAUCAGACUGAGUUUUACAGAAAAAUUAGUAAUAGAAAUAGCUUUGAAUAUUGUCAAUGCUUGGGUUGUCAAAACAUAUAAUCACAUCUACAUAUGCAGGUGUGCAACAGGCUGAGGGAAGACAACAUUAUCUAUCAGCAAUGCUCAGAAUAAGCUGCCAAACCCUCAUGAAGUUCUUUGGUGACAACCAAACUGCUAUGCAUAAUGAACUAAACUGAGAAAAUUUCAGUAAUAUUUUUAGAACAGGGUCUAAUGUAUUUGUUUAUGGAAGAAGGUUUAGAUAUUUUAAAAUAGAUUUUACCUGUGACAGCAUAAAACCAAGACAAAUAAAUAGACUAAAAUAUUAUGCAAAGUACUAAGCCAUGUACCAAAUACUAUGCCAGGCACUGAUAAUGCUGCAUGCUAUAAUUAUAUAAACCAGGACAAUCAAACUUUUCCCCCAGCACUCAUUAUGCCACUAACUCUCUAGAACAAACAAAAACUAGAUGAAAUUAAGGGUAAAAGAUUUCAAACCAGAUAUGAAAUUUGAAUGAAAGAAAUUCAACAGUUCAAACGUGAUUGUUUGAAAUUCAGCACAAUAGAUAUUAAAGAAAUAAGACCCUUUCCUUCUCCAUGCAUUGUUUCCUAAAUAUAUAUAUAUAUAUAUAUAUAAAUAUAAAAGGAAAAUUAUGACUGCUAUGUUAAUAUCAACAUGUUUGCUCUAUAAUUUAUAGUAUUUGCUGAUAAAAAAAAUGUUUGCUCUGUAAUUUGGCUAACGAGUAAGAUGAAACACCAGUUAAAGAGGUAAUCCUAUAUACUGAUUCUUGUAUUAGAAGAAGAAAAAAAUUGUCAUAUAACAUAAUACAUGAAAGAACUCCCAAGAAUAAACUAUAAUAAUAUUAAUAAUAUAAGAUAAUAGUCUAUCCUUAUAAAAGGAAAAAAAAAAAAAGCAGAACAAGGUGACAAGAUGGAGUGCAGAAGGUUAGUGGAAAAAGAUGACUUCUGUCUUGUAACCUUAAUUAACUCAAAACAAUUAGUUAAAGAAUUGAAAUUUGGAUGCAACUUUCUUGCAAUCUUUCGGGUAGAUUUCAUUCCGGAGCUCCGUAUACUCCUUCUGAUAAAUUCGAAAUAUUGAUAGCUAAUUAGAUACUAAUUUAAUAAUUAUUUAAUAAUAAUAAAAAAAUUUAGAAAUUAAAAAAAAAUUAAUUUCUAAAAUGAUAUCUAAUUUAGUUAUUAUUGUAAUUAAUUAUUUUGAUAUCUAAAAAUUGAUUUUUAUGUCAUGAGUUUUUUAGUGUUCUACUUUAUAUAUUGUAUAUGAAAAAAUAAAUCAAACUCCUCCUUAUCAUAUAUCUUUUAUAUUUUCAAACUAUAUCAAGUGAUAAAUAAAGAGCCAAAGAAAGACCGAUAAACUUACCAAAUUAAGUGAAUAAGGAAAGAAUGCGAAUUAGUACAUCAACUAAAUUUGCAUGAAUAUAAUAAUUGUUGCAUAAAAGAUAUUAUUUGAACUCAGAUAUUAUCCAAGCAAUCAAAAUUUUGGUUUGGAACUUUUGUCAACACUUUUCUUCUCAGAAACAGUCAACAAUUAUUGCUUCAUUGGGGCCCACAACCCUCUUCCCAUUCGUUCAUUCAUUAGAACCCUUGAAUGAAUAUCCAAUAGCUCACAUUUUCUAUUGGUUGAGUUGCCAUUAAAGAAAAAUAUGAUCUUAAAGUCAAGUCCUCCUUUCUAACUACUCUUUUCAUUCAUCACUGUAUCAUUCAUUCCUGCACUCAAUUCAUUUCACUUCAUUUCCAACUCCUUCCUACCAUGGCAGCAGAACUUGUUGGUGGUGCUCUUCUUUCGGCCUUUCUUCAGGUUGCAUUCGAUAGGCUCGCUUCUCCUCAACUUCUAGACUUCUUUCGUGGAAGAAAACUUGAUGAGAAGCUUCUCGACAAUUUGAACAUCAUGCUUCACUCCAUCAAUGCUCUCGCUGAUGAACUAAAGCAGUUCACACAUCCACACGUCAAAGCAUGUGUUAGCAUUAAACUCAGCCUUCAGCCGUAAUUAGUUUUAUUUUAGCAUCUGAAUAGCCAAUAAUUAUUAUCUUUAAUUCUAGUUUUGAAUGUCAUUUAUACUAUGAUUUAAAUGUAAAUUAUAGUAUAGGUUUUAUGAGAGAGAAGGUAGAAUUUUGAGAAGUCUAUUGUAAGACUAUUUAGAGAGAUUGUAUUCUUAUUUGAAAAACAGUAGUGAAAUAAAAUAUAUAUUUCCUGUUCACAAAUAUCUUGCUCUGUUUUAUUCCCUCAACACCAACAAUUGGUAUCAUAGCUAUUUUCUUGAGGGAUCUGUGAGGUUAGUAGAGUGCACCAAUGGAAGGAGGAUCAAAUUUUUCAACAAUGGCACCACCUGUCUUUGAUGGAGACAAUUAUCAAAUGUGGGUUGUUCGUAUGGAGACUUACCUAGAAGCAUUGGAUUUAUGGAAAGCUGUAGAAGAGGACUAUGAAAUUCAGUCCCUUCCAAAAAAACCCUACGGUGGCACAAAUAAAAUCACAGAAGGAAAAAAAGAUAAAGAAAUCAAAGACAAAAGCAUGUUUAUUUGCAGUUGUAUCUCCUAUGGUAUUCACAAGGAUAAUGUCCUUGGAGUCAGCAAAAGAAAUAUGGGAUUACCUCAAGGCAAAAUAUGAAGGUGAUGAGAGGAUUCGUGGAAUGCAAACUCUGAAUCUAAUCAGAGAGUUUGAAUUGCAGAGAAUGAAGGAGUCGGAAUCCGUAAAAGAGUACUCGGACAAACUUCUAAGCAUUGCCAACAAAGUGAGGUUGCUUGGAUCUGUGUUAAAAGAUUCAAGAAUUGUGGAAAAACUGCUUGUAACAGUUCCAGAGAGGUUUGAAGCCACCAUAACAACCCUGGAGAACACAAAGGACCUAUCAAAGAUUUCUCUUGCAGAGCUCUUAAAUGCUUUACAAGCACAAGAACAAAUGAGAGCCAUGAGACAAGAUGGAGCAAUAGAAGGAGCCUUACUAGUCAAACAUGAAGGUGGAUGGNNNNNNNNNNNNNNNNNNNNNNNNNNNNNNNNNNNNNNNNNNNNNNNNNNNNNNNNNNNNNNNNNNNNNNNNNNNNNNNNNNNNNNNNNNNNNNNNNNNNNNNNNNNNNNNNNNNNNNNNNNNNNNNNNNNNNNNNNNNNNNNNGAGCAACAAGAUGUAGAUGCUCAAAUUGCAAAUGAGGAGGAGGAUGUACUUUUCGUUGCAACUGGUUUUUGCAGCAAUAUUUCAAGUGCAUCUUGGUUAAUUGACAGUGGCUGCACCAACCACAUGACACAUGAUAAGGAACUCUUCAAGGAAUGGAGAACUACUGAUAUUAAAAGGGUGAGGAUUGGAAAUGGUGCAGUAAAAGGAAAAGGCACAAUAGCUAUCACAAGCUAUAAAGGUAUAAAAAUCAUUACAGAUGUUCUUUUUGUGCCAGAGAUUGAUCAAAAUCUUUUGAGUGUUGGUCAAUUGUUGGAAAAAGGCUAUAAGGUGAUGUUUGAAAAUAAACAUUGUUUAAUCAAAGAUGUUGAUGCCAGAUAUUUGUUUAAAGUUGAAAUGAAGGGAAACCGAGACUGCCAAAUCCAAUGGAGGAGGAGCACAUUGCCUUAAAAUCCAAAGAAAAUGUCACAGAAAUUUAUGUACCUGACUUGAAGAAUAAUAUUCUCGGUAUGGGAAAAUUAUUGGAGAGUGUUGAAGCAAAAUUUGAUAACCUGGAAAAAAGGUUUACAAAAUUGGAAGAAAAAUAUGUUGAUAUGGAGAAAGACAAGGAAAGUAGAGUCAAUCAAGUUGAAGAACUCCAUUUGUUGCUUUUGGCACAAAAAGAAAAGGUGAAUGAAUUACAAUUCAAAUUAAAAGCCCCUUUUGGUUCAUGUGUUUUACUUGAAAAUAAUGGUUUUGACUUAGGAGAAGACCAUAAAUGGAAUGGUGUUGAGACAUCAUCUGAAAGGGAAAUAUGGUAUAAUCAUUAUCUUCGAAGCUCAUUGAAGUCAAAGUCUUUCUUAAAUCCUUUUUAAUUCAAAGGGUGAAAGUGGAAAGAUUUUGUUUGGAAAAUUAAAAGUAAUUCAAUUCAAAAUUAUGCACGGAUUGAUGCAGUGAAGAAAAAUAUUGGAGGCAGUGUGAGCGAUGACAAUCAGAAAAGCAACAAUCUGAAUGAAUAAUAUGAAAUGUUUGAGUUUAAGGGGGAAUUUGUUAACAUUAAACUCAAAGCCUUCAGCCGUCAUCAAUUUUAUUUUAGCAUCUGAAUAGACAAUAAUUAUUAUCUUUAAUUCUAGUUUUGAAUGUCAUUUAUACUAGGAUUUAAAUGUAAAUUAUAGUAUAGGUUUUAUGAGAGAGAAGGUAGAAUUUGAGAAGUCUAUUGUAAGACUAUUUAGAGAGAUUGUAUUCCUAUUUGAAAAACAGUAGUGAAAUCAAAUAUAUAUUUUCUGUUCACAAAUAUCUUGCUCUGUUUUAUUCCCUCAACACCAACAACAUGGCUUCGUGCUGUCAAAGAGGUUGUCUUUGAUGCAGAGGAUCUUUUGGUGAAAUAGACUAUGAACUCACCAGAUGCGAAGUCGAAGCUCAAUCCCAACCUCAAACCUUUACUUACAAGGUAUCGAAUUUCUUCUACUCUACUUUCAGUUCAUUUAACAAGAAAAUUGAAUCAGAGAUGAAAGAAGUAUUGGAGAAACUAGAAUAUCUUGCAAAGCAAAAGGGUGCUCUUGGUUUAAAAGAUUGUACUUAUUCAGGUGAUGGAUCAAGUAGUAAAGUGCCACAAAAAUUUGGUGGUUGAAAGUGUUAUUUAUGGUAGAGAUGCUGACAAAGAUAUAAUCAUUAAUUGGCUCACAUCUGAAACCGACAAUCCUAACCACCCAUCAAUACUUUCCAUUGUGGGCAUGGGUGGCUUGGGUAACACACUUGCCCAGCAUGUGUACAAUGACCCAAAGAUCGAAGAUGCAAAAUUUGAUAUCAAAGCCUGGGUUUAUGUUUCUGAUCACUUUCAUGUUUUGACCGUGACAAGAACAAUUCUUGAGACAGUGACUGAUAAAACUGAUGAUAGUAGGAACCUAGAAAUGGUUCACAAAAAACUGAAAGAAAAAUUGUCAGGAAGGAAAUUUCUUCUUGUUUUGGAUGAUGUUUGGAACGAAAGACGAGAAGAAUGGGAAGUUGUGCGAACUUCUCUUAGCUAUGGGGCUCCAGGAAGUAGAAUUCUUGUCACAACUCGUGGGGAGAAAGUUGCUUCCAGCAUGAGGUCUGAAGUGCAUCUUCUAAAGCAAUUACGAGAGGAUGAAUGCUGGAAAGUUUUUGAAAAUCAUGCAUUAAAAGAUGAUCUUGAAUUGAAUGAUGAGUUAAUGAAGGUGGGUAGAAGGAUAGUUGAGAAGUGCAAGGGAUUACCUCUAGCUCUGAAAACAAUUGGAUGUCUUUUACGCACAAAGUCAUCCAUUUUAUAUUGGAAAGUGACAUAUGGGAGUUACCAAAAGAACACAGUGAAAUUAUUCCUGCGAUAUUUUUGAGCUAUCGCUAUCUUCCUUCUCAUCUUAAAAGAUGCUUUGCUUAUUGUGCCUUAUUUCCCAAAGAUUAUGAGUUUGUGAAGGAGGAGUUAAUUUUGAUGUGGAUGGCCCAAAAUUUUCUACAAAGUCCACAACAGAUUAGACAUCCAGAAGAAGUUGGUGAAGAGUACUUCAAUGAUCUACUGUCAAGGUCUUUUUUUGAACAAUUAGGUGCCUAGAGACGUUUCGUCAUGCAUGAUCUUCUGAAUGAUUUGGCAAAAUAUGUAUGUGCGGAUUUCUGUUUCAGGUUGAAAUUUGAUAAAGGUCGAUGUAUACCGAAAACAACCCGUCAUUUUUCAUUUGAGUUACGUGACGUCAAAAGUUUUGAUGGUUUUGAGAGUUUAAUUGAUGCUAAAAGGCUUCGUUCAUUUCUUCCUAUCUCAAAAUUUUGGGAAAUUCAAUGGCAUUUCAAGAUUUCCAUACAAGAUUUGUUUUCCAAUAUUAAGUUUAUACGCAUGUUAUCUUUCUGUGGUUGUUCAUUCCUUAAAGAGGUCCCGGAUUCUGUAGGUGAUCUUAGACAUCUCCAUUCGUUAGAUCUUUCGUGGUGUGAUGCGAUACAAAAAGCUACCUAACUCGAUAUGUUUGCUUUACAACUUACUAAUACUGAAGUUGAACCAUUGUUUAGAGUUGGAGGAAUUGCCAAUUUUCAUAAACUUACCAAAUUGUGUUGUCUGGAAUUUAGAGAUACAAAAGUCACAAAAAUGCCAAUGCAUUUUGGAGAAUUGAAGAAUCUUCAAGUACUGAGUACAUUUUUCGUGCAUAGAAACAAUGAGCUAAUUACUAAGCAAAUGAGAGGAUUGGGAGGACUCAAUCUUCAUGGAAGACUAUCAAUCAAUGAAGUGCAUAAUAUUUUGAAUCCUUUGGAUGCAUUAGAAGCAAAUGUGAAAGAUAAACACCUUGUGGAGCUAGAAUUAGAAUGGAAAUCAAACCACAUCCCUGAUGAUCCAAGGAAAGAAAAGGAGGUACUUCAGAAUCUACAACCCUCCAAACACUUGGAGCGUUUGUCAAUCUUGAACUAUAAUGGUACAGAAUUCCCAAGUUGGGUAUUCGAUAAUUCGUUAUCAAAUCUAGUGUUCUUAAAGUUGGAGGACUGUAAAUACUGCCUAUGUUUGCCUUCCCUUGGAAUUUUGUCGUCACUGAAAACCCUACAAAUUGUAGGGCUUGAUGGAAUAGUAAGCAUUGGUGCUGAAUUUUAUGGGAGCAACUCUUCAUUUGUAUCUUUAGAGAGGUUGAAAUUCCACAAUAUGAAGGAAUGGGAAGAAUGGGAGUAUAAAACUACUUCUUUUCCACGUCUUGAAUGGCUUUAUGUGAAUGAAUGUCCCAAACUGAAAGGUCUUCAUUUAAAGAAAGUAGUUGUUAAUGAUGAGCUCAGAAUUAGCGGAAACAGUAUGGACACAUCGCCGCUUGAAACAGUAUGGCUCAGCUACUUUUUCAUGAAUCAAUUACUUCUAUUUUACUCUUAUUUUCGUGCAAAAUUAUUUCAUUUUUUCUGUUGAAAUUAAAUUCCAACCAAAUGUGUUUCCUAUACUUAGAAUACUACGAAAAUCGUGAAGGUGGUCUGACAUUUGGCAUCCAUUCCAAACAAAGUAUUUGUUUUCAUAGCCACAUUCUUCCUUCUAACUUCUUAUUUCAUGCUACUACAGUUUCUGACAAAAAAAAGUGAACUUAAACUUGAUCAUAGAUCACUGAAACUAAACGAUCCCAAGAAUGAAGUUAUGGGUUGAGUGGAGGAAAGAUGAAUGAAAACUUCAAUGGACACAAGGGACAUUCUGUAUCUAAAGAAUCAAGACUUUUAAACAUUAAAAUAAGUCUUAUGGUGUUCAAUCAAGACUGAGUUUUACAGAAAAAAGAGUAAUAGAAAUAGCUUGAAUAUUGUCAAUGCUUAGGUUGUCAAAACAUUAUCAUCACAUCAGCCAAAAAAUACAACAGCCUCAGGGAAGACAACAAACUGCUAUGCAUAAUGAACCUAAACUGAGAAAAUUUCAGUAAUAUUUUGAAAACAGAUUCUAAUGUGUAAGGCCAUGCAUCCAUGCCUUUUAGUGUUCACCCACACAACGUUGUCAUGCUCCAAUUUUAGUUUCCUUAAUAUUCUGAUCUUGAGACUCAAGCAAAUAAAUGUAACACAACUGUCUAAUAGAAAAACAACUUUAUACUCCAUUGGUUCAGUAGUGUGAGUUAUUGAAAACCUUCUGCUACUUGUGUUCGAUUCCAACCAUUAGGAAAAACAAUCAUACACUUGCUAGUUAGUACAAUUAAUGCAUGAGUUCAACUAAAUAAAAUAAAUACCUGGGAUGAGAAAUAUCUUAAUUAUAAUUUUUUUUAUCGACAAUGAGUAAAUAAAUUAAAAGAUGGGUAAGAUUCUAUACCUCAUUUGCUAGUCACCUGCUACUAUUUAUGAUGGAUACACUCAUUCUUUCUUGAUUUUUAAGUUAAUGAUUUAAAUGGAACAAUGUGCUAAUGCUUUUGUUUCUACCUUAUUUCUUCUACAGGUCUUCCAAAGUUGGUUUGUAGCAGUGUAUCAUAAAUUAUAAUGAGAAAAUAACUACAAGGGCUUGAAAUUGGGUUCUGAUGAGGAAUUGGAAUGUGAAGCAAACUGUUUUGUUGAACCUCUUAGUGGGUCUAUUUGCUUUUAAAUUUGUCUUUAAAGGAAUAAAAUAGAACCCACUUUUCUUAUUUGCAGGCUACUGUUUCAAUUAGAAUUUUGCCACUUUCAAGGACUAAAAGUUUAAGGACUCUCUGAACAGCAACAACAAACUUACAGAAGUGUAAAGUUUCUUGUUGACCAAGUAUUGUCUUGUAUAGUUGGAGAUAAAAAGUGAUUAUUGGAAGCCAACAACUCUCUAGAAAUCUUGUAUAUUUAGAGUCUUUUUUACCAAUGAAGAUUUUCUUCGACUCCCUCUCACUUCGCUAAAUACAUGUGAUUGUGCAUGUCCAGACUCAUCACUCCCUCUCUCAGAGGCAUGUUACCACUCAGGCCUUCUAAAUUUUGAUUAAAUAUAUUUAAUACAAAAAUGUUCAAAAUAAUCUCCAAGUAGUAUUACCCUUUUUGGUCAGAACUAAAAAACUAAUCUCUUGUGAUAUAUUAAAGAGAUAAUCACUUUUGAUACAUUUUUUUGGUAAGUACGAAUUUGAGAUCAAAUUUUUGACCACAUAUUUAAGAGAGAAAGUUACAUGCUAAAUAUGUCACACUCUGUAGUUCUGUUAAGUUGUGAAUGUCAAUGGAAGACUUUGCUUCAUUUCUUCCAUAACCUUCCAGUAAACACAUCUUUCUCCUAAAUUUAUUUCUACACUUCUUUUGUAGAAGAAAGUUCGAUGAAGCACUGUUCAUAAAAUUAGUAAAGCUGAGUACUUGAACCAAAAGAGGCACAUGUAUUUGUUAAUGGAAGAAGCUUUAAAAAUUUUACAAUAUAUUUUACAUGUGCCAGCAUAAAACAAAACCAAUUUAUCCUCGUCAACAGUGAACUGAACUGUUAAAACUUGAAAUACAUAAAAAAACUGUUAAAAAAUUAUAUAUGGGUAUCUUCUUUCCACAAGUUGAAGCUAGAGAUAGAACAAGAAAAUAAAGACGUAUAACACACCAUUAUUGUCCGACUUUUAUUCAUUAAGUACGUUUGUGAUAUCAUAUCAGAAAAUAAACAAUUAUUUCUCGACUUUGGUUCUAUCGACCUUAUUCAACUCACAAAAACCAUUGAAUAUAAAACUAAUCAAACAUAAAAUAUGUAUCCAAUGUCUGAAACCCAACCAUCAAUCACUCUUUAUGAUUGGCUGAAUCUUUGAAUGCAACGAAUAAUUGUGGAAUUAAUCCUUAAGAAAGACUAUAUUGGCUGAGUAGACAUCAAAGAAAACUAUGUUCUAAAAUACUUUACUACUCAUCCUAUCAAUACAAACUGCAUUUCAACAUACUGAUUUCCAUCCUUCCAAUCAUUUUCCAAUUCCUGCCAUGGCAGCAGAACUUGUUGGUGGUGCUCUUCUUUCAGCCUUUCUUCAGGUUGCAUUCGACAGACUCGCUUCUCCUCAAUUUCUAGACUUCUUUCAUCGAAGAAAACUUGAUGAGAAGCUUCUCUGCAAUUUGAACAUCAUGCUGCACUCCAUCAAUGCUCUCGCUGAUGAUGCUGAACAGAAGCAGUACACAGCUCCACACGUCAAAGCAUGGCUUUUUGCUGCCAAAGAGGCUGUCUUUGAUGCAGAGGAUCUGUUGGGUGAAAUAGACUAUGAACUCACCAGAUGCCAAGUCGAAGCUCAAUCCGAACCUCAAACCUUUACUUACAAGGUAUCAAAUUUCUUCAACUCUACUUUCACUUCAUUUAACAAGAAAAUUGAAUCAGGGAUGAAAGAAGUCCUGGAGAAACUAGAAUAUCUUGCAAAGCAAAAGGGUGCUCUUGGUUUGAAAGAGGGUACUUAUUCUGAUGACAGAUUCGGUAGUACAGUGUCACAGAAAUUGCCAUCAUCAUCCUUGGUUGUUGAAAGUGUUAUUUAUGGCAGAGAUACGGACAAAGAAAUCAUACUUAGUUGGCUCACAUCUGAAAUCGACAAUCCUAGCCAGCCAUCAAUACUUUCCAUUGUGGGCAUGGGUGGCUUGGUUAAGACCACACUCGCCCAACAUGUGUACAAUCACCCAAAGAUUGAUGAUACAAAAUUUGAUAUCAAAGCCUGGGUCUGUGUUUCUGAUCAUUUUCAUGUUUUGACGGUGACCAGAACAAUUCUUGAGGCAAUCACUAAUAAACAAGAUGAUAGUGGGAACCUAGAAAUGCUUCACAAAAAAUUGAAAGAAAAUUUGUCAGGAAGGAAAUUUCUUCUUGUUUUGGAUGAUGUUUGGAACGAAAGACGAGAAGAAUGGGAAGCUGUGCAAACUCCUCUUAGCUAUGGGGCUCCAGGAAGUAGAAUUCUUGUCACAACUCGUGGUGAGAAAGUUGCUUCCAACAUGAGGUCUAAAGUGCAUCGCCUAAAGCAAUUAGGAGAGGAUGAAUGCUGGAAUGUUUUUGAAAACCACGUAUUAAAAGAUGGUGAUAUUGAACUGAAUAAUGAGCUAAAGGAGAUUGGUAGAAGGAUAGUUGAGAAGUGCAAUGGAUUGCCUCUAGCUUUGAAAACAAUUGGAUGUCUAUUACGCACAAAAUCAUCCAUUUCAGAUUGGAAAAACAUAUUGGAAAGUGAAAUAUGGGAGUUACCAAAAGAAGACAAUGAAAUUAUCCCUGCGCUAUUUCUGAGUUAUCGCUACCUUCCUUCUCAUCUUAAAAGGUGUUUUGCUUAUUGUGCCUUAUUCCCCAAAGAUUAUGAGUUUGUGAAGGAAGAGUUAAUUUUGUCGUGGAUGGCCCAAAAUUUUCUACAAUGCCCACAACAAAAAAGGCAUCCAGAAAAAGUUGGUGAACAGUACUUCGAUGAUCUACUGUCAAGGUCUUUCUUUCAACCAUCAAGUGUCGAGAGACAUUUCGCAUGCAUGACCUUCUGAAUGAUUUGGCAAAAUAUAUUUGUGCAGAUUUAUGUUUCAGGUUAGGAUUUGAUAAAGGAAAAUGUAUGCCGAAAACAACUCGUCAUUUUUCCUUUGUAUUCCGUGACGUCAAAAGUUUUGAUGGUUUAGGGAGUUUAACUGAUGCUGAAAGACUGCGUUCAUUUAUUCCAAUUACACAAAUUGGGAGAAAUUUUUUUGGCAGUUUUGCAUGGCAAUUUAAGGUAUCGAUACAUGAUUUGUUCUCCAAGAUUAAGUUUAUACGCGUCUUAUCUUUUAAUGGUUGUUCGAAAAUUAAAGAAGUCCCACAUUCUCUAGGUGAUCUUAAACAUCUCCAUUCGUUAGAUCUUUCGAAUACUGGUAUACAAAAGCUACCUGAAUCGAUAUGUUUGCUUUAUAACUUGCUAAUACUGAAGAUGAACUAUUGUUCAGAGUUGGAAGAGUUUCCCUUAAAUUUGCAUAAACUUACCAAAUUGCGUUGUCUGGAAUUUAAAUAUACAAAAGUGACAAAGAUGCCAAUGCAUUUUGGAGAAUUGAAGAAUCUUCAAGUAUUGGAUACGUUUAUCAUUGAUAGAAAUAGUGAGGUCAGUACUAAGCAGCUGGGAGGACUUAAUCUUCAUGGAAUGCUAUCAAUUAAAGAGGUGCAGAAUAUUGUGAAUCCUUUGGAUGCAUCAGAAGCAAAUUUGAAAAAUAAACACCUUGUGGAGCUAGGCUUAGAAUGGAAGUUGGACCACAUCCCUGAUGAUCCACGAAAAGAGAAGGAAUUACUUCAGAAUCUACAACCUUCCAAUCACUUGGAGAAUUUGUCAAUCAAGAACUACAGUGGUACAGAAUUCCCAAGUUGGGUAUUCGAUAAUACAUUAUCAAAUCUGAUAUCCUUACUAUUGAAGGACUGUAAGUAUUGCCUAUGUUUGCCUCCCCUUGGACUUUUGGCAUCACUAAAGAUCCUCAUAAUUACAGGGCUUGAUGGAAUAGUGAGCAUUGGUGCUGAAUUUUAUGGGACCAACUCUCCAUUUACGUCCUUGGAAAGGCUGGAAUUCUACAACAUGAAGGAAUGGGAAGAAUGGGAAUGUAAAAAUACUUCUUUUCCACGUCUUCAACAUCUUUAUCUGGAUAAAUGUCCCAAACUAAGAGGUUUGUCAGACCAACAUCUUCAUUUAAUGAGAUUCUUGAGCAUUAGUUCAUGUCCACUUGUGAAUAUUCCCAUGACCCAUUACGACUUCCUUGAAGGUAUGAUGAUUGAUGGUGGUUGGGACUCUCUUACAAUCUUUCUGCUAGAUUUAUUUCCAAAGCUCCACUCACUUCAUUUGAUAAGAUGCCAAAACCUAAGAAAAAUUUCACAGGAGCACGCUCAUAAUCAUCUCCGGUCUCUAGAAAUUAAUGAUUGCCCUCAAUUUGAAUCAUUCCUUAUUGAAGGAGUAUCUGAAAAACCCAUGCAAAUCCUUACUCGAAUGGAUAUAGAUGAUUGUCCAAAAAUGGAGAUGUUCCCAGAUGGAGGUUUGUCAUUAAAUGUAAAAUAUACGAGUCUUUCAAGUUUAAAACUUAUCGCCUCCCUCAGAGAGACAUUGGAUCCCAACACAUGUCUUGAGAGCUUGAAUAUUGGAAAGUUGGAUGUGGAGUGUUUUCCGGAUGAAGUUUUGCUGCCACGAUCUCUCUCCAAACUAGGAAUCUAUGAUUGCCCAAAUCUUAAAAAGAUGCACUACAAGGGUCUCUGCCACCUCUCUUCUCUCACACUUAUUAAUUGUCCCAACCUUCAAUGCUUACCAGAGGAGGGUCUGCCAAAAUCCAUCUCUUCUCUUGUAAUCUUGGAUUGUCCAUUGCUAAAGGAGCGUUGUCAGAAUCCAGAUGGCGAAGACUGGAGAAAGAUUGCUCACAUCCAAAAACUGAAUAUUGGGUAAUAAGAUGAGGCAUAAGUUCAAGAUUAGAUGUGCAGUUAUUUCCAUUUUUCUUCCACUUCAAGAGGUGCUAAUUCUCCACAAUAUCUCUUUACCUUUACAUUUACAAUUUUCUUAGUUGCGAAAAUUAUUAGUAAGUGGAUUUCUAAUACUUACUAAUCGUUCAUUCAUACUAUCUUUUUUUACAGUAUCCUUCUCUAUAUCUGGAGGGAGUAGAAGAGACCCUCUUUAGAGAUCUUACUCUUGACCACGAUGCUUUCUAAGGUGGCUGUUUUUAAAAUACUUAUGGUCACAGUGUGUUGUGUGGACUGUGAUAUUAUAAGUCUUUCCAAAGUCUGUUUCUACCAAUGUGCCAAGAUAUGAUAAAGAGAAAAAAAGUAGAAGGGUUUGAAGUUGAAUUAUCAGAGGAUGAGUUACCUAAACAAGUCCUGGGCAAACUCCUACAUCUGAUAGAGAGAUUGAGGCAAUGGGAGUUGUGAAAUGUAAAUGCUUCUAAGCGUCCAUUCUUAGAACUUGAAAUUGUACAUGUUUUUCUUACUGAGUUAGAAAUAGCAUUCAAGUUGUUUGUGAGCAUUGCAUGUAACUUGUAUUUUUUAUUCCUUUUGUUUCCAUCUAUUCACUGUAUAUAAAAAAAAUGUUCUGGUUAGAACUGAUGUCAACUGUUGAAACCAAAUUUUCUUUCAUUUAUCUCAUAUGCUUGGAUAAAGACAUGCAUAUCCAUCAUCUUUCUUUCGAAACUUAUGUGGCGUCCAUACCAAAAUACAGAAAAAGGUAGUGAACUAUAUUACUUCAUGAUAAUAACUGGAUCAGAAAAUGGUGAAAGAAGAACUAUUUAUUGAAUGUACGUAAAUUGAAUCAUUGGUUUUUGAGAGGCCUUCAUUACCCUUUAUCUUAGAAUGUAGAUUUCAGUAUAACUCAAUUCUACAAAAACUGGUUUACAUUAAUAUGUUGAUCAUGAUAGACUUUAUUUUUCCUGUACUUCAAUAUUACCUACAUGGUUCUAGCUCCCUGUCAUUAACAAUUUUUCUCAACUAUUUUCUUUCUCAUCUUUGUCGUUGAUGGUUUUAUGUAAAGUAUGGAUCCAACGGUUAAUAUGUGUUCAAUUUCUUCUCUCUAAUGGAAGCCAUAGGAAAGAAAUCAUUCAUUCAUCUUUUUAAUAUAACAGUCAUGAAACAUGUGUAUGAAACAGGUAUAUAUCAAUUUAGUUUCUUUCACUAUAGUUUGUUUAUAAAAUGAGUGGUGGUAGGAGUAUAUCAGUAGCAGAGACCUGUUGAAGAUUAUAAUAAUAUAAAUAAUUGAUAGUUAAAACUUUGGUAGCUAAUUAGAUAUCAAUUUAAAAACUAAUUAAUAAUAAUAGAAACUAAUUUAGAAACCAAAAAUUUUUUUAGUCUCUAAAAUGGUCUCUAACUUAGUCAUUAUAGUAAUUAAUUAUUUUUUUCUCUAAAAUUAGUUUCUAUUCUUGUAAUGUGAAUUAAUGAAAUUUCAACACAAAUUUUCUCUAAAUAAUGCUUUCCAAAUUGAAUAUAUAGUUGUUUCAAUUAUUUAAAACAAGUUUACAGAACAUCAAUACCAAUACUUAUCUAGGAAACACCAAACACCAGCUACCGUAGGGUUGUAAUUUUUAUAAAUCACAAAUUUACUGCACCGUGAAACCAUAUCCAUCACCAAUUUCUUAUGCAAUGCACACAAUAAUUUUAACGUUGUCCUCAAGUCAAAUCAAACAAUAAUUUCUAUCAAGCACAUAAACCCAAGAACUUCAAUUGUAACCCAUCAAAGAUCAAAACUAGAAAUUUUAUACUUCAUCACAGAGUUUGAUAACAAGAUUGGACUGAACUGUGAGAUGAGAUGCACCAGCGACUACCAUAAUGUUCAAUGGUUUAAACCAUUCAUACAGUAAAUUGGACAGAAACAAGAAUUGUUACUCACUACGAAAUAGUUCAAUUUCCAAUUACACAGUGAAUGAAUCAAAAUUAAGUAUAAUUUUUGCUCUACACACGCAAAAGUUCCAGCAAUCACCAACUCAAAAGGAGUAAAAAUUGUGCCACUUUAAAUUACUGUUUUGAAAAUUCAAUGACACAAGAAAAAUAUUGCAUUGACUUCAACUACAAUAACGAAGCAUUUAUACAAACACGUCAUUUGCAGUUUAACCAACACGCAAAUGUUUGAAUUAUCAACUCUUCAACGAGUCAACACAAAAAUAAUUUGAUCAAUGACACACAAAAAUCACAAAUCUCCCCAUGCAAUUUAGUGGAAAUUUUCGUGCAUAUUACAUUCAUAUCAACGAAAAGAGGCAAAUAGAAAUUACAAUUUCCAUACUCACAUCGAAUUCACUAGAACAAAUGACAGUAUCAUCGUUGAGUAAUUCCAAGCACGCAAACUAAUUUUUUUCUCCAAAAGUCGAUUUUAUGAAUUGAAAACUCAUGAUAUUUAAAUAUUAUCAUAGACACUAGGUGUAUAAAACUUAAAUCUUUAAGACAAAACAAAACCAAAAAAAUAUUUAAAAGACAUUGUCUAAUAACAUAAUGAAUUGAGUAUUACACACAUUUAUUUGCAAUUGUAGCUGCAUGGGUUAUGCAGAUUACUGCAUCCAUUAUUGAUUAUUGAGGGACUAUCAUGUACAAAAGAAACACUAAUCCAAACCUAGAAUUAACAUUUAAGCACAAAAUCUGAACUCUUUAUUCCUUUAUCAAUUCAUAAAUAUAAGAAUAAAACGAAGAAUCAUUCUUAUUUAAAAUUAAUUUCUUUUAUUAGCUGAAAUAAAACCCUAAUCCAAACCUAGAAUUAACAUAAGCAUAAAAUUUGAACUCUUAUUCCUUUAUCGCCUCCACAAAGCUCUUAAAGUUCUCAUAAGAUGUACCUCCUUUUGCUAUGUUGUUCAUCACUUUCUCCUUCAACACCACACACCUAAAUCUUAUGUUCUCAUCAUUAAAUAAUUGUUCCACUUUGGUUUUCAACUCUCCCCGUGAAACAACCCCAUUUUGAUCCUUGUCAAUCCCCAACCCAACCUUUAACUCAUCACAAAUAUGUGCUUUGUUGUAAAGUUGGUCCCCAAAGUAUGGCCAACACAAGAAAGAUACCCCAUUGGACAAACCUUCCGUGGUAGAAUUCCAACCACAAUGAGUGACAAAACAUGCUAUGGCAGGGUGGCUUAAAACCUUUUGUUGAGGAGCCCAAUUCACUAUCUUACCCUUAUGCCCUUGGAAUUCAUGAGGGUAUGCCAUUUUAUUGUCUUCUCUUAUAACCCAAAGAAAAGGUCUAUUAGUGAGAUCUAGUCCAACGGCAAGUUCAUUGAAUUGGUUUUGGUCAAAAAGAGUGAUACUACCAAAGGCAACAUACAACACAGAACCAUCAGCUUGUUCAUCUAGCCAACUCAUGCAAGAGAGAUCUUCUUUCCAGAAUUGUCCCAUUGAUUUUGUAGCUGCACUUUUGUUAUGAUCAUUAUCAUUGCUUCUCAACAAUGGCCCAAUUGGGAUGAUCUUGGGAAGAAAUAAUAAUGUUCCAGGUUCAAGUUCAUGUGUGGUGUUGCAAAGCCACCACUGUGUCAAAUGUAAACUUCGUAAGCAAUGCAGCAGAUACUUACGCACUUUCUUACCAGUUGUUAGGUCACCGAUAUUCAACCAAAAAAAGUCUUCUGUAUCCAUCUCAGGCAUACUUGGAGAAAUCCGAAUUCUCUUUUUGGUGGUUGAUGUUAAACCUUCAGUGAAAAACCAACAAAAGAACAUUAGCUUAUACAACGUAUAAAUUAAAUUAUAAAUUAUGUUCAAACUUAACAAUACCUAAAUCAGAGUCUAUAACUCCCUCAUCAAUAAGCACAGGGAUGCUGUACACCAAGGUGAAAGUAGCUGCUGAUGCAGGACCCAACACAGCUCCUUGGAUUCCCAGUUUACUCCCAACAUCCAAAGCCCAAGCCAUGCACAAAUCAGCAACAAUGAAGUUGAUUCUCUUCUCACCUUUCACAUGAAUAUCCUCUAUCAACUUCUCAAGUGCUUCUGGCAUGGUUUUUGGAAAGACAUCAUACAGCUUGGCCAGAUCGUUUCUGUCAUCAUCAGGUCCUAAACCAUCAGGGAUUGAAACCAACUUCAGAAGUGAUUCUUCUUCAUCAGGGCUAGAACUAUCUUGUUGCUCCACCAUGGAACUCACCACUCUCCUGUGGUUAAAGUCUGUGUUCACAAAAAUGACUUUGCAUCCAUUCUCAAUCAGCUUCUGUGAGAAGGUCAUCAUGGGAUUCACAUGCCCUUGUGCUGGAAGUGGUAAAGCUAGCACAGUUGGAGCUCUCAUGUUCAGUGUUUCUAUUUGGUUUCUAUUGAUUUUGAUUUCUGAGGCUAAUUAUGCAUUCAUCAGUUCAUGUAUAUAGGCACAACCCCUCACACGUAUUUACCAAGCAAUUACAAAUCUAGAUCAUGAUCACUCUAAAUUUUCUGCUAUCACAAAUUUCUUGUAAGCAGAAAUGUAGAAAGUUUGUGUGGUCACAUCAAUAAUUUUGUCAUUCUAUACCUCUUUACUUUUCCUUGUACUUCUCUGAUUGGACUUCAGUGUUUUUGUCAUUAAACUUUUGCUUUUUUACUUUAUUAAUUGAUUCAGCAUUAUGCUGUUAUUUCAUUACGAGAAUUAUUAAUUACAGUAAGAAAUAUCUCUUUUAAUUUGAAUCAAUUUGAAAGGAAAGGUAAUAAAUGAAAAUUUCCAAAUAAUAAACUACAUUUUCUAAGGUUGAGGUACAAAUAUAAAGGUUAAAAAUGGAAAUAUACAAUUUUCUUUCAUUACCAGAAAUAUUGCAUAUAGUGUGGACCUAAGACUAGGACAUAAAGAGGUAAACACUGAUCCUACAUAGUUGUUAGUGUCGGCAACAUAGUUGUUAGUGUCGGCAACUGUCUUAUUAAAAAUAAAAACACUACAAGAAAAUCAUAAAAUAAAAAUCAAUUUUUAGAGAUCAAAAUAAUUACUUACAAUAGGAACUAAAAUAGAGACCAUUUUAGAAACUAAAAAAAAAUUGAUUUCUAAAUUAGUUUCUAUUAUUUUCUAUUAUUGUUAAAUAGUUGUAUCUAAUUAGCAACUAAAGUUUUAACUACCAAUUAUUUAGUUUCUAAAUUUGGUCUCUAAAACUUUGGUUGCUAAUUAGAUACCAAUUUAGAAACUAUUUAACAAUAAUAUAAACUAAUUUAGAAACUAAAUUUCUUUUUAAUUUCUAAAAUGGUCUCUAAUUUAGUUAUUAUUGCAACUAAUUAUUUUGGUUUCUACAAAUUGGUUUCUAUUUAAUGAUUUUAUUCAAGUGAAACUAAUAUAAAAUAAAAACUGAUGCAGAUUGAAUCAGCUAAAUCAAUGCAAGUUUACGUUGUGUAUAUUAAUUAAAAAUUAAAAUGAAUUAGACGGACACAAAUUAAACUGGAUAAAAAUAGAUUUAAUUUUAGUAUCGUUUUAGCAGAUGUAUUUUUUAGAAAUAAAAAUAAUAUUACGUAGAAAAUUAUUAAAUAUAAAAUAAUUUUAAAAAAAUUAGUUACUAUAGUAAUUAAAUUAGAGAUUAUUUUAAAAAUUAAAAAAAUUAUUAGUUUUUAAAUUAGUUUUUAAUAUUGAUAAAUAAUUUUUAAAUUAAUAUCUAAUUAGUUAUUAAGGUUUUAACUAUUAAUUAUUUAGAUUCUAAAUUUGAAACCUCGAUGAUUAAUUAAAUACCAAUUAAAAAAUUUAUUUAUUAAUAAUAGAAAAUAAUUUAAAAACUAAUAAUUUUUGUUUUUAAUUUUAUUACUAUAACAACUAAUUAUAUUUUAUUUUUAAAAUUGAUUACUAUUUAGUGAUUUUUUUUUACGGUAAAUAAUAUAUAAGUUAGUGUGUUAUUGGUCGAUGGAAUAUUAGACGCUGGCUGGUAUAUGUAAUUUGGAGUCUAUUUGGAAAUGAAAUUUGAACUUGUUUUCUCAAAUUAAUGCCAGAUUAUAUUUGAACUAAAUUUUAAUUAAUUCAAAUUUAAUUUGAGUGAAUAUAAUACUUGUGAUUAAUUAUAAUAAAGAAAUAAAUUUACAAUAAUACUAAAUUAUUUUAAGAAUUAUAUUAAACAUAGUUGCAACUAAUUUAAAGUUAUAGUCCAAAUUCUAAAUUGAAAUAAAUAUUAAAAUUAAACUAUAACAUGUGCUCUUGUUAUUGGAAUCCAAAUCAUAAUUGAAAUUGGACUAUAAUGUAUAUGUCUUGUAAUCCUAAAUAAAGUAGAAUGAAAAUUUAAGGAUAGUUAUAACAAUUCUCAUGCAGACAUAUGAGUUUUAACAAAGAAAUCAGAUUUGAUACUUCCAUCGCAUCGUUAGAAUUCAAAGAAAUAAUAAAGAAUGUAAUGUAUAAGUGCGUUUGUCUUUAUUGGAAUGGAGAGGAUUCCCACCAAUGCCAAAAGGGCAUUUGUUUUGAUGGGAAUGAAUAUGAUUUUCUCCAAUUAUAGGAGGACAUUUGUCAACCUCUAAUUUGAGAUGAUUUGCUCUAAUUAGAGAGAGUCACAUGUCCUUCUAUGACGGGAGAGUUUUUAGGAUUAAAACUUACACUUUGGUUGCACAUAACACUAUAAAUACAAUAGCUAGCCCUCUUGUAAAGGAGUUUUGAAUAGAUUAUUGAAUUGCUGCCAAAUUUCAGCCCCAACUAGUCUCUUAGCUCACUCCUCGCUAGCCUUAUUUGUAAGUGGUUAGCAUAGAAGUUCUUAGGAGUUGGUCUAACUUCUCUUAAGCUUCAUUAUUAUUCUCUAUACACCAAUAUUUCAGAGGUUCUUUCACUCAUUUUAGUCACCAAAUUUCACAUCUCAAAAGAUAUAAAACAAAAGAAACAAAGUCAUAUGCAAGCUAGGAUUGCAUCACCUAGUACCCAAGUGGUUAGAUCUAUGGCCACAAAGUAAGCAAUAUGUGCUUGAUAGAAUAUUCUCUUGUGAAUUAGGGUUUAAGCUGUUUAGGUAUUUGGAUGUAUGACACACAGACAGUGGGUUUAGGAACUAGUAAAAAAAGGUUGUCUGAAGAGGAUAAAUAUGUGGAAAUGAAAUAUAAAAGAAAAGCUAAAAUCUCUAAACAAAACAAGUGUGUGGAACAAAAGAUGUGUUUCGGCAAAUGCUAAGAAAAAUGGAAGAGUGUGUCCUAAAAAUUAGUGAGUUGGACAUAAAGGGAUGAACACUAAAGUUCAUAUGAAGCUUGUAGAACAGAAAGAAAAAUAUAUAUUUGCAUCUAACAUCAUAUCUUUCGAAUAAAGAGUGACUCUAGAGUAAGAAAAAUUGAACAAUAUAAGACAAUAUGAAUUUUUUUCAAGGACGAAAAUAUAAAAAAAAGACUCUAAUCGAUGACUUAGUUUAACAUAUAUAGUUGUCAUUUACAACUACUAUGGAUAAAGAGCAAUUAGAAGAUUACAAUAUUUACAAAGAUAAUAUUAUUAAAAUAUAAACCGAAAUUCACAUAAUUAAGAACAAGUUUAAAUUUAAAAAAUCUUUAAUUUUGAUAAUAACCAAUAAUAUUAUAUUUUAAUUAAAAGAUAAAAUUCGACGGUGUGUCUCAGCUCACCAAAUUUUAUCACAAUUGAAAAGCUCAUUGGUGACCUUUUACCCUUUAAUAUCGACCACCUACUUUACUUUUUUUGUUGGAUCAAUCAAUUAUUAGGAUAUUAAUAAUUGGAUUACUGGUAAAUAUUUAGACCACAAAGAUUUAUAUAAUUUUUUAUUUUCUCCAAGAUAGAGCCUUGUUUCUUGCCGUGUCAUAUAUGUGUCCCUUGUUACCAAGGGAUGGUUUUGCUAUUUUUGGAUGCUUUGAAGCCUUUAAAAAGACCUUUUCAACCAAACAAAAAUAGCCACAGAAUUACAUAGAGAAAAAAUGUUUGCUGAAGUAUUUAUAGAAAGAAAAUCAUUAGAUAAAAAAUAAAAAAUAGCUACGGAAUUACAGAAAAAAAAAAUAUUUACCGAAAUAUUUAUGCAAGACAAAAAAAUCAUUAAAAAAUAAUUUUAAAGAUAAAAAAUAGUUAAUUUAUUAUAUUAAUUAAAUUAUAUACUAUUUUAGAUAUUAAAAAAAAUUAUUGAUAUUUAAAAUAGUUUCAAUUAUUAAUAAAUAGUUUUUAUUAUUGAUAAAUAGUUCCAAAAUAUCACUAAAAAAAAUAUGAAAUAGAAAUCAAUUUUUAAAAAUCAAAAUAAUUAGUUACAAUAGUAACUAAAUUAGAGACCAUUUUAGAAACUAAACAAAAAUUUGAUUUUUAAAUUAGUUUCUAUUAUUGUUAAAUAGUUUCUAAAUUGGUAUCUAAUUAGCAAGGUUUUAACUACCAAUUAUUUAGUUUUUAAAUUUGAUCUCUAAAACAUUGGUUGCUAAUUAGAUACCAAUUUAGAAACUAUUUAAUAAUAAUAAAAAUUAAUUUAAAAACUAUUUUUUGUUAGUUUAUAAAAUAGUCUCUAAUUUAGUUACUAUUACAACUAAUUAUUUUGGUUUCUAAAAAUUGGUUUCUAUUUCAUGAUUUACUUGUAGUGUAUUUAAUUAUACUAUAAGAAAAUCACAACCAAAUUUAGGAACAAAAUAAUUAAUCACUAUAUUAACUAAAUUAGAUACUAUUUUAAAGACUAAAAAAUUAUUAAUAUCUAAAAUGAUUUUUAUUAUUAAUAAAAAAUUAUAAAAUAAUUUUUAAAUUGUUAUCUAAAUUAGCUACCAAAAUUUUAUCUACUAAUAUUUAAUAAAUAUGAAUUAUUGAAAUGAAGCAACAUCAAGUUAAUUAUCAUUUCAAUGCAUGGUACCACUUUAUGUAAAAUGAUUUCAUCUUGCUCGUUAAUUGUAUCAAUCAAACAACUUAAUUCAACAGUUGAAUCCAACACUUAAAUGCAAAAUGAAUCAAAUUCAAGUUGGCAACUAAAGUCACUUGUUGAACUCAAAAAAGUUUCAGAAUUAUAUAAGAGUGCCAACUAAGGACAUCUUCCAUGCAACAAAGAAAUUUAAACACUGAUUGCAAACCAUAAAUGCUAAAACUAAAUUAAUGAAAUUGCAACACAAAUUUUCACUUAAUAAUAUUUUCCAAAUUGAAUAUAUAGUUCCUUAAAUUAUUUAAAACAAAUUUACAGAACAUCAAUACCAAUACUUCUCUAGAAAACACCAAACACCAGUUACCGUAGGGUUGUAAUUUUUAUAAAUCACAAAUUUACUGCACCAUGAAACCAGAUCCAUAACAAUUUAUGUAAUGUAAACAAUUAUUUUAACUUUGUCCUCAAGUCAAAUCAAACAGUAAUUUCUAUCAAGCACAUAAACACCAAGAACUUCAAUUCUAAACCAUCAAAGAUCAAAACUGGAAAUUUUAUACUUCACCACAGAGUUUGACAAUAAGACUGGACUGAAUUGACAGAGUUUGACAAUAAGACUGGACUGAAUUGUGAGAUGACGUACACCAACAACUACCAGAAUGUUCAAUGGCUUAAACCAUUCAUAGAGUAAAUUGGAUAGAAACAAUAAUUGUUACUCACCACGAAACAAUUCAAUUUCCAAUUAAACAGGGAAUGUAAUCAAAAUUAUGUAUAAUUUAUGCUCUACACACGCAAAAGUUCUAGCAAUCACCAACUCAAAAGAGUAAAAUUGUGCCACUUUAAAUUACUGUUUCGAAAAUUCAAUGACACAAGAAAAAUAUUGCACUGACUUCAAUUACAAUAAUAAAGCAUUUAUACCAACACGUUAUUUGCACUUUAACCAACACGCAAAUGUUUGAAUUAUCAAUGCUUCAACGAGUCAACACAAAAGUAAUUUGAUCAAUGACACACAAAAAAAUCACUAAUGUCCCCAUUCAAUUUAGUGGAAAUGCUCGUGCAUAUUACAUUCAUAUCAACAAAAAGAGUGAAGAGAAAUUACAAUUUCCAAAUUAACACUACAAGAAAAUCAUAAAAUAGAAAUCAAUCUUCAGAUACCAGAAUAAUUAGUUGCAAUAGUAACUAAAUUAGAGAUUAUUUUAAAAAUUAAACAAAAAAUUGGUUUCUAAAUUAGUUUCUAUUAUUUUCUAUUAUUGUUAAAUAGUUUUUAAAUUGAUAUCUAAUUAGCAACCAAAGUUUUUUAGACCAAAUUUAGAAACUAAAUACUUGGUAGUUAAAACCUUGAUUUAGUGUAACCUCAAGGAAGAAGCGUGUAAAAUAGAGUUACAAGUGAAGAAUGGUGAAGAGUGAAUGUCACCAUGCGCAGGAGUUUAUAAAAGAAAAAUAUUAAAAUACUUUACUGUGAUUUUAUGAAAAAACCACGGACACUUACCAAAGGUUUAAAAAAAAUGUGUACUAUGUGUAUGUCUUAAUAGAAAUUAUAGUAACAUUAAGUAAUAAACCUCUCCUAAAAUUAUAAAUUUUUGUAAUGCCUAAACUAGCAUAUUUGUUGAAGAUGACCAAAUAAGAAAACUAGGAGUUGGAAAGGAAGUGAAAGUUCCAUUAAUUAUACUCAUUUUGGAAAUAAAAUUUAAUACUCAUUAUGUUUCAAUUCUAUUUCUAUAUGAUAUAACUAUAUCUAUUUAAAUAUGUAUUAAAUAACUUUUAAAAAAAAGUAAACUUAAAUCAAAAUGAUAUUAUUUAGAAUUCAAUUUAAAAUGUAUUUCUUUAAUAUCAAAUAACAGUUAUUAUGAAGUGGGUUUGCACCCUCUCAUACCAUAUUACGAAGUGGACUUUAAGUCUAACUCAAAGCCAUAAAACCGGCUCAAUGGGGUGAGGUUUGCACCCACUUAUAUACUAUGAAAGGCUCUAAUCUCUAAUCGAUGUGGGAUUGCACCCACUUAUAUACUAUGAAAGGCUCUAAUAUCUAGUCGAUGUGGGAUCUCCAACAACAGUGAAAAAAUUAUAAUAAUAUAAUAUUCAAAAUAAAGUACUAAAUAAAAUAAAAUUAAUUUUAGAAUUUAAAAUAGAAGGUGUAUAGGAAUGAGACGAAUAUCUAUUUAGAUAUCUUUAUCAUUUUAGUGAAACGACGGGAUUACAAUGGUAGAAAAAUACCCAAGGAUAUUUAUGGAUUGAAACUAAUAUGAAAACACAUGCUAGAAAAUGGAAUAACAAUAUAUGAGAGUUCAAGUGGAGGAAAAAUUGGUUUUGAAUGGGGAAGGCUAUGGUAGAAGCGUUUAAGACAGAUUUAACAAAAAUUAAGCCAAAUAAAAAUAUUGACAUAUGUAGAAAUUCUUUCGUAUAUUCUGAAAACAUAGGUACUAGUUGUAUAAAGUCUAAAUCCUUAGGACAAAACAAAGCCAAAAAAACAAGCAAAAGACUCUUCAAAUUGCAACAAAUAAAAAUUAUUGUACAAUAUUCCUUAUUCAUAAAUGCAUCAUGUCGAUCUAAGUGCAUUUGCAUUGUCUAAUAACAUAAUUAAUAACAUAAUAAAUUGGGUAUUACACACAUUUAUUUUGGCAAUUUUAGCUGCAUGGGUUAUGCAGAUUACUGCAUCCAUUAUUGAUUAUUGAGGAACUAUCAUGGUACAAAAAAAGACUAAUCCAAACCUAGAAUUAACAUUUAAGCACAAAAUCUGAGCUCUUAUUCCUUUAUGGCCUUCACAAAGCUCUUAAAGUUCUCAUAAGAUGUUCCUCCUUUUGCUAUGUUCUUCAUCACUUUCUCCUUCAACACCACACACCUACAUUUUAUGUUCUCAUCAUUAAAGAUCUGUUCCACUUUGGUUUUCAACUCUCCGCGUGACACAACUCCAUUUUCAUCUUUGUCAAUUCCCAACCCAACCUUUAACUCAUCACAAAUAUGUUCUUUGUUGUAAAGUUGGUCUCCAAAGUAUGGCCAACACAAGAAAGGUACCCCAAUGGACAAACCUUCCAUGGUAGAAUUCCAACCACAAUGAGUGAGAAAACAUGCUAUGGCAGGGUGGCUUAAAACCUUUUGUUGAGGAGCCCAAUUCACUAUCUUACCCUUAUGCCCUUGAAAUUCAUGAGGGUAUGCCAUUUUAUUGUCUUCUCUUAUAACCCAAAGAAAAGGUCUAUUGGUGAGGUCUAGUCCAAGGGCAAGUUCAUUGAAUUGGUUUUGGUCAAAAAGAGUGAAACUACCAAACGCAACAUACAGCACAGAACCAUGAGGUUGUUCAUCUAGCCAACUCAUGCAAGAGUCAUCUUCUUUCCAGAAUUGUCCCAUUGGUUUGGUGGUUGCACUUUUGUUAUUAUCAUUGUCAUUGCUUCUCAACAAUGGCCCAAUUGGGAUGAUCUUAGGAAGAAACAACAAUGUCCCAGGUUCAAGUUCAUGUGUGGUGUUGCAAAGCCACCACUGUGUCAAAUGUAAACUUCGUGCACAAUGCAGCAGAUACUGAAGCACUUUCUUACCAGUUAGGCCACCCAUAUUCAACCAAAAAAAGUCUUCUGGGUCCAUCUCAGGCAUACUUGGCGAAAUCCGAAUUCUCUUUUUCGUAGUUAUUGUUAAACCUUUAGUGAAAAACCAACAAAAAUAAAAAAAAGCUUAUGCAGUAUACUACAAAUUAAAUAAAAACUAAUAUUGAAGAUAAGAAAAAAAUUAUUCAAUUACCAAGAUACCAGAGACUUAAAAAAAAAUUAUAUUAUUAAUAUCUAAAUAAUUUUUAUUAUUAAAAAAAUUAUAAACUAAUUUCUAAAUUAGUGUAUAAUUAAUUAUUAAUGUUUUAGUUAUGUACUAUAUUUUAGUUAAUAAUUAAAUAAAUAUUAAUUUAUAAAUUAUAUUAAUAAUGUAAAUUAUUUUAAAUAUCAGUAAUUUUUUAAUCCUUGAAAUAAUAUUUAAUUUAGUUAAUAUAAUAGUUAAUUAUUUUUAUUUGUAAGAUUGAUUAUAUAAAUUAAAUUAAAUUAUAAAAUAAUUUCUAUAAAUUACUUUCUAAAUGAAUUAAUUUAACUAAUAAAAAAAUUUACGUCAUUAUUUUCUGUUUAGAAAUUCUUGUGAAAAGAAAUGUUCAAACAUAACUCUAACAUAAUAUUCUUACCUAAAUCAGAGUCUAUAAUUCCCUCAUCAAUAAGCAUAGGGAUGUUGUACAGCAAGGUGAAAAGAGUUGCUGAUGCAGGACACAACACAGCUCCUUUGAUUCCCAGUUUACUGCCAACAUCCAAAGCCCAAGCCAUGCACAAAUCAGCCACAAUGAAGUUGAUUCUGUUCUCACCUUUCACAUGAAUAUCCUCUAUCAGCUUCUCAAGUGCUUCUGGCAUGCUUUUUGGAAUGGCCUCACACAGCUUGGCCUGAUCGUUUCUGUCAUCAUCAGGUCCUAAACCAUCAGGGAUUGAAACCAACUUCAGAAGUGAUUCUUCUUCAUCAGGGCUAGAACUAUCUUGCUGCUUCACCAUGGAACUCACCACUCUCCUGUGGUUAAAUUCUGUGUUCACAAAAAUGACUUUGCAUCCAUUCUCAACCAACUUCUGUGCGAAGGUCAUCAUGGGAUUCACAUGCCCUUGUGCUGGAUAUGGUAAAGCUAGCACAGUUGGAGCUCCCAUGUUCAGUGUUUUUGUUUGGUUUCUAUUGAUUCUGAUUUCUGAGGCCAAUUAUGCAUUCAUCUGUUCAUGUAUAUAUAGGCACAGCCCCUCACAUUAAAAACGUUAAUCAAUGGCCUCACUAUAUCAUAAUCACGUAUAUACCUACCAAUUACAAAUCUAUGUCAUGAUCAGUCUAAAUUUUCGGCUAUCAUACUAACUUCUAUGAAU